UGAAAUCAUGUGGCUGAAUCUAUUAAUUUCUUGUUUGAUGGGCUAUUUUUUUAAAAAAUGAAGAUUAAAGAGUUGUUAUGGGGGGUGGUUGAAUCAUGUUGCUUCUGUGGAUCUAGCAAUCAUAUUGCCUUUUCGGAUGUAACACAUGAAUUUCAUGAUUUUUCUUUUUGAAUUGGCUUCUUUUACUUUUCGUAACUGAACUCUUUUAAGCUUAAUUUGUUCCUGUCAUUUUUCGUAAUUAAUCUGCUGUACGGCCAAGGCGGAUGUACGGUACAGCAGAAACUUGAAAUCAAAUGAACUUUAAACUGAGGAAAAUUAACAUGAAACUUGGGAUCAUUUACAUGCAACCUUGAAAAUCAUGCAGUUAAAUGGUCGAGCUCGAGUAGACAAAAAACAAAAAACUUUGUCUUACCAACCAGUGAAAAUUGGAGAGCCAUGUAGUCUUGUAUCAACGACCUAUAGUGUUGAGGCUUGUAGGGAAGCAAUUGCUAAGUUUAUUAUAAAAGAUGAGAUGUCAUUUAAAGUUGUAGAGGGUGAAGGGUUUAAGGAAAUGUUGGGAGUUUUUGAAAAUAGAUUUAAAGUACCAUCUCGCACUACUAUUGCUCGUGAUAUUUUGCAACUUUACAAAAAAACAAAGAAAGAUUUGACUGAUUUUUUUGUUAGUAAUCAUCAAAGAGUUUGCCUCACUACAGACACAUGGACUUCAGCUCAAAAUCUUUGUUAUAUGUGUCUUACAGCUCACUUUAUUGAUGAUAAUUGGACAUUGCANNNNNNNNNNNNNNNNNNNNNNNNNNNNNNNNNNNNNNNNNNNNNNNNNNNNNNNNNNNNNNNNNNNNNNNNNNNNNNNNNNNNNNNNNNNNNNNNUGUUUUUUAUUUGUCAAAAGUUGUGAACAAUUGGAAUGGUGUAAGAUAACUUUAUACUUUUUAGUGUAAUAUAAUUACAUCGUCCUAAAAAUGAAACCAUCGGUAAUUCAAAAUCAGAUAUUUUUAAAAAUUCUCUUAUUAUUAUUCAGAAACGCACAUCCAUUACUAAAAUUAUUCUCAUUGUUGUAGAGGGGUUAAAAGAGUAUCAUCAGUCGAUUUCUAAAAUUCGUAAUGUUAUAAGAUUUGUUAGAUCUUCACCUUCUAGGACACAAAAGUUUAAGGCAUAUGCAGAGCAAGAGAAAAUUUCUUCAAAUAAGUUGUUGUGUCUAGAUGUCGUAACUAGAUGGAAUUCCACUUUUUUCAUGUUAGAGGCUGCUGAAAAGUAUGAAAAAGUAUUUGAUCGGUUAGAGCUUCAUGAUGCACAAUACAUUCGUGAGUUUUGUUUGAGCGAGCAAAAAACGUGUCCUUCGUCAAUUGAUUGGGAAUAUGCUCGUUAUUUCAUUAAAUUCUUGAAGGUUUUUCAUGAUGCCACUUUGACAUUUUCGGGUUCUUUAUAUGUGACAUCCAAUACUUUUUUGUGCCAAUUAUGUUUGAUUCAUACACAAUUGCAAGCUUGGAGGGAUAGUAAUACUAUUAAGUGAUUUAAUAGAUAUUGUAUUUCACAUUUUCGCUAGUUUUUUAAGGGUAAUAUUUAUGCAAGUGAAUCAAGUGAUAAAUAUUUGAAAUGUUUUGGGCCCUACUAUAAUUUAUGAAUAUUUUAGACUAAAGUGAAAGAUUUUGAGAACUUUGAAAAAUAUGGGUAUUAUGUUGAAAAUGAUCUUUUUGUGAAAGAAUAAUAUUUUUGGGGCCAUAUCAUAAUUUUAGAAAGUUUUGGGAAGACAAUUAUUAUUUAGAAAUUCUGAAAUUUGACCUAUUUGUAAAGUUGUAUGACGUCUUGGGCCAUAGUAUAAUUAUUGAAAGAUUUGGACCUAAGUGUAAUUUUAGUGAACAGUGUUACUGUAGCAAAAAUGAAAAAUAAUGGUAAUAUCACUGUUCAUGAGCGGCUAGCCGGAUAAAUCAAGCGGCUAACUGCUUGGGCGCGAGAAUUUGUCUAUAACGGCUAGUUUUCAGGCUUUAACUAUAAAAACUCAACUCCAACUUCAUUUUAAGGAUUAAUAUAAGGAAAAAUAAGAUCAUAUAACAUUUAUUGAGCUUCCAUUUUGUAAAUCAUCAUUGAGAUAUAAUUUGUUAUCUACUCUUAAAGAGAGUUUCAUUGUUGUGAUUUUCAUUUCUCAUCAAAUUAUGAGUGUACAAGUGUGAGAAACACUUGGGGUGAAGAGAUUGAGGAGAUAAUCUCUUGUUGUAAAGGUCAUUAACACUUUAGAAGUCAAUUGUAAACAUUUGAAGCAUUGAGAGGCUUGGAUAGUGAAAUCCUCAAGCCGGGUGUGCUUGGAGGCGUGGACGUAAGCGGGAAUAGCCGAACCACGUAAAAAUCCUUGUGUUUGUUUUCUCUUUCCUUACUCUUUUAAUAUUGUUCUUAAUUGAAUUUGUUGUUUUUGAUUUGAUAAAGGCAAUAGAUUAAAUUGUUGUGCGAAUUGUAUUGUAUAAUUUUAAAAUCCCAAUUCACCCCCCUCUUGGGUUGCAUAACUUGCAUUUCACACUGAACAAACUAUUGUUGGAUCAUCCAAAUUAAAAGCUGUCGAAUAAAGCUUGGCAUAAUAGGAAACUAGAUUGUUAGAGAUCUCCACAUGAUUAGAGUUUACAACACCAUCAAUGUGUAAACUAUUAAUGGAAGAGUGGGCCACCUUCGUUCUACAAUAAGUAUGGAAAAACUUUGUGCCUUGAUCACCAUCAGCUAGCCAUAUAACUCUAACCUUCUCUAGGCUAUUAAUAGGAAAACAUAAACAAGCAAAGCACUCUGAUAUGAGCAUGAGCGAGGCAAAAUAAGGCUUUUAUUAUUUGGCCAAGCAUAAUAGAAAGCAAGGUUGCAUAGUGCCCUAUCUAAUCUUUCUUCAAUCUGACCCGUGUUUGAACUAUUACACCAAGUAAAGAGAUUCCUUCAAUUGAGAGAUGGGUUAGACAACAUGCAUCAAUCAUAUUAGAAAAAUCUAAGCAAGAAAUAGUGGGAGGAGAAUUACCACCAGCCUUUUCGUGAGUCCCCAUAAUCACAUUAAAGUCUCCAAUAACCAUCCAAGGUUGGUCAUAAGAAGCAGUAAAGGAAAUAAGAGCAUCCCAUAAAACCCGUCUGUCAAUGUAAUUUAUGGCAACAUACAUAACAGAUAGAGCACAGGGUGAAUUAUCAAGACAAACUUGUAUCGAUAUUAAUUAUUUUGAACAGUGGACUACUUAAAGGUAAAUGAGCAACACUAAAAACCCACAUAUAACUCACCUCUGUCAUUAGAGCAUACAAAUUUCAUUUGAAUAAAAUUCUAAAAGGUAGAAGGAAUAAAAAACAAAGAAACCAUAGGCUCAGAAAUGCAAAGAUAAUCAAGAUUAUAAGUAAAGCAUAAAUUAGCCAAUUCUGACUGAAUGCUAAGGUUGGCUACACCCCUCACAUUCCAAUAUAAGAUCUUCAUUUUGCCAUAUUCUGAUAACUCCCUUUUGCGAAGUACGGCUUAGACAGAAGAGAGCGAGCACACACUUUAUAUCUUUUAUGCUUAUGUAUUGUUUAGAAACCAUCCUCAUCAAUUGGUGAUGUAUUUUUAGUAAAAGACAUGGUCAUGGUCAUUUGGUCGGUAGUAAUAAGCUGCUUAAUAAAUGGCCCAAGCUGAUUUGUAAAAUGAAUCAUAGAUAAGGGGUUAGUCAUCUAGUGGUUUUACACUGAAACAUCAUUGGUCAUCCUGUGAAAAGUCAUCAUCAUCAGGGCGAUAGGUUUCUAAGGUAAGUAAAUCAAUUUCAAAUUGUCUAAGUGUAGUGUCCAUAAGUAAGGGUGCUUUAUGAACCACAAUUGCAAGAUUUGUAGAAGAUUGUAGUGAGGAAGCCUUGUUGCAACCAAGAGCUUUCUCAAUAACCUCAUCUGAAGAUUGGUUUUGCACGACCUCUGUAUUUGGAACUGGUCGAUAAACACGUUUGAAGGGUUCUUACUAGGCUCGUGGGUGGCAGCGGCUGUUUCACAGUUUCGGCAACAAUUAGAGGCAUUAUGACCAAGAAAACCACAAACAAGACACUAAGAGGGAAGGUUUUUGUAAUAUACGAUUAUCUCAAAUGAAUACUCUUCGCGUUCAACCAAUAUUCGUGAUGGCGGGUUUUCUGAGACGUCCAUAUCAACCAGAACUCGGGCAAAAUGUCCAAAAAUUCCUUCCUUGGUUUAUUUAUCAAGUUGCAACAGAGCCCCUAUACCAUAUGCAAUUUUCCAAUAGAAUCUUGAUUCCCAAUAUUCUUGACUCAAAUCAUAUAAACACACCCAAACUUGAGCAUGUGUGUGUAAUGUACGGUCGUAGAGAUCAAAGUCCUUUUUCCAUUGAUAAAGAUGAAAACACUCAUGAAACAAGUACCACCACUUUAAGCCAUUCGCAAGCCUACUUUACUGGAAAAAUGUACAUCAAAGUAGCCACGAGUCAAAGGGACCAAAGUUCAAAUAGCUUCAGGCUUCCACACAACUUGAAGCAAGUUACGAAGCUCAUGAGUUUUAAGAGGUGUAGAUCCUAAACGUAGUAGUAAUUGACCAAUUAAAUUAGUGCGACACUUCUACAAUCGAUGUUGGUAAAUGGAUUAUGUGAUUUUGAUACAAGUCAAGUCACACUACUUAAGAAGUUUUAGCAAUUAAGGCAUGGAAACAGGUGGAGUUGAACUUGUACCAACAACCUGAGCAAAGGAUUUGGAGGUAGAAGUAGGGGAAGGAGAAAGGGAAGAGAUAGAAAUGUUCGCCAUUGAUUUUAGUCUGUGGGACCUUUUAUCAAACACUUAGCGGGCAAGUUUGUAGCAAACACUCAUGAAAAUUAUAACUUAUACUAUAUAAUUAUAAUAAUUUUUUAUUGUUAUUAGGCUAUCCAAUGAUAGUUGUUACUGAAUGUAACACUUAUCUGUUCGAGUCUUAUAAGAUCUUUUAUUAGGAAUGUAGAAAAAUUUAACUAAAUCUCAACCUAAGUGGUUCAGAUGCACGACUCCUAAACAUUAAGGUCGGGCGCAUGCCUCACCUAAAAAGUUGAGACUAGCUUGAAAAUUUUAGAAAUACUUAACAUAUAUUUAACACACUCGUAAUUAAUAUUUAAAGUUUUAGUUUCGUUUAAGCCCAACUUUUAAAGCCUAAUCUAACAAAAAAUAAAUUUUUAUAAACCAUGAAUUUGUAAAUCAUAAUUAAAAAUAGGUAUAUAUGUAUGUACAAUGUAAAAUUUGGGUUUUUGGACAUGAUCCGAAAAAAUACAUGCUAGGGGGUGGGGCUCGAGCUUUACUAAGCCGGUUGAGCACAACAUACUACCAUCUCUCUUUUUCACAACUCAUUUUUUUUUUCAAAAAUAGAUAUAAUAGUAACAUACUCUCUAAAAAUGAGAGGAAAUAACUUUAGGUGGUUGCAUGGCUUCCUAAUAUGUAUAUCAAAUUAUUGAAAUUACCAUAGAUCAAAUAGAUAUAUUAAGAAUAUAUCUAUUUCAUUUAAUUAUGUAACCAGGAGGAUAACAUAGUGUAAAUAUACAUUGAGACUUUGAACUUUUACCUUAAAAUUUUAAGAAUAUGAUAGUAAAAAAAGCUCAAAUUCAAUUUUUAAUCCCCUAAUUCUUCCAAAAUUCGAAUUUACAUAUUUACAGAGCGAGAAAAUCUAAAUAUAAUUUUUAGUCUCUUAAUUCCCUAAAAAUUUAAGUUUACAUAAUCAGUUAAAUAAAAUUACAUGAGAACCACUUAUCUGCCUCGUGGAACUGUCAUAAAAUUUAUAUGAAAAUGAAAUGAAUAAAUUAAAAAAGACCUGGGUAAAUAAGUUGUAAUCAGGGUUUCUAAAAGUAAUUGAAAAAAGAAAAAAAGAAAAAAGAAAAAAAAUUGGUAUAUCGUCCUUGAACCUUGAUUAAAGCAGCGCUCACUAACAUUCGUCUUCCUCCUCUGAGCCAUGCGGGCGCUCACACGUGCGUCCUCACACGUGCUCAAUGCCAGAACCAGACCCAUGCCCACGCGCCGCUUCUCCUCACAAACGCAGCUCACCGAACAAGAAGCCACAGUACGACAAAUCACUAGCAUCCUUACGCAAAACGACUGGCAGCGACUUUUGACAUCCUCAAACGUACCCAAGAAGCUAAACCCAGAUGUGAUCCGAUCCGUUAUCCAUCUAAACCGGGCCCACAAUUUGACCCGCUUGCUCAGCUUCUUCCACUGGUCCGAACGCCAAAUGGGUACCUGCCAAAACGACUUAAAAGUCUUGUCUUUGCUUUUUGUUGUUUUAUGCAAUUGUAAAAUGUACGGGCCCGCUAGUGCUAUUGUUAAACGAAUGAUAAGUGAUGGAAAUAAUUCGGGUUUUGAGAUUUUGAGUGCCGUUGAUGGCUGCUUUAGAGAAUCUGAUGAGUUUGCGUGCAAAGGUUUGGUUUUUAAUAUGUUGAUUGAUGGGUAUAGUAAGAUUGGGUUGUUGGAUGAAGCUGUUGAUUUGUUUUCGUGUGACACGGGAUGUGAAUUUGUGCCCAGCUUGUUCAGUUGUAAUGCAUUGUUGAGGGAUUUGUUGAAGGGUAAGAAAAUGGAGUUGUUUUGGAAGGUUUGGGCGAAAAUGAAUAAAAUGAAUGCAGGGGGUUUUGAAUUUGAUGUUUAUAGUUAUACUACUGUGAUAGAUGCUUACUUUAAGGUGAGGAAUGCUGAGGAAGGAAAGAGAGUGUUUUCGGAAAUGGGGGAGAAAGGGUGUCGUCCAAAUGUUGCUACUUAUAAUGUGGUUAUUGGUGGCUUGUGUAGAGUGGGAUUUGUAGAUGAAGCAGUUGAGUUGAAGAAUUCGAUGGUUGAGAAGGGGUUGGUUCCUGAUAGUUAUACUUAUGUGAAUCUUAUUUAUGGGUUUUCUGCAGCAAAAAGGUUGGGAGAUGUGAGAUUGGUUUUAUCGGAGUUGAUUGGAAAGGGUCUGAAACUUGAUACUGUUGCAUACUAUGCACUGAUUGAUGGAUUUGUGAAGCAAGGUGAUGUGGAAGAAGCUUUCAGAGUAAAGGAUGAGUUGGUUGCUUCUGGUAAUCAGAUUGACUUGGUCAUUUAUAACACACUGCUUAAAGGGUUUUGUAAGAGUGGUAAAAUGGAAAAAGCAAGGGAAGUGUUAAAUGAGAUAAUUAGAAUGGGUAUUGAACCUAAUUCAAGAACUUAUACUUCGUUAAUACAGGGUUACUGCAGGAUGCGGAAAAUGGUUAGUGCUUUUGAGUUGCUUGAUGAGAUGAAGAAAAAGAACUUGGUCCCCUCUGUAUUUACUUACGGUGUGAUUAUUGAUGGACUCUGCCAUUGUGGAGAUCUACGGCAAAUCAAUGCUAUUUUGGGAGAAAUGAUUACGAGGGGAUUGAAACCAAAUGCCAUUAUCUACACAAAUCUUGUUUCGACUUACUUCAAGAAAAAUAAACUUCAAGAAGCAGGAAAGUUGGUUGAGAGGAUGAGAAGAGAAGGAAUAACACCAGAUGUGUCCUGCUUCAAUUCUCUAAUAAUUGGUCUUUGCAAAGCCAAGAGGAUGGAUGAAGCAAGGAUCUAUUUGGUCGAGAUGUUAAGGAGAGGAUUGAAGCCUAAUAUUCAUUCGUUCAGAGCUUUUAUCCUUGGAUACUGUAUGGCAGGGGAGAUGCAGACAGCAGGCAGGUUUUUCAAUGAGAUGCUAAAUUCUGGUCUAGUGCCUAAUGAUGUAAUUUACACAUCCAUUGUUGAUGGGUACUGCAAAGAGGGAAACAUAGCAGAAGCUAUCUCCAAAUUUAGAUGCAUGCUUGCCCGGGGUAUUCUUCCAGAAGUUCAAACUUACAGCGUGCUCAUCAAUGGCCUUUCGAAGAAAUUAGAACUAAGAGAAGCUCUUGGAAUCUUCUUAGAACUCCUAGAGAAGGGGUUGGUGCCUGAUGUUGACACUUACAAUUCCCUUAUCACCAGCUUUUGCAAAAUAUGUGAUGUAGAUAAGGCUUUUCAACUGUAUGAGGAGAUGUGUGAAAAAGGAGUUGAACCGAACACCCUUACUUACAAUGUAUUAAUAGAUGGCUUCUGCAAAGCUGGAGAUUUGACUGAGCCAUUUCAGUUAUUUGAUGAGAUGACAAAGAGGGGUGUUCCUCUCGAUGGUUCAGUCUACAAUGCCCUUCUCUCUGGAUGCUGCAAGGAAGAAAAGUUGGAACAAGCUCUGGAGCUGUUUCGAGAUAUGCUGGAGAAGGGCUUGGCUUCUACCCUUUCCUUCAACACUUUAAUUGAGUUUUUGUGCAUAAGUAACAAGCUUCAAGAAGCACACCAAUUGUUGGAUGCAAUGCUAGAAGAGCAGGUUAAUCCCAAUCAUGACACCUACACUACACUUAUCAAUCAGUAUUGCAAGGUGCAAAACAUGGAGAAAGCAAAACAACUCUUCUUAGAGAUGCAGCAAAGGAAUCUGAAGCCGGCAACAAUCACUUACAGAUCACUUUUAAAUGGUUACAAUAGAAUGGGGAAUAGAUCUGAGGUUUUUGUUGUGUUUGAAGAAAUGUUAGGAAAGGGAAUUGAGCCUGAUAAUUUCACCUAUUAUGUUAUGAUUGAUGCUCAUUGUAAAGAAGGUAACGUGAUGGAAGCUUUGAAGUUGAAGGAUUUGAUUUUUGAUAAGCGUAUGCCAAUUAGUGCAGAAGCAUAUAAAGCCAUCAUAAAAGCUUUAUGCAAAAGAGAGGAAUAUUCUGAAGCGUUGAGGUUGCUUAAUGAAAUGGGAGAGAGUGGCUUUAGGCUUGGUUUUGCCUCAUGUAGGACUGUAGCUAAUGAUUUUCUCAGAGAAGGCGUUAUGGACUAUGCUGCAAAGGUUCUGGAGUGUAUGGCAUCGUUUGGAUGGGUUUCAAACUCCAUUAGCUUGGCUGACAUUGUUAAAGGAGAGAAUAGUGGUGUAGAUCUUGAUGAGUCCAAGGAUCUUAUGAAGCAAACAGCUUAGAAAGUUGACAAAUAUUGGUGAAUCAUUAUUGCUCAGUUUCGUCCUUGAGUUGACUCUUUGGAGUCCUGAGCAGACUCUGCACAGGAAUCAGCGUGCUAGCUGCCUAGCUCCCUACUAAAAUGGCUACUGGCUAUUUUCUGUUGUUUUAAAAAGUCUUAAGAGGUUGAUGCUUCAGACUGAAUUGCUUGUUCAGUCACCUGUUGAGGUAAAUAUAAAUUAUCUACUUUUCGAUUAUGUAUUCCAUGCAUUGCUAUUAUUGCCCUGAUUAAUUUAUUUACUAGAAACUUAUUUCAUUGCAGGUGACCGGUUCCGAUUCAGUGGUUAUACACAGGUUAUUGCACUGAAAGAGGAUACUCUUCCUGUAAUUUUGAUUCUUGCCUGAGCUUAUCUGCACAUCUUAUGCCUUUAAUGAGGUGCUUCAAUCCCGCAAGUGCUAUGCAAAUUAUUAGCCUGUGAGUAAGUUGAAGAGGUGUCUAAUCGUUUGGGGGUUUUUUUUCCUGCUACUUGACAUAUUACUCUUUACAAUGCCCUGAAAGCUGAUGAUUCAUUUAUUCUGUUGAGUAUGUAUGUAAUUCAAUCAAAGUGUUUGUAUGAAUGAAAGAAAGAAACGCAUGUUUCUAUGAAAAAGAACACUGUUUUGAAGUAACCAAGCUGAUUGUAUUUAUAUUUCUUUUAAUUUUCUUUAACAAAGCAGUUACAUUGUACAAUGUAUACAGCUCCCAAUUUACCAACAGAGAUCAAUUUAUUUCCAUCCAUGUUGCGUAUACUAAUACAAAGAAUAGACCCUCCAGCUUACAGAGAUUCCUAGUGUUGUAUAAAAAUGAGAAUCAAGAUUUAUACGCUUACAAAGAAAAUCGAUGUGAUGGGUUAAAUUCAUAUCAUUUUCUCAAAUUUGUCAAGCUUCUUCACCCUCUGCAUUGAUCUUAAAAGUAGUGUAAAGAAAACUCCUGCAUUUUUAUAAAUUUAAGACUGUCAGUAAUAGAACCUUGAUGAAUAUGAACUUAGGUUUCAAUUGAGAAAUAUUAGCAUCUGAGGGAUCACCUGCACCAAUGAAUGAUCCAUUUGCAAUAAUUUGACUGCCUUGACCAGUGAAUGUGACCCCCAGAUUCAGCAGGGUACCCCCACAAACUGUAUACAUAGUUGCCAUUUGCAGUAUUGUUGCUUUUCGAGCUGCUCUUUCAGACUGGUACACAUAGUUAUAGCCAUUCAAAAUCAAUGCAGUCAAAUUAUAUACAAAGAGAGAUUUCAAAUGCUGAAUCACAGUCCAUUUUCUCCAUUUCUGUUUGUGAGUUCUGGAACUAUUAAGACAUGAUUACCUCAAGCACCCGUACUCGGAGUUUCAAAUCUCCUGCUUCAAGUUGUUUCACAAACUCUUCUAUUCGUUGAACCCUGGAUGGCAUGGACAUGGUCGAAGAUCUGGCCUGAAAAUAGAUGGAAAUGUUCUUGAUACUAACAGUGAUGGAAAUUCAGCCUUCUCAUUUAUAACAUAAUUAUCAGAAGAAUAACAGGUAUUUAUUUGUUUAUUUUUUAAAAAAAGAUUUUUGUUCAGUGUUAUCCGUUGGGAAAAAAAAAUAUGGCAACAGUAGAAAGAAUGCAAAAAGCAAUACAUCAUCAGCUUGUUUCCUGAUUUGCUCCACUAGCUGUGUUCCAGACUGCUGCUGCUGUUUUAAAUCCAAUAGCUCCUGCAGGCAGAGUAGAAACAAUGAAUACCAAGCUAUUCAAGUUUCAACCAUAGAAAUGAUUACCAAAACGUGCAUGAAAAUUCCAAGGGAAGUGAAUUUAACCUGUGCAUAAGGUGCAGCAACCUUCACAAAGGAAAAAUCUGGGUCAAGAAUGUUGCCGAUACCUGUAACAGGACAAUGAUACUCAGAAUAAAGCAGUAAAAUGGCAAUGGACUAGCUGCGGUUAUCAAAUUUUCUGGGUUUAAUGAAAAAGUUCAAAUAUUACAUCGCAUAAACUUGAUAUAUGGUCUAAUGUGAUUCAGAAGUGAAUUUUUUAAGGCAAUGUGAGAGUGAGAGGACCUUCAAGUGUGGAGAAUGCCCUUAUAACGAAAGUAAAGGUGGAUGGAAACCGAAAUGGUUGAUCUUGAGCUAUUGCAAACAAAUCCUACAAAAGCAUAACAAACAAACAAACAAACAAAUAACCUUAACUUACUGAUACCACAUAAGGGUAUUCAGAAACUACAUAAAUUAAAAAAUUAAUAGAACCUCUCCAAUUGCAGCCAAAGUCUGCUGCUGAUCUGGACUCUGGCUUAGCAAAUUGUCCAAGAAAAAUUGCACGGAUCUCCUUACCUAGGAGUAGAAUGAACAAUUAGUACUACUGUAAGAUGGAUACUACAGAAUAACCACAGAAUACACAUUUCCUUUUCAAUAACCAUGCAAGUACACAUUUCCAUUUCAAAUGUUGACACUUGGAUGGUGUGGCAUGAUGACCUACCGAUGACAUAUCUCCUGUGGGUUGAAGUGCUUCGAGAUCAAUCAACCUUUGGAUAACCUGCAUAAUAGCUGCUCAGUUUCGGCUAACAAGCAAGGAGAAAAAAAAUUUGAUUUACUUUCAUUAUAAACAAAUUACCCAUCCAAUUUCAGUAGAUGGGUACCAAACUCUUAUCAACCUAAAUUCACAAAAGAAAAAUCAAAGGGAGCAGUUGAUAGAUCGAAAGUACACCUUUUUGGCAUCUUUCUCAUAAACUGCAUAGAAAAGAUCAAGCAAUCUUUCACGGGUAAAGGAUUUAAUCUCCCCCAUCAUACCAAAAUCAUAAUAGAUGAGUGCUUCAUCUAAAUCGACAGCAAGAUUUCCAGGAUGAGGAUCAGCAUGAAAGAAACCAGUUUUGAGUAUCUGCACUUUUAGAAAGAUACUGUAAACGACUACAUUAUAAGCGGGGUAACUAACAUUACAAUUUCACCGUUGUACAACAAAUGGAGGUACUUAAUAGUCAUCAACUCAUCAUAUUGUCAAAACUUAAUAUCAAUUACCUGAUUCAAGUACGCUUCAAUUGCACGCGAUGCAAUUUGAGAACGAUUAUAACCCUGCAAAUCUAGUGCUUUCAACUCAUUGAUCUUAACUCCUGAUACAAAAGUAAAAAUCUCAAUCCAUUAAAUUUCAGUUUCACAAAAUUUAUGUGGAACUAUACAAUGCAAAUUCUUGCUAUCAUUUUGAAUUAAUACACACACAUGCGCGCGCACAGAGGUUUAGGCUAAAACCUGGUACAUACUCCAAUGUCAACACCUUUGUAGCAGUAUAAUCCCAAAACACCAGCUACAGAGGGGAACAAAAUUCCAGUUAGGAAUCCACAAGAGACUCUAAACUUAAAAGACUAGAUCUAUGCUCACUAGAAAUUGCAAAAUUAAUAAGUUUAUAGUCAUAAUUGAUGAGAAUUUUGAGAAAAUUUUUGCACAACUAUUUGAUUAUGUGCCACUUAAUAUUUGUAGUCUUGAAGCUAGAAACAUACAGGUACCCGGACCCACUUUAUAUUCCGAAAAUCUCGACGGAAUCUAUCAGCAUUUUUUCCUUCAUUUAUGUAAUCGAUUUCUUGAUACAAAAUCCUGAAAUCAAUAAGAUAAGCAUAGCACAAGUUAACUGUGUCACACUUCAUUGAGACAAUUCUAGAACCAUCAUGUUUCAUCAGAUCCAUUAUAACAAAGAUCAAUAACGCAUAAAUAUAUUAUAUCAAGUUUCAUCAGAUCCAUUACAACUCAAUAAUGCAUAAAUAUAUUAUAUCAAAAUAAAAAAAUAAUCAACUCAACACAACAUGUUAUUUACACACAUUGAUCCUACUUAGUGUUUCAUGAUCCUAGAAAAAUAUCUAACAAAAAAGUGACAAUACUUAAUACUUACGUGGCGCAUUCGUCAUAUAUACCAAUCCAGUCUCUUGUUGGACCACCAAAUGUUUCACUUCUCUGAAAGUAUUCUGCAAUUAGCUUUAAAUUUCCUGUAUGGAAAAAGCAGGAAUAACGGAUAAUAAAAAUUUACUUCUUCAAGUACAAUUAAGAACUAAAAACAUUGUUUCAGUUGAUGAAAUCACAUAAUAAGGGAAAUGAGAAAUAAAGCAAUUAAAUACAAUUAAAAGAAACUACAAUAUCACUACCGUCAAAUUGACAGAGCAAGUGCAUUACUUACGUAAAUCAAUGUCAAACAGCCUCUUCAGACCAGGUCUUUGAACCUUCACAACAACUUUCUCUCCAUUAUGCAGGAUUGCACGAUGUACCUAUAGAUGGUAUCCUUUGAAAUUCAAAUUAGCGAAUAGGAAUCACCUCAAGUAAAACUUAAAUAAAAUGUCAAGAAUUUUAACAAUGACAACACUAUUCAAGCUUCUUAAGUGAAGUUAAACGGACAAACCAGCUUUAAUGUACGAUGUUCAAUAAGAAAAAGAGGAAUGUAACAAGAAUCAAACACCUGACCAAGACUAGCUGCAGCAAUUGGCCGGUCCUCAAACGUUUUGAAAAAUUGCUCAAUAGGAGCUCCAAGUUCAUUCUUGAUGAAGUGUCUUGCUUUCUCUGGAGAGAAGGCAGGAACCCUAUCCUGAAUUAUAUUGAAUAUGAACAUAAAAUUUAUAUGAAAAGUAAAAAGUAAUACUAGUUAUAUGGAUUACAGGAUAUCAGCACCUAAAAUCAAAUGAUGUCGGGGAAAUUCAAUGCUAAAUUGUAAAGACAGUAAAAGCAGUACCUGUAACUUGGCAAGCUCAUCCACAAACUCACGUGGAAAAAGAUCUGACCUUGUUGAAGAUAACUGCCCAAGUUUAAUAAAAGUUGGACCAAGCUGCAGCACACUCUCCCUUAGCCAUGAGGCAGUCUUUCGUCUUCUGUUUUUCUGAAUGGAAGAUAAUUAUUAACAAAAAAGCCAGAAGCCCCCCAAAAAAAAAAAAGAUUUAAGUCGAAGAGACCAAGAAAUGAUGAGAAACUUGGCCAAAUAUGAAAUCAGUAAUGAUAAUGACUGAUCAAAGUUUGAAGCCAAUCUGGCAGCAUCAUAUACCUGUUUAUCUUCUGAGAAGCCUCCCAAAUAGGCCCAUUUGGCAUUGUCAAACAGAAUACGGAUUUGUAAUGAAAGGACAAAUGACCAAACAUCUAUAAUCCUUUGCCAGGAAUUAUAAUUCUCAUUAGCCCAACUGAAACUUUCAUCCGAGGGCAGAACCUUCAGCUCCUCCACUGGUGGAAGUUCAUUUGAACCCUUGCCUUUCAGUGCCUUAACGAGGGCCGAAGUAGAAUUUUUCUUAGCUAAACCUGCAACAUUAAUGACCUGCUUUGUCCCAUUGACCAUCUUAUUAACCUUACCAUUGGGUGGAUUAUUCCUUUUCACCACCUCACUAGCAGGUACCAUCUUAACCGAUCGUCCAUUAGUCCCAACUCUUGAGGGAGAUUCAGUUUGCCGCGCUUCAACAUGAAACUGAAAUGCUUUAUUAGUCAAAGUUGGAUUACAUGUUUUCCUCUCAAAGCUUGAUAUGGAACUCGAGAAACUAAGAUUGUCCAUAUCUCUUCCUUGGUUUAUCAAAUCAAUAUUGUGGCAAUAACAGCCUUGUGAAGCCAGUAUUGCCGCCAUUCAAUCGACAAACACCUAUGGAUUGAUAUCAAUACAGAAAUUAGACUGAUGCUAAACCAAAUAACAAUACUAAGAAUUAAAGCGAGCAAAUGUCAGUUAUAAUGGGAAACACGAAAAUUAAACCAUUAACACGACAAAUCUGAAGCCAGAACACUCAAUGAAAUAAAAAAAUAAAAAAAAAAACUCAACUGAAAGCAAGAUAAUGAAACAAAAGAAGAAAACAAAUGAGCAAUGAAUAUUCACCCACCAAGUCAAUGACUCUUAAGUAUUAAUUCUAAUUAUCUAAACAUGAAUGAACAUAUAUACUAAGUUAGUUAAGAGAACAGAAGAGUUUAAACUUAAAAGACAUUAAUACAUGCAAAUUGAAUAAUGUUUGUUUGAAACUAAAGAGAGCCCAGAUGAAGAUACUCACAAGAGAAGAAGAAAGAGUAACUAUCAAGUCUUAGAAAUGAAUCUCGAAGCUGAGAGAUUUAUUGGGUUUUAAGAAAAAUGACCAAAAAAUUGAUUUUUUUUUUAUAAGAAAAUAAAUUGACUAAAUAAGUGUUAUGAACAAAAUGUGGACGAGCAAAAAGAACGUGGACAGCACAGUGGCAGCGUGUCUCCCUUGCCAAUUCUAGUUGAUUAAGUUACUCAACAUAUUGUUCGGUCUGAUUUUUCUUUCUCUUUUUGUUUGGGUAUAUUUGUAAUUUCAUUUUAACGACAAAACUGAAAGUUGAAUCUUCACGACAACCAUUCAGUUGCGUGGCGGGUUUUAUUUUCUUGUCAAGAAUGGGUAAAAUUAUAUAUGAGUCCCUGAUGUUUCUUUAAGCGAUGACUUAUUUAUCCGUAUCAACAGGUCCAGGAUUAUCGCCAUUAAAAAUUUGAAAUGAUCAUCUUAACCUUGCAAUUUUGGACUUCCAAGAGUAUAUGUAAUAUAACUUAACUCUAAAGGGUAUUUCAGUUAUUGCGAUUGAAAUUAUCAAAUUGGGGACAUAUUUGAUAUAAAUGGAAGAACUAUUUAUUAUUAUUGGGAAAUAAUAAACUAUUAACCAAUAGCGUGGAUGUUAAAAUAAGAUCUAUAAUAACAAUUUAGUGAUUUUUUUUUUUAAAAAUUUUUGAGAAGAUCAAUUUAGUGAUCUUAAAUUAUUAACAAAAAAGCCAGAAGCCCCCCAAAAAAAAAAAAGAUUUAAGUCGAAGAGACCAAGAAAUGAUGAGAAACUUGGCCAAAUAUGAAAUCAGUAAUGAUAAUGACUGAUCAAAGUUUGAAGCCAAUCUGGCAGCAUCAUAUACCUGUUUAUCUUCUGAGAAGCCUCCCAAAUAGGCCCAUUUGGCAUUGUCAAACAGAAUACGGAUUUGUAAUGAAAGGACAAAUGACCAAACAUCUAUAAUCCUUUGCCAGGAAUUAUAAUUCUCAUUAGCCCAACUGAAACUUUCAUCCGAGGGCAGAACCUUCAGCUCCUCCACUGGUGGAAGUUCAUUUGAACCCUUGCCUUUCAGUGCCUUAACGAGGGCCGAAGUAGAAUUUUUCUUAGCUAAACCUGCAACAUUAAUGACCUGCUUUGUCCCAUUGACCAUCUUAUUAACCUUACCAUUGGGUGGAUUAUUCCUUUUCACCACCUCACUAGCAGGUACCAUCUUAACCGAUCGUCCAUUAGUCCCAACUCUUGAGGGAGAUUCAGUUUGCCGCGCUUCAACAUGAAACUGAAAUGCUUUAUUAGUCAAAGUUGGAUUACAUGUUUUCCUCUCAAAGCUUGAUAUGGAACUCGAGAAACUAAGAUUGUCCAUAUCUCUUCCUUGGUUUAUCAAAUCAAUAUUGUGGCAAUAACAGCCUUGUGAAGCCAGUAUUGCCGCCAUUCAAUCGACAAACACCUAUGGAUUGAUAUCAAUACAGAAAUUAGACUGAUGCUAAACCAAAUAACAAUACUAAGAAUUAAAGCGAGCAAAUGUCAGUUAUAAUGGGAAACACGAAAAUUAAACCAUUAACACGACAAAUCUGAAGCCAGAACACUCAAUGAAAUAAAAAAAUAAAAAAAAAAACUCAACUGAAAGCAAGAUAAUGAAACAAAAGAAGAAAACAAAUGAGCAAUGAAUAUUCACCCACCAAGUCAAUGACUCUUAAGUAUUAAUUCUAAUUAUCUAAACAUGAAUGAACAUAUAUACUAAGUUAGUUAAGAGAACAGAAGAGUUUAAACUUAAAAGACAUUAAUACAUGCAAAUUGAAUAAUGUUUGUUUGAAACUAAAGAGAGCCCAGAUGAAGAUACUCACAAGAGAAGAAGAAAGAGUAACUAUCAAGUCUUAGAAAUGAAUCUCGAAGCUGAGAGAUUUAUUGGGUUUUAAGAAAAAUGACCAAAAAAUUGAUUUUUUUUUUAUAAGAAAAUAAAUUGACUAAAUAAGUGUUAUGAACAAAAUGUGGACGAGCAAAAAGAACGUGGACAGCACAGUGGCAGCGUGUCUCCCUUGCCAAUUCUAGUUGAUUAAGUUACUCAACAUAUUGUUCGGUCUGAUUUUUCUUUCUCUUUUUGUUUGGGUAUAUUUGUAAUUUCAUUUUAACGACAAAACUGAAAGUUGAAUCUUCACGACAACCAUUCAGUUGCGUGGCGGGUUUUAUUUUCUUGUCAAGAAUGGGUAAAAUUAUAUAUGAGUCCCUGAUGUUUCUUUAAGCGAUGACUUAUUUAUCCGUAUCAACAGGUCCAGGAUUAUCGCCAUUAAAAAUUUGAAAUGAUCAUCUUAACCUUGCAAUUUUGGACUUCCAAGAGUAUAUGUAAUAUAACUUAACUCUAAAGGGUAUUUCAGUUAUUGCGAUUGAAAUUAUCAAAUUGGGGACAUAUUUGAUAUAAAUGGAAGAACUAUUUAUUAUUAUUGGGAAAUAAUAAACUAUUAACCAAUAGCGUGGAUGUUAAAAUAAGAUCUAUAAUAACAAUUUAGUGAUUUUUUUUUUUAAAAAUUUUUGAGAAGAUCAAUUUAGUGAUCUUAAAAUAAUUUUUUAAUUUGGUGCUUUGUGGUUUAGAUAGGUUUAUGGUGACAGGCAAGUAGGUUGCUUUGCUGAGAAUUGUGACAUGUUCUAACUUGUAGUUGAUAUUCACGGUCUAUUUGGAAUUGAGGUUGGACAAUUGUAUCUUUUAAGAUACAGCUUUCAAGUGUUUGGUAAACACUAACUACUGUAACUUUGAAGUUAGAUUGAUUUGAAUUUACAUUUCUGUGAUGAAAAAUAUAUUAUAUCUUUAUUAAUUUAUCAAAAUUAUUAUUUUAAAAUUAUUAUUUAUUAUAUAAUAUUAACUUUUAUUUCAUCGUUAUUGCUUUUUUCUAUAGAAGCUGUAACUUAAAAGAUGUAGUACAUCAAUCCCAAACAUAACCUUAAUUAAAUGGUCAACCUAGCUGUUCAAGGAGUUGACUUGGGUUUAACAAGUUUAUGUGGCUGCUUUUCAACUAUUUAUUUAUUUUAAUGUUUGCUAAAUAGAUCAUGUUAGCUAAUUGGUAGGGCUAAUCUUUGUUAACUAAAAGGGAAUAUCAAUAACAAUUAAUAAUAUCGACUUGUUUUACACCAUUUAGAUUAAGUUAAAUGAUCAUGAACAAUAUCAUAUUUUUUUACUUUUUUGUUUAUCUACAAUUAGCUGAUAAUUAAACUUAUUUCAAAAUCUAACUUUUGUAUAUGUCCCUAUAAUUAUACAGGAAUUAUGUGAAAAGGUCAAUUUUUUAUGAAAAAAGAAAAGGAAGAUUCUCUAUAAUCAUUUUCAACGUGAUAUUGAUUUCUUUUUAGGGAAAAAAAAAUGAGUGUUGGACCUUUAUAACAAAAAAAUAAUGAAAAAAUAACUACCUACCAUUUGGUUUUUUUAAUUUGUAAAAAGUACUUCAAUUUUUUUCUUUUGAAAGGAUCUAUCAAAAAUAUAGUGCAUCACUUUUUCACUUUUCUAUUAAUGCCGAUAGAGGAUUUAACAGAAUAUUAAUAAGAUGAUUGUUUUACACGUGAAUGUAAAAAGAUUAUUUAAUCCUAUCAAAAUGAGGAAAAAAAAGGAAGUAGUUGGGACUAAUAAGGGCUACAAAAUUAACUAUAUAGACUUAUCAAUUACCUAAUUUAAAAAUAUAAAAUCAUCAAAAUAAGUAACCUGGUUAAUUUGUAGCUCAUUUAUAACAUAAAUUAGGAACCCUUGUUCAUAUAAGCCAUCCUAAAUAACAUAACUUCAUCAAAAAUAAUAAAUCUUUAAUAAACAAUAAAUAGAAAUAGGCAUAGUUAUUUAAAAUACAUUCAAAAUAAUCAUAAAAUCAAUUAUGAGAAACUUUGAACAUUAUAAUUUGCUUCCAUCAAUAGAAAAUAAUAACAUUAAAUCAGUUUUGGGAAACUUGGAGUUUAUAGUUAUUUCUUGUCAAUCCAAAAUAAUAGUAUAAUUCAAAAAAUCCAAACUAACAACCAAUAAAUAUAUAUUUUUUUUCACAUUUAGGGAUCGAAUAGUCAUUCUUUGAUAUUUUGUUACAUCCUUUAAUGACGACGGUAAUAGAAAAGUAAAUACAUAAUACAUUAUAUAAACUUCAUAUGGAAAACUACAAAACAUAAAAAGUUUAGUAAAUCAUUAGUGGUGUUGGAUAUUUAUCCAAAAAUAGUUGAUGCAUUUUGGCCAACUUUUCAUCAGUUUGUUAGAUGCUAGCUUGGGCCUUGGAUAUACAAUGAGUUUGCCUUGGUGUAAGUGUACCUAAAAGUGUGAGAAAAUUGAAUAUUUCAACUGAUGCAUAUGCCUUGUUUGCUUCAAAUACAUGAUUUUCGUAUCACAAGGUUCGGAACUAGACGAAAGAAAAGGUUGACCUCCCCAUUAAUAUAUUGAAUGAAAAAAGAAGGCUUCUUGUAUGAUCACCAUCAAUAUCUAGUUAGGUGUCAUACUUCUUUUGACCGUGUUGGCUUUAAUAUCUGUAUGGCUAGGUUCUAGAGAGAAUUUGCUAGGUACAUGGAAAAGAUCAGGAACCUAUCAUGGAGGUUUCUGAUAACUGUCUUCUGAUCUUUUUCCACCCGUUUGACAUUUUGACAAACCUCAAAACGGUACCAGAGAAAAGAGCCCUUUAGAAGUCGGAAUCCUCGGUUGCUUGACUAGAUGUAGAAUUAAAGUCGAAGAAAGAAACACAGUAAUUUAAAGCAACCUAUCUAGUUGAUGAUCUAUUUUUCUUUUCCUUUUUGCUUUCACAAGUGAUUUUAAGUGUGCAAUCUACAAUGCUCCCUGGGAGCCAUUUCUUUACUUAACAAUGUUGCGUAUAUGUUGAUACAAAGAGCAGAAUCUAAAGGAAUAGAAUGAAAAUCAUAAGUGUAAUGUUUAUAUCAUUUUCUCAAUUUUGUUAAGCUCCUUCACUCUUUGCAUCGACCAAAGAAACAGUAUAAAGAAAACUCCUGCAUUUUAGGAAAUAAUAAGACAUUCAAGCUACUAGAGCAUUGAUGAAUAUGAAAUUGGAACUUAAUGGAGAGUAAUGGCAUUGUUUUGUGAAAGGCAUAAGCGCACCUGCACCAAUGAAUGAUCCGGUUGCCAGAACUUUAUGGGCUUGACCACUAAGGGUGACCCCGAGAUUGAGCAGGCUACCUCCAAAUACAGCACGAAUGGUUGCUAUUUGCAGUAUUGUUGCUUUUUUAGCUGCUCUUUCUGACUGGUAAAUGUAAAAUUUUCAAUUUAGGAGAUUUAAAGGCUGAAUGAAGGAUCUGGUUUGAUAAUAUGAGAAAUAAUGGAUAAUGUAUUGAAAAAUGAAAUAAAACCAACGUUGCAUCACCAUUAAAAGAUGAUUAAGUACCUCAAGCACCCGGACUCUGAGUUUUAGAUCUCCCGCUUCAAGUUGAUUUACAACCUCCUCUAUUCGUUGAACUCUGUAUGGCAUGGAUACGGUAGAGGAUCGGGCCUGAGAAACAUACAAAGGUGAUCUCAAUACUAGUAAUUAUUGAAAAAUUAUCUUAAACUAGAGAAGAAGCAAUAAGCAUUUACAUGAUCAAUUUGUUUCCUUAUAUUUUCCACAGGCUGCGUCUUAGCGAUCAUCUGCUUUUGUCUCAUCUCUAGCAGCUCCUGUAAGAAGGAAUAAUAAGUAGUCUACUCCCAACUAUAGAAAUGAUCACCAAAACGUCAUGAAAUCCUUUUUUAUUUGCAAAGGAGUUAAUCAUAGAUGCCCAGAGAAGUGGAUAUAACCUGCAAAUAAGGUGCAGCAACCUUCAUAAAGGAAAAAUCUGGGUCAAGCAUAUAGCCAUUACCUGUAAAGAAAAAUGAACAGUAAAAUUGAAGAUUUAAAGAUCGAUUUGAUAUAUUAUUAUACUGCGAUUUGGGGAUGACGUAUAUGGGGAUAAGAAUAGAGGACCUUCAAGUGUUGAGAAUGCCCUUACAACAAAAGCAAAGAUUGAUGGAAACUGAAAAGGUUGAUCGUGAGCUAUAGCAAAUAAAUCCUGCAGAAAAACGAACAAACAGACAAAAAGCCUUAACAACACAUGUGUCGUUAACUUCUGUUUAGUGUUCUUAUGCAGGAAGGUACUGCCUUUUCUUUAAGCUUCUAUAUCACAUGAGAAAAUUUUCAGUGUCCAGGUUUACACACCUCACCGACAGCAGCAAGCGUCUGUUCCUUAUCUGGUCUGCUGAAUAAAUUGUCCAAGAAAAACUGCACAAAUCUCUUCACCUAAGGAUAGAAUAAACGACUAUUAAUCUACGAGAUGGAUCUACUGAAGGAUUUGGCAAUCCAUAAUGAAUAGAAGGCCACAUCAAUGUGUAACAAUGCCUUUUCUAAUGUUUAAUAUGAAAAAAUAUGGCAUGAUGGCCUACCGAAGACAAAUCUCCUGUGGGCUGAAGUGCUUCAAGAUCAAUUAGGCUCUGGAUAACCUGCAUAAUGACUGCUCAGUCUUGGGCCAGCAAGCAAGGGGAGCAAAAUUUGAUCUACUCGAGUUUUUCUAAUCACUUCAAUUGCAUUUCUGAAAUGGGUUAUUAUUCAAAUUAUCUAAGCAAGAAAGAAAUGAUGAUCCUUAAAACAUAACUGACAGUAAAAAGAUUCUGCAGAUGGAUGUGUGGGGCCCAAUGUUCAUAACAUUCUCAGAUAAACAUCCAGUUUAAGAAUAAAUUCUUUCGUGUCUUAUGUACUGGCAGAGGGUAGACAAGAGGGUAGACAACUAUGAUUUCGAAUUUGUAUAGAGAAAAUAUCAGUAUAAAGUCUGGUAUGUUUAGAACUUUACUGUCUAAACUUUAAUGGUCAACAUCAACUUACAGCAAAAAGAACAGUGACUCAAUAUAUAGAAAGUAGACCUUUUUGGCAUUUCUCUCAUAAACUGCAAAGAAAAGUUCAAGCAAUCUGUCACGAGUAAGAGGUGUGAUCUCUCCCAUCAUACCGAAAUCAUAAUAGAUCAGUGCUUCAUCUACAUCGACUGCAAGAUUUCCAGGAUGAGGAUCAGCAUGAAAGAAACCGGUUUUGAGCAUCUGCAAUUUUGGCAAACUUCAGUAAAUUACUAUAUUAUAAUUGGGUCAACAAACCUUACUUAAUCAUGGGGGAACAUAAUGAAUAAGGUCCUGAGGGACUUCGAUAUUUACAUGGUUCAUAACAGUCAUCAUUUCAGAAUUAAGAACAAGAAGAUUAAUCAAUUCAGACAGGGUUAAACUUAAUAACCUGAAUCAAGAAUGCUUCAACUGCACGGGAGGAGAUCUGAGAUCGGCUAUAACCAUGGAAAUCUAGUGCUUCCAACUCAUUGAUAUUAAUUCCUGAUAUAGAAGUAACAAUCUAACAUCAAUUAUCACCAACAUAAGAAAUCUGCGUUUGGUCCCCAAACAUACAUUGUGAAACCUCCAUGGCUUCUUGAACCAAAAACUUUUGUAUUGGUUUAGGGUAAAACCUGGUACAUACUCCAUGGUUAAUACCAUCGAGGCAGUAUAGUCCCAAAACACAAGCUACAAAGGGAGAAAAAGUUAAUUUAAGAACUCAUAAUAUGUCUGAAAUUCCAGAAAAAAAAAUGUGUUAGUGACAAUAAAAUUGAAGAACUAAUGAAAGAAGUGGCAGGAAGGGAGUAUUCUUGAGCAAGAAACAUACAGGCACUCGGACCCACUUUAUAUUCCGGAAAUCUCGACGGAAUCUGUCAGCAUUUUUGCCUUCGUUUAUGUAAUUUAAUUCUUGAUACAAAAUCCUGGAAUCAAUAGGAGGGUGAGCUGUGAGUUUUAAAAAAGGUAGAAGAUUACUGCAUUUUAAAAUAAUUGGAAUAGAAGAUUACUGCAUAAACACAUUAUAAUAAUUGGAAAAGAAUUGUCAUCCCUAAGGUGCCUAGUUGAUUAGUCUCUUGCUCCAGAAGUAAGACCAAGGGUUCAAUCCAUGUUUAAUUCAAGGGCUGGGUGCAUGAAAAAGAGGACGGAAACAAAUUGUCCAACCAAAAAAAUUUGUAAUAAUCCUGUAUUGAAAAGUACAAUUUGUGGAUGCUGAGUAAAUUUUGUGUUUUAGUAUGGAUGUUGAGGUGUCAAUAUGAAACUAUAAGGACCCAGAUAUAUGUUAUCAUACUUAUAGUUUCAUCCUUUGAAGUCUUUGAAGAACAAAGCUGGGAUAACAAUUAAUUCAACUUACUACUUACGUGGAACAUUCUCUAUAUAUACCAUUCCAAUCUGCUACUGGACCACCAAAUAAUCCUCCUUUCUUAUAAUAUUUUGCAACUAGCUUUAAGUUUCCUGUAUGCAAGAAGCAGGGACAUGAAAGAUCAAUGCAGCAAACACCAAAAGGACAAAGCCAAGGUUGAUUUACUAUUUCAGAAUACAAAGAAAACUGCAAAUCAAAUUAACCUCUAUAUUAAUGUGUACAUAGAGAGAUGCAUGGAUACACGUACAGGUAACACAAGUACAUGAGUAAUAUUGGUAUAUUAUAAUGAAACAAUGUAUUACCAUUGUUGCGCAAAUGUUAAAGUAAAUGUAACAGGGAUUGCUUGCUACCCGACACUUCCUAAAUAAAUGUACUGAACUGGACGUAACUCUCGCAUGGAUCAAAUAUAUAGUUACGGAAAAGAAGAAGAAGAACAGUAAAGAUUGUCCUAAUGGAUCCAACCAAGAAUAUUAAAAAGAAAGGGCAGCUAGUAUUUUAUAGUGAUAAGAAUCCAAAGUAUCAAUUUGGUUGAACUGAGAGAAACAAUGCUCUACUCACCUAAAUCAAUAUCAAAAAGCUUCUUGAGACCAGGCCUUUGAACUUUUACAACUACUUUCUCUCCAUUAUGCAGGAUAGCUCGAUGUACCUGUUGAUAUUGUAUCCAAAUUUGUAAACUUUCUCAAGAUGCACUAAGAUGUGCUUCUAAAUGCUGAUAGUGGAACUGUAUCUCAUUUUUUUCUGAUACUAUGAUAAAGGAAAAAAAAAAAGCUUAAACAAUUGGGUGGAAGAGCUAAAGAGAAUCAACACCUGACCAAUACUAGCAGCAGAAAUUGGCUGGUCCUCGAACUUUUUAAACAAUUGGUCAAUGGGAGCCCCCAGUUCACUCUCAAUUAAGCUUCUUGCUUUCUCUGGUGAGAAUGCAGGGGCCCUAUCCUGAAUAAUGUUAAUUAAGAACUUAAUAUUUAGAUGAAAGUUAAGAAGUUGAGAUUACAUUUCAGUUUAAAAUGAAGUGAGAUUACAUGAAUGAUUGGAUGUGUGCACUAAAAAGCCUAAUCAUGUUGGGAAAAUUUGUAUUAGAAAAUAUAUAAAGACAGAAAUCAAGAAGUACCUGCAACUUAGCAAGCUCAUCCACAUACUCACGUGGAAAUAGAUCGGACCUUGUUGAAGAUAACUGCCCAAGUUUCAUAAAAGUUGGUCCCAGCUGCAGUAUACGCUCCCGUAGCCACGAGGCAGUCCUUUUUCUUCUUUUUUUCUGAAAGAGAUACAUUUUAUAAACACCAAAGUGUGAAAACAAAAGAGUGAAAGACUGAAGUAUAAGAAAUAAAGAAACGGUCAGAAACUGGGACAAGUAGGAAAUAAGUAGUGAAGACAAUUGAGUAGGACUUAGAAUAUCCAAUGUUCAGCAUUGUAUAACACUCUAAAUGUCAGCCAAAUUCACCUGCUUUUCUUCCAUGAAGCCUCCAAAAUAUGUCCAUUUGGUAUCAUCCAACUGAAUACGGAUAUAGAAUGAAAUAACAAAUAACCAAAUAUCUAUACUUCUUUGCAAGGAAUUAUAAUUCUCGUUAGACCAACUGAAGUUUUGAUGUGAAAGUGUAUCCUUCAACUCCCCUAUCGGUGGAAGUUCUUUCAAACCUUUACCUUUUGGUGUUCUAACCAGGGCUGAAGAAGAUUUUCUCUUAACUACACUUCCAUUAACGGACUGCUUUGAGCCAUUGACUGUAUCUAUAUUAUGACUGAGCUGGGGGUGUCUUCCCAAUACCUCGCCAAUGGGUACCAUUUUAACAGGUCUUCCAUUGAUUCCCAAUGUUGAAGGUGACCCAGUAUGUUUCAUUUGCACUAGAAACUGGAAUAAUCCAUUGGUAAUUGUUGGUUUGCAUGUUAACCUCUCUAACGUUGAUACCGAGCUUGAAAAACUCAGAUUUUCCAUUGUUUUUUGUUGAUUAAUCAAAUGAUUACUGUGGCAACAGCAGCCUUGUGAAGCCAGUAUUCCCACCAUUUAAUCAACAAAAACCUAUGUAUUGAUAACCAAUAUCAAAAUUAGAUUGAUGCAGAGCUAAGUAAUGAAAUGCGAAAUGCAAGCUAACCAAAUUUGGUUUGAUCCAAAACAAGUGAAAAGAAUUAAAAGAACAAUGCACCUUCAAUCUAACAUCAACUAGCAGAUUAUAUUAUGCAGAUUUCAUUUGCUAUAAUUAGGAUAAAAGAAACCAAUGUAGCAUUCAUAAGAUAAGUCAAGCAUAUAAACUGGAGAGAAGAAGUGAAGGGUUUCAAUGGAAACUUAUUGACUAACAAACUGAAAGCAAGAUAAUUAAACAAAAGAAAGAAAUUACAUUCCAAACCAGAUCAAGUCAACAUAUUUAACAAAUGUCCAACAAGAGACCAAACCCAAAAUCAUUCACCCACGAACUCAAAAUCAGUUGCUAAUCAACAGAACAGAUGUUGCGGUUGAGGGUCAGCAUCAAAAAAAAAAAAAAAAGUUCAGAAGCUCCAUUAAAAUUAUGUGAAAGUAAAAGAACCCAGACUAUGAUACUCACGAAACAGAAGAGUCAGCAACAAGCUUAGAUAUGAAUCUUAAGAUUUGAAAAUUUCAUUGGAUGUAUAGGAAAAACAAACUAAGGGUUUGUCCAACAACUAACUUAUUUUUAUAGAGGAAAGAUAUUGACUAUACUAGAAAUGUAAUCAAAAAUAGAAAGACGGGGGAAAGUGAGAAAAUGGGACGCCAGCAAAUGGGCAAUUGUCAUUUGCAAUUCUAUAAUAUUUUUAAAUCAUUAAUUUGUUCAACUCGGAGUUCGGACAAAUGGUUGUGCCUUUGUGUUAUAAAUUCUCUAACAACGACAAAAACCGAAAACAACUCCAAUAUUUGGGUGGGUAAAAUAGCCUUUUUGUUUUGGCUUGCAUUAGUUAAAUAAAAAUAAUAUGAUGUUACAGGCUCACAGCUUUGAAGUUCACGAUCACACUUAAAAGAACACCAACAUGAAGUUGAUGACACAGCCGAAUGUGAUGCACAUGGACUGCAUUGCCUCUAAAUACAUAAAUAUAUGAACUCAGAUGUGCAAAAAAGACGCAAGUCAAAAAUGGAUGGCAUUGAUUUUUCUAUAUCCAAUAGUCAUCUUUCUUUUCUGAACUGUCAAAAUAUUGACCAAAGUGCCAUCCCAUAAUCAUAGUACUUACCCAGUACUUAGUAUUUACAUUGAUAAAUAAAAAUAUACAUGUUGCUUUAAAAGCAACAGUACAUGUAAGCGUCCACUGUGAAUCAGUUUUUUGUUAUUAGCGUGACAGCUUUUCAAAAAUAUUUACUCCCGAAAAGCCAGUACACUUAAGUCAGUAGCAUUUCAAUUUUUUUGGCGGCAUUUCGGUAUGGCUCACACUAUCAUUGUGCCUGCUCACCAAGUGAUCAUUGUUCUUUGGUAUGUCUUCAGGGAAUCUGGAGCCUUCUGGAAAAUUGCAGUACCAGACGAUGUUAGUUGCAAUGGCACCGACAAAAAUAUCAGUCCUCGGAGUUAGACGAAUUUUUCUUUCAACUAGUGAAACCUGCCCACAGCAUUGACUUUGGAUUGCUGCAUUCCUCAGCUUCCGAACAACGGUGUCCUUAUCAUGGCUGAUGUUAUCUGCUUCCUCCUGCAUUACAUACACAGACGGGAAUUAAGUCGAUGGUUUUCUGUGACCUUUCCUUGAGAGUGUAAUUUCUUCAAAAAGACUAAUAGAGCAUGUUUACAGAUAUUACAUCCUAAUUAAUGUUACCAUGGACAAAUUACUGAUUUAAAAAGUUGAACUGAUAACGUAGUUUCAAUUAUGAUUUCUUAAAUUACUGCAUAAGUUUUUCUAGUGACAAGGAGAAAUUCCAAGAGGCUAAAAGGAUUCAUACAGCAUUAGUUUGACGUUAUACCAAAGAUAAAGGAAAAAAGAUGAACGGGCAUUUGAGGGAGAAGUAUAUAAGGGAAGUCAACAUUGGCGCACCGACAACCACAACCAUCACUAAAAUUGAGUUUUAGGGCUAUGAUAAAUGGUCUUGUUUUAAGUGUUUCCCUAGUGUGUUCAUGCACAUGAAGGGGUAAAACAAUUAGAAUCCCCCUCACAAAACUCAUUGGCGAAAGCAGCAGCUAAAAUCAAAGAAUAUGUACAGUAAAUUUAUUGUGUAACAGUAAUAUAAUAUGAAGACAACCAAAUUUUAUGUCCAAUGUGCACAAAAUGUGCUAUUUCACACCAGUGAUUGCAGCACUAUUUCUGAUGGAUGAUACCUUUUCAGCUUGAAUGGUUGUUUAUUCAAAAUGGCUGUUUUAAGAUCUGGCCUGUCUGAGAAAGAAACCUAUAUUUCAAAUACAGGAGAAUUAAAUACAGAUUCAAUCAGAAUAUGAGCAAGGGAAAAGCAAGCAAAAAGGUAAAGAGUCUUAAAACAUAACAGGAAGUGAUUGAGAGGGAUAACUGGUGCCUUUGUUUGAAGGUUAAACUGUAUUCGCAGCAACUGCAAAAAAGAAAAUCAUCCCUCUAAAGAUAUUAAUAUCUAAGGUGAAAAGGAAAUACCUCGACUGAUUGGACGAAGGGCGAUGGAGCUUUGGGUCUGUGAACACUGCCUACCCUGAGAGCCCAUUUCACAUACUUGUCUGUAUUGCUCCCAAAAAUCACAAAUACAAUUAGGCACUCCAUUUUAUUUUUGAUUUAUAUCACUCACCACACAUGGGAGCAAUAAUAACUAAAAGAUAGUCUAAAUAAGUAUUUUUCCAGCCUUUGCAGCACAGCAGUCAUUAUUCACUCAGAAAGAAGGUAAAAUGCAAGCUUAAGUCACUCACGAAUUGUGACAAAACUUCGUAACUUUGAAUAAAAAAGCUUGGGAUCCCAAAUGAUGUCUUCCAUCAGCAAACCUAUUACAUAUCGAUAUAUGAAAAUAAGCAAAAAGCUGGAAAGAUACCUGAUCGUGAUGGCCUAGAGUACUGAUCAAGAUUAAUCUGAAAAAGAUCUACUCGAACAUAAGGAGGAAUCCACAGAUUAAGAUGAUGCAUAACCCCUGCAAUCACCUGUCGUUUUUCAAGUUACACUUUUGUUGAUCAAAAGAAUCAAGCCAGUUCGAAGAUGUCUGAUAUGCUUGAUGAUCUAGCAUGUUAAGAUAAAAAAGGCACUGAAAAUAUACUAAUGCAACUGAUUAAUAAGCACUACAUACUUUACAUAUUUCUUUUAUAAUAUACAGACAAAGUUUGGUUCUUUGAAAUGUAUAAUAAAUAAUACUGCCCUUUGGUUCUAUAAAAAAAACCCUUAUGCAUCCCAUAGUAAAAUGCAAGGAAUGGAAAAAAAAUUCAAUAUGAGCAGGGUCCCAUCCUGUAGUUUAUUGGUUUAUACCAGGAGCUUCUUAUGUAUUGGUCAUGGUACGAAUAGGACAGCCACCCUGAGUUACAAUGCAGCACUGCAAUGAUGUUUCAAUAUGUGCUUCAAAAAAGCCAUCCUCUUAUUGCAUAACAAAUGAAUUGUCAGAACUUAAAACUAUUAUGGUGGAAUUGACAACGAUGAGAGAAAAACAUGGAAGCACAAAAUAUGCAGUAACACAAAAAAUUGUUAAGCAUUCUAUGCUUAGUAAUUCAGAAUAAGAUAACUAUACCUUGUCAACAGGAGCAUGAACAACCAAACUUGCUUUCUUGUCCUUUGGCGUUUGCUGGACAUAUAAGUUGAAAAGUAAAGAGAGCAGUCAAAAAUGAUGCUGACUAAUCAUAUGCAUAAAAUACUUGCUCUGGAUGAGAAGAGAAAGUUAAGUCAAUUGAUACAAAAUUAUUUUAAUGAUCAUGAGACACAAGUCUCCCAAGAGACUUAUACCAGUAAAGGUCUUUGUCAUAGUUUAUAAUGUGAAAGAAAAGCCCAAUAAUGUCAUGGCCUUAGUACAACCUUGAAGUAGUGAUCAGUUACACAUAAAGAUUUCAGCCUGUACUAAAAAAUAGCAUAGCAGAUUCAUGAGUGAAGGAAAAAGAAAUAAAGAAAUACCUGUAGGUUUACAAUUACGAUCUUACCCCCACCACGAAGUGAUUUUAAAGGAAGGUUGCAAGCUGGAGUAAUCUGCAAACUGCACAACAGCAAUCUGAAUGAAGUACUAAAAGAGACAAAAGAAAAGGAAAAUUGCACACAAGAAAAUGUUGUUCACAUAAAAAGAUGACUACUUCUAAGAACCUCGGCUUCAAACAGUCUAAAACCACAUGCUGAUGGAACCUUAGACAUAAAGUUUUAAACUGCUAAAAUUCGAGCAUCUAUAUACAAUUUUUACUAGGCUGACUAGUAAGUUGUUCCAAAUUUACUUGAUGACAUGUCAAAGAGUUUUGUGUGUAAUUACUCCACCACUCUGAAGCAUAGCAUGUGAACACUUCCUGAGCUGAACUAUCAGGUAAAGUUGAAAAAAAAAAGGGGCACAAGAAAUGAAUAAUCCAAAGAAUAGCAAAAUACUCUUAUCAGAAAAAGAGGACGGCUAAAUGUGAUUUUUAAUUACCAGACGAUUGCAACAGAUAAAUGCGGGCUAAUGGGGGCAUUAAUUCAUUUAUUUUUAAAAUAUCAACUCCAAAGCGUAGGUAAGAGAUUGAAGGGGGAAUUAAACUUCCAUCUCCACUGCAUGAUCUAAAGCAAAAAAUUACAGCUUUAAUGAAGAUAACAAUGGUGCAGCACAGACAUAUAUUAAGGAAACACACCUGGUACCCAAGCAUAGAACAACAUCUGCCAUCCUACAGUUUUCCUCUGCUGGAUUCAUCUCUACUGGUGGCAAUGCAUCCUGAAAUAAAAGCAAUAAGACUAUCAGCAGCAUUAACUUUGUUAAGAUAACUAAAACAAUCUGAUUUGUCUUUGUAUCAAGUGACUAAAUAAUACACAAGAAGCAGCAAAGCAGAUGGCAAAGCAUGAAAUCAAGUAUUACAUUAACAGUGCAGUGUAGAAAAGCAGUAGAAAGUUACCUCCCAAUCAAGAACAGUGUCCUUAAGUCUUGACCCACAUUUAACGUCAGAACAACGGCGUGGUGUUUUCUUCAUACCAAUGGUUUCUAUCUCAAAAUCACGCAUAUACCUGUACAUGUCAAAUAAAAUUGAAUUUCUAUACCAACUGAAAUCCUAAAGAGAAAGUGAGACAGGGAGAAAGGUUCUUCCAAAUGAUUAAACCAAAAUACUGAAGCACAUUGUGAACAGGAAAAAUAAGUAAAAGUACUCUACUCCACAAGAUGGGCAAAUUUCUCGAAAAGAAUUGCCGUGCAACUCAGCAAGUUUCUCCCUUGGUAUUCCAGAACACAGAUGCAGGCUAUCGACAUUCUGAAAAUUGAAAAUGAAACAAAUAUCAAAAGCAUCAGAGCAUGAAGUGUCUAGACAUAUGGAAUGGUAGGUAAGAAAAAGUAACCAUCUCAGGCUAAUAUCUCUUGCAGGUUAAUGAUCAUAAGGUUCAAUUUGUGCCACAUAUCUAUGCGUUAACUUCAGUCAAUAGAAGACCUUUAAUUGAGAAGCCACAAAAUUAAACCAAUUACCAAAAACUUUAACUCAAGCUUUUCUAUCAGACUGUUAGAAACAAUUAAGUAGAGAUUUAAUCUAUAUCCUUCGGUCAGCACUAAUAUUUAGCCAUUGACCCAAAUGUCUAAGAAGUUUAUGUAAAAAGACACAAAGGAUUAAAAGAAAUAGUCAACAUGUAAGUUCAUAUUAAAAUUUUCAGAGUACAAUAAAAUGGAAAAUUGAACAAUAUAUUGAUGGGAAGAUGCAUGAAUCAAACCUGGCUUAUAACAAACUUUAAGAUGCCGGCUUUCUCAAGUUCAACCAAGGCCAUAUGGGUAAUACUUGGCAUUGCACGAUCAAAUGGUAGUGAUGCUUCAGGCACACCUUUGCCUUCACGCUGCAAUUCAACAUGUAACAGUCAUUGUAACUGCCAAAAUGCACCAUGUUUAUGUGUUUGUGUGUGUGCAACUGAAAGAAAAACCAACUACUAAAAAUAAAAAACAGUGAUUCUCACUUGAAGCGUCCAAACUCCUUUGGGACCUCUAAAAUCAGGAAUCCCACAAGAAGUUGAUAUCCCUGCACCUGUAAAUGCCACCAGAUGCUUACUCUGCAAGUGCAGGAAAAGAAAACUUAAAAAAGGCUUUGGUUAUUAAUCCUGCAAGUCAACAAUAUGAUAGGAUUCUUAAGGAGUUCCGCAGCUUCUUUAUCAUUACUGCAAGCUCUGCAAUCUACCAUUAAACAGAAAAAGAUACUGAUGUCAGCCAAAUCAUGUCAAAAUCUACAAUCUCCUGGUGCUCAAAAGAACUCCUCAUGCAAACAAAACAUUGGAAGCUUACGUGUUUUGUUUUGAACAAGACAAGCAACGAAACAAAAUUUUCAGAAAAUAGCCAGCGCACAUGGAAUUGUGAUCCAGAAGUUCCAUACAUCACAAAACACACACGCCUUCCUUCGCAAUCAAAAUAAAAUGACUUAGAAUCCUAAAUAUAAGACUCAAAAUUUUCAUUACCAAGAAAACCAUGUUGUAUGUUAAGGAUUACUUGCUAGAGAUUAUCUAGCUAGAGAUCAUCAAAGGUUUUCAUCACCCUUACUAGAAUUACUUGCUCCCCUGCUCCAUCCCUAACAUCUAAUAAUCUUGUAAAACAAGAAUUUCAAAGCACACACUUCUUUAAAACCCUAACUUCCUUUAUCAGAUAUCAACAGAUGCACUACCCAAUUUUUUUAUUAAUUUUUUUUAAAUAAAACCACUUCUUGCACCACAAUCAUCGCCAUAUAAUAAACAAACACAAAAAUGCAAACAAACCCACGAAUACAAAUCACACACAACCCAUUACAGCAUGCAUGCCACAUUCAAAUUUGAGCACAUUUUUACAUGAGUUUUAAAUUCAAGAAUUUCAAGAAACACAAGAAAGUACAAAACUUUAAAGCAAGAACAAAAAAUGAACAUGCAAAGAAGUAACAAGAAGUUUGAACGAAAAAAGAGUACACUUUUUGUUGUAACAGGUGAGGUGGGUCGAAAAUUUCGGACAUUCCAACACUGCCCACAUCUUCUCUGUAAGAAAGCUUCUCUGCAUAACCCAAAGACAUGUCUUUAAUUUUUUCUGAAACAAGCAAUUUUUGUUCUGCUGGGUUUGUUUUUCUCUGUGAGAUUCACUUGCUUUUGCUUUUGCUUUUGCUUUGCUUACAUGGCACCAGAGCUAUUAAGAAUGUGCUUUUGCGUUUUGAUUUCUUUAAAAGUUUGUUCAACAUUUUCAAGAACUAGACAACAAAGCAAUAAUCGCUUUCUAAUUCUUUACGAUGCGUUUGUGUUUCUGUUUGGCAUUUGCUAACUAUAAGAAGUUACGUAUUUACCCCUUCAUUUCCCGGGAAAAGUGCGACAACAGUGUAGCGGGGGGCGCGUGCCGUGUGUGCGAUUCGUGUUUCGUUUUGUUCCGUGUGAAAAGUGCCGAUUGCGCCCGGUACACCUUCAUACUUCAAAAAUUAUCUCAAUACCCUAAAAUUUAUUUUUGCCAAAAAUUUCAUCGAUACUCUUUAAAAAUUAAUAGGAAAUUACUAAGCUAUCCUCAUUUUAAAACAUUUCAACUCAACGGACAACGCCUCUCCCUUCUCUACUGAAGCAAACAAACACUCAUUUGCUGCAAUUCCCUCCAUUAUCAAACUCAAACAAACAAACACUGCAAUUCCCUCACCGGCAUCACCUCUACCGAAACAAACAUUCAUUCUCCAUACAUGAUAAAUCGAACUUCAACACGAGCAAACUAAGCCUGAGAAGGGGAAGCUGCCACAACUGAGAAAGUGAAGCAUAGUUCGUCACUACAUAAUCGCCGGAGAGAAUUGAUCAUUUACUGUAAAAUUGUCAGAAUAUAACUAGUUGAGACAAGUAAUUCCAUGUAAUUAGUUUUCUUGUUAAUAUUCAAGGGGAAAAAACAAAAAGUUAGGGUUUUAUAUUGAAAAAACAGAUUAAUUAGUUGUGGGUCUCUCAUAACAUGUUCGAAAACAAAUUUCUAGUUGUUUUGCUGCAUGCAAAUUGUGAAAAAUUAAUGGAUUGUGCUGAUUAUAAUUUUGUUAUGUAACACAAGAUUUGGUCGUGUAAGAUUAUGUAAGAUUCAAGGUUGUGUAUUACACGACCUUCAUGUAUUGCAUGAUUACACGACCUUCAUGUAUUGCACAAUUAUACGACCUUCAUGUAUUGCACAUUUACACGACCUUCAUGUAUUACAUGUUUAUACGACCUUCAUGUAUUAUACAAUUACACGAUCUUCUUGUAUUACACAAUUACACGACCUUCAAUUCCACAUUUUGUUUCUUGUCAAUAGAAUCUACACAUUACAUUUAGUUUAAUUAGGCUCACAAUAAAUUGGAAUGGUGCAUAUACCUUUACCUUGUGAAAUGUCAUUAGUUAGAGAGAUUCUUAAUUUCCAAUUAUAAGCCAUGGUAAGUCAUGAUAUGUCUAGUUAUGAGUGGAAAUAUUUUAUCACUGCGAAUGGUGUUCUUAUGUGUAUAACAUUACAUUAAUUUCCUAUAGUUGAUAUUUUUUUUUCUUAAUUGAUUUCAUGGAUUAAUUAUAUGCAGGCAUUCCUCAUGUAUGCUUGUAUGCUUGGCCAGAGGAAGAAAGCACUUUGAAGAUUAAAAAAAAAAAAAAUUAAAUGGCUGUAAUAUGUUUAAUUGUGACUUUAAAAUUACACGAAUUUUUCCAUUAAUCAUUAGAUUAAUUUAGUUCUUUAAAGACUUAAUUUGUGCUAAUAAUUUAUAUUUGCUGCUAGACACAAAAUGUCAACGAAAAUUAUUAAAAAAAAGAAGUGAAAUUAAAUUGGAAUCUAAAAAAAUUUCACAUCAUCAUUGGUUUGAAUUGUAACUGGUGGCAUAAGAUCAGAUGUCUUAAGUUUGAAUUUCAUUGUGAUUUCGAAUUCCGAAGUAUUUAUAUCAAUAACUUCAGCUAUCUUCUCCACCAAUUCGGCAUAUGUUGUCGAUCGUGGUAUCAUUAUCCCUUUAGCCUUUGAACCUUUGAACUUAUACUCGUCAUUUUGCUCAAUCCAAUAAUAUUAAAUUUCAUAUACAAGUAACUACACGACCUACAUGACCUACACGACUAUAUUACAUACACGACUUACACGACUAUAUUUCUUACAUGAUUUACACGACUAUAUUUCUUACAUGAUUUACACGACUAUAUUUCUUACAUGACCUACACGACUAUAUUUCUUACAUGACCUACACGACUUACACGACUAUAUUACUUACACAACCUACAUGACUAACUAUAUAACGUACACGGUAUCAAAAGAAUGCACGACUUGAAACAUUUUCGCCAUAAAUAAGUUAUAUUGCUGAAAAAAAUAAUUAAACAACCUACAUUGCAUAUAUUUCUAUGUAUAAGAAAAAAUGGUGAAAAUAAAACAUUGUAAUGUGAGGAAAAUUUCUAAAUUUUCCUAAAAAUUAAAAAAUUUAAAACCCAACAACAUUAACAUACCUUAUUGGGUUGUUUAAUAAGCAAUGCACCUUUAAAGAAAGAGUGGGUGUUAAAGAAAUGAAUACAUAAUUGUAUUUGUGUAAGAAAUUAUGAGAGAUUCUAAGAGAUUUUGAAAGAAUCGGCAGCAAAAAUAAAUUUGGGUGAAAGAAAUGAGGAAAGAAAUAUGAAGACAAUUCAUUGAGUGAAUUUGAUGCAUUCAUUAAGAGUAUUUCCGACUUUGCUCACAUUUGUUAGAGUAUCCAUGAAAACCAAAAAGGGAGGGUAUUUGAAUAAUUUUGAAACUAUUAAAGGGUAUUUAAUUAAAAACCCCGUGUGAAAAUAUCUUUUUCCAUUUUUUUCUUAUUAUCAUUUAUUGCGAUUUUAUUUCAUCAUUAAAAUGUUUUCCAAAGAUUGCAAGAGCAAUGCUUUUCAUUCAAAGUACAAUUCGUUACAAAAUCAAAUAAGUGAGGGCAACAAUGUUAGGUAUCCCAAGGGAAAUUCUAUAAUGUCGUCAUUAAAAGUCCGGUAUCAAUGUCAUGAUAAAGAUAAAUUUUAUAAAUUACAUAUAAUAUUAUUAAAUGAAAAUAAAAUAAAUGUUAUGAAUUACAUAUACUAUUAUUAAACGAAAAUAAAAUAAGUAAAUUAAUAUAAGAGUGGUAAAUUAGUGUUUUAAAAUUAUAAACAAAACAAACACUUAUAAAAAUAAUAUAAAAAAUAUAAAUUAGCAUUAAACUUUAAUAAGAAAAUAAUUUAUUAAUUUAAUUUAUUUGAGUAAAGUAAAAAAAAAUCAUCAAUUGAAUUGGAAACAAUUGGAAUAAGUUUUAUUAAAUUGGUUUAACCAUAAAUUCAAUAUUUAUACUAAGACAUUUAUAAACUUUUUUUUCUAUCAUAGUGUUUGUUUACUAUACAAGAUAAUUGAGCAAAAUUAUUUUUCUUGUGGAUCAAGUCAAAACAAAACAAAAAUACAUUCUUAUAUUACUAGACAUAUAUGAAAUAUCAAUAAAAUUAGAUCUAAUUUUUAGUUUUAUACAUAUUUUAUGUAGUUUUAAAUUUUACUUCUUACUUAUACUAAAAGAUGUUAGGAAAUUGAACUUCCUCCCAAGAUCACUCCAAGAAAUUUGUCAAGCAACAAAUUAAUAGAAAAAUUGAAUGAAGAAAAUACAAAUCACACAAUACAAAUUUACGUGGAAAACUUUAAAUCUGAAGAAAAAUCACGAUCGUUGUCAAAAGACAACUAGAGAAAAAUAUUCAUUAUGUGGAAAAUUUUUACAGUCACAUUCUCAUAAAUAAUUUUUUCUUACCUAAGCCUCAAAAAGAUGAUUCCUAGAAAUAUCCCUUAACAAAGCAAACACGUAAUACCCAUAUUGAAGAGUCAAAUACUCCUACAAUAUAUCUACAUGUUUAAGAGUAUUUUUCUCCUCUCAAUUUGAAUUACGUCUCUAGGAUCAUAAAAGCUUAUGAAAGGCUCUCCUAUUUAUAACCAAACCGAUAACACUGUUCAAAUCGCAUUACUGUUCAUGUCGCAUUAUUGUUCAAGCCGCAUGGUCAAACCGUGUUACUUUUCAUAGCGUGGUUAAAUUGUGUUACUGUUCAUCAACCUUUUUUCUUUUUUUUUAAUCAAUUUUCAAUAAUCUCUACGUUAAUUUUUUUAAAAAAAAAUCAUAAUUACUGCUAUAAAGCACUGUCUUCACCAACAAUCAUAAUUCUCAACAUAGAGAAUUACCAUACUCCACCACAAAAAGAGAAUAUCACUUAGAAUAAACAAUUUUAAGAUUUUUCUCGUCACCUGUCGAAACAUCCCGUUGAAAUUUAUGGUACAACUUCCAUAUUGGCUUUCUUGGAAGUCGUCAGCCAUCGACAUAAAUUCCACCACACAGCCUACAUCAAUGACAACCAUACCUUGUGUGCAAAUUUUGUAGGCCCCACUAACAGUAACAUGUUCUCUUUCAUGACAACUUGGAGAUCUACAUGCCAAAAUAACUAACCCAAUCUUUUAAAAAGAAACUCACCAUUUGCGAGAAUAUUAGUAUUUCCUUUACUGAUUCUAGAGCAAUUUGCCAAGCUCACUCCACCUUUUUAACAAUUUCCUUAAGGUGUCAAAUUUGUCCACACCUUCAAAUUUUACCAGAUUGGAUACACCUUUAACUUGAAUUUUCCACAAGCCAAAACAAAAUCAUUCUCCCAUUAAUUUUUCAACAACAUCAAACUCCACCAAGUUUGAAAAACAUCAACUGCUAACAUAUAUGCUUUACAAAUUAGUCUUUGCUCUUUACCACGGACUAUUUGGAUUGGCUCCACUGCUUCAUGUAAACAAUAUUGUAUAUAUGAACAAUAUUGUUCAUGCCGCGUGGUCAAACCGUGUUACUAUUCACCGCGUGGUAACUGUGUUAUUGUUCACUGCGUGGUCAAACAAUGUUACUGUUCACCGCGUGGUCAAACAAUGUUACUGUUCACCACGUGGUCAAACCGUGUUACUGUUCAUCGACUUUUUUUUCUUUUUUUAACUCAAUUUUCAACAAAAGAUCAUUUGGGGUUGUUGUUAAGUAGGUUUAGAAGAAUGCAAAAUCAAUUAUCUUACAAAUAAUUUUGAAAAAUAUAAAAAAAAAUUUCUAAAAUUUAAUUUUGAGAAUAAGUUUUAUCCUUAAUAAAAUUUCACAUAUAUUAUCACAUGUAGUACAUAAGACUGAAAUUAUUAUUAUUCAAUUUAGAAAUAAAAACAGUAAAUAUAUAAGGUAACAAUUAUUACAAUGAGUUUUUAUUUUAUAUUUGAAGUUUUUAUUUUUUUUUCAAUAACUCUUAGAAUAUUUACUUGUUUUAUAUUAUAUUUCAUUUACAAGUCUUCUAUUUCAUUUAUAUAAUUUAUAUGAUAUUUAUACUUAAUGUUGAUUUAUAAGCUAUAUGUUACAUCUAUAAAUUUAUGUUUUGUUUACCAAGAAUAUAUCAUUUUAUUAUUCUUAUGUUAAUUUACUUGUUUUACUUUCCAUUUACAGGUCUUAUGUUUUAUUUACUUAAUUUAUUUUUUAUUUUACACUUAUCGUUGAUUUACAAGUUUUAUGUUACAUUUGUAAUUUUAUGUUUUGUUUACCAAUUAUACAUCAUUCUACCACUCUUAUGCCAAUUUACUUAUUUUACAUUCUAUUUACACAUGUUAUGUUUUAUUUUAUAUUUUAUUUUACACUUAAUGUUGAUUUACAAGUUUUAUAUUAUAUUCAUAAGUUUUUGCUUUAUUUACCAAUAAUAUAUCAAUUUAUAACUCCUUAAUUUACUUAUUUUGCCUUAACUCCUAUGUUAAUUUAUUUAUUUUACCUUUUUUUUACAAGUCUUAUGUUCCAUUUAUUUUAUAUUUAUUGUUGAUUUACAAGUUUUAUAUUAUAUUUGUAGAUUUUUAUUUUAUUUACCAAUAAUAUAUCAAUUUACCACUCUGAUGUUGAUUUAGUUGUUUUACCUUUCAUUUACAAGUCUUAUGUUUUAUUUGUUUUAUCCUUAAUAAAAUUUCACAUAUAUUAUCACAUGUAGUACAUAAGACUGAAAUUAUUAUUAUUCAAUUUAGAAAUAAAAACAGUAAAUAUAUAAGGUAACAAUUAUUACAAUGAGUUUUUAUUUUAUAUUUGAAGUUUUUAUUUUUUUUUCAAUAACUCUUAGAAUAUUUACUUGUUUUAUAUUAUAUUUCAUUUACAAGUCUUCUAUUUCAUUUAUAUAAUUUAUAUGAUAUUUAUACUUAAUGUUGAUUUAUAAGCUAUAUGUUACAUCUAUAAAUUUAUGUUUUGUUUACCAAGAAUAUAUCAUUUUAUUAUUCUUAUGUUAAUUUACUUGUUUUACUUUCCAUUUACAGGUCUUAUGUUUUAUUUACUUAAUUUAUUUUUUAUUUUACACUUAUCGUUGAUUUACAAGUUUUAUGUUACAUUUGUAAUUUUAUGUUUUGUUUACCAAUUAUACAUCAUUCUACCACUCUUAUGCCAAUUUACUUAUUUUACAUUCUAUUUACACAUGUUAUGUUUUAUUUUAUAUUUUAUUUUACACUUAAUGUUGAUUUACAAGUUUUAUAUUAUAUUCAUAAGUUUUUGCUUUAUUUACCAAUAAUAUAUCAAUUUAUAACUCCUUAAUUUACUUAUUUUGCCUUAACUCCUAUGUUAAUUUAUUUAUUUUACCUUUUUUUUACAAGUCUUAUGUUCCAUUUAUUUUAUAUUUAUUGUUGAUUUACAAGUUUUAUAUUAUAUUUGUAGAUUUUUAUUUUAUUUACCAAUAAUAUAUCAAUUUACCACUCUGAUGUUGAUUUAGUUGUUUUACCUUUCAUUUACAAGUCUUAUGUUUUAUUUACUUAAUUUAUUUUUUAUUUUACACUUAAUAUUGAUUUAUAAGUUUUAUUUUAUAUUUAUCAAUUUACCACUCCUAUAUUAAUUUACUUAUUUUACCUUUCAUUUACAAUUCUUACGUUCUAUUUACAUAAUUUAUAUUUUGUUUUACACUUGAUGUUGAUUUACAAGUUUUAUGUUAAAUUUACAUGUCUUAUGUUUCAUUUUACACGAUUUAUGUUUAAUUACGGUAUUGAUGCCGUGAUUUUAAUUACGACAUUAUAGAAUUACCCCCAGUCUUAGUAUGAAUCUCAUCAUGUGAUAUUUAUUUACUAAAUUGUGGUUAAAUAAUUUUAUAAACUAUAAAAUCUAUCAUCUAACAGAUGAGUGACACAUAACAUUAGAACUUAAGUUAAAAACUUAAAUAUUGGGAUUUCUUACAUUAUUGCCUAUCUUCAACCUAAAAACUUCUUUUCUAUAAUGACUAAAACAUGCAAAAUUUAUAUUGGUUCAUUAAGAUAAUAAAAUUGUUUCAUAUGGAAAGCAAGCAUGGAUUUGUUUAUGCCAUACCCCUUUUUUGGUUAUUUAUUGUAUUUAUCUAAAUACACCCUCAUACUUUAAAAUUUCUCAUAAAUAACUUUUUUCAUGUGCAAUUACCUUACUACCCUCAUAAUAGGAUGCUCAUAUAUAUUCAAGAAAUGCUCAGCCCAAAUACACGAAUACAGCCGGGUAUUUUCAUAGAUACACAACUAAAAUAGAGUAUUUUCAUUGAUACAAGAUUACAGCCAGGUAUUUCUAACUACAUAGUGUCAAAUUAUUUUUUGUUAAGUGUAUUAUUUAAAGACAACAAGAUAGUUUUGUACAAUGUAUGUGAUAUUAGAGGAUGGUCAUACACACUCAAGGAAUGCUUAACCCAAAUAUAUGAAUAUAGUUGGGUAUUUUCAUAGAUACACGACUAUAGUCAGGUAUUUUCAUUGAUACAAGAUUACUGACGGGUUUUUCAAACUACAUAGUGUCAAAUUAUUUUUUGUUAAAUGUAUCAUUCAAAGACAACAAGAUAAUUUUGUAAAAUGUGCGAUAUAUAACAGGAUAGUCAUAUACAUUUGUAGAUACAUGACUACAGUCUGGUAUGUUUAUUGAUACAUGAUAACGGUUGAGUAUCUGUCUAAAUACACAACUACAGUAUGAGAUUUCAUAGAUACACGACUGUAGUCGAGUAUCUUUAAAAAAACACACAUUAUCCAUUACUGAAAUAUCAAUUAUUCAUCUCUUAAUAAAUGACUGUAGUCAAGCACAAUUAGAUAUACAAGACAAUAGUCUGGUAACUUUACAAAUACACGACUAUAGUUGAGUAUGUGGACAUACUACAAAAACCACCUAAAACAAUCAUUAUAAUGAUAACACUAAUCGUUUUCUUCUAGAAAAUAAUCUACAUCAUCAUCAGUCGUAAUUGGAACGAGCGACAUUGGAUUGAAUGUUUUAAGUUUGAACUUCAUUUCAAUGUCAAAUUCAUAAAUAUCAAUAGAAAUAGCCCGAGGUAUUAUUUCUAUCAAUUGUGCAUACGUUGUAGAACGGGGCACUAUGAUCUCUCUUGUCUCUGUACCAUUAAAUCUAUAAUGGCCGUUUUGCUCAAUCUAUUCACCACAAAACAUAAUAGGCACACGUACUGAAGUCAUUUCUUGCAAUAAUAUAACACAUGAUUAUACAACAAAUAAAAAAAAUAAAAUAGUGCAUAUAAUGAAUUAUGGAACCGUUUGCCCAAUUAAACAACUGUAGUCGUGUAAUUGCUCGUUUACAUGACAACAGUCAUGUAACUUGCUAAAAUUCACAAAUAUAGUUCUGUAAACAGUCAGAUGAUAUAUUUAGUAAAAAUAAUGUAUUCUUUACACUAACAGAAUACUAUUGUCAUAACAACUACUAUAUUUUUGACACUUGCACGACUGUUAUUGUGUAAAUUCGUACAUAUACGAAAAAAGUUGUGUAACUUGUAAAAAUACACAACUACAACCCAGUAAAUAGUCAGAAAACAUAUUUCUUCCCCAGAAGAUUUUUUUUAGUUUUUUCACUAAUACAAUACUAAGGUUUCAUAACAAUUGGAACAUUUUAUAUAUGUGCAUGAUUGUAGUGUGUAGUUCAUACGUACAUGACAAUAAUUGCAUAACUUAUCAAAAUAUAUCACUACAGUCCACUAAUAGUCAAAGGAUAUAUUUAGUGAAAAAAGCACUAAUAGAAUGCUAAGGUGUCAUAAUAGUUGGAACAUUUUGAACACUUGCACGACUAUAGUCGUGUAAAUUCAUACAUACACUACUGCAGUUGUGUAAUAUGAGUGUAGAAAAAAAUUUUGAGAAUAAAUUAGGGUUUUAACAAAUGUAGUUAGAAAAUUGAUCGCAUAACAUAUGCAAAUGUAACCUAAAUGUUUUUUUUUUAAUUUAUCACAAACUAAACAAAAUUCUAAAAAUAAUACAAUGUAAAGAAAAUAAAUAAAUCAUAUAAAAUAAAUAAAAAGGGAAAAGCAUGAGAAAAACAAAAACAACACCAAGAUUACGUUAAAAACUCGAAAAGCGGUGACGGUUAAAGAUUGUAGAAUAAUGAGUGAUAAUACAACCACAAACUAUUGUAUAAACUUAUCUUGUACAAACUGAUUAAGCAUUAAUUCAUUAGUUGAAUGAAAAUACAAAAUAAUAAAAAUAGAUUAUGUGGGCCAGUAGAUAUUUAAUUCAACCAAUUUUAUCAUACCACAUCAAUUUGUAUAAAAUAAAUUUGUAUGAGAGUUUGUGGUUAUAUUAUUACUCACAGAAUAAUUGUAUAUAUAUUGAUUGUAGAAUGUAGCCAAUCUGAUCAAAUGAUUGUUUUAGCAAACACAAAUGAAAUUGUAAAUGUUAAUUUACUUGGGAGUGAUGAAUAUUUGUAUGGGUGUGCUAAGUAAAUAAACGUUUAUAAUGAAUAAGUUCAGCUGAGGGUGUUUUUGGAAUUUUUAAGGGUAUACAGCAUAAAAUAGAAUCUAUAAAUUUAGUAGACGAACGUACAAAAUAAUAGUAUUCAAAAUGUUUUUUAAAGUAGAAAUAAUGUGAUACUUGAAACUUUCUUAGUUUUGUAGGCAUAAUAAAGAGAGUUUUAGACGACAAUAUCCCGAAGGGCAAGUGUGAUGAUGGUUUACGUUUACUGAUUUUCCAAACCUUAGCUAGGUAAUCAACUAUCAUACUUGAGUUAUUAUUCUUACCAAAACAGUCUCUUUUUUUUUUUUUCCUUUUUUUGGUUGCAACAAAAGCAAUACAAAUUUAAGUUGUGCCAUUUUGUAAAUUAACUUUAAUUUUACGCCAUUAAAGUCAAGAAAUUAGAAUUGAAUAGAUGGAACAUACACUGAUAUUACCUAAAGAAUUUCAUAUUACUAUUAAUUUUUUAUUUCAUCUUUUUGAAAAAUUAGGUAAUCAGUAAAACUCAAAAUUGAUACGAUUCUAGAGACUAGAUAAAGAAAGCAGUUUGAAAACCGUUAGACGAAAUCCUCGGGCCUCAUAUUACGUUAGAGUAGUGCUAGAAAGAGAGAAGUACAAUAAAAAGACGAGAAAAUUUUUUUUUUCUCUCUCUACCCACUCUCUCUCUUUACCCCUUUCUUCAUUGUUUCUCUCAUGUUUCUCUAAACAAAACAUUUUCCAUUACGUUAACAACACGGUGAUGUAAACAUUAUCUCUUCCAAGACAACGUACAUAAUGAUGCGUCAAAGAGCUCCCACGCGUCAUUUUAUUAUAAAAUGAAACAACGUGGAAACCAAUAAACACAAUGAAUAAAAAAAAGAGACUAAAAUAAAUAGAACAAUUAAAUUCAGGAAGAAGCUGCGAAUUAAAUUUUACUCGUUCCAUGCACGGACAGUCGGAAACCUCACGGCAAACACGCAGCAAUGAUCAAACAACUGACAGGAGCCUCUGUGGCGUUUCAUUGACCAGUCCCGUCUACGACGUUACUGCCCUCUCGUCACCUUAUAUAUUUCAGCAUGCAUUUGAACAUCUUUUCAUAUGUGCGUCAGAAUUGAGCGUAUUUGAUUUUAGUUCGCGCCUAGAAUUUUUCAGAACCAACAAGUUAAUUUAAAUAUACACUUUUGCCAGCUGAAGGCUAGCUCCUUGGCGUCUUAUAUAUUUUUUGCAGCCCCAUUUGAUUCCAUUAUCGACCAAUAGGUAUACAUAUAUAUACAUGCGAACAGAUUAGUGCGUCUUCCGAGUGUUGUCAAUUCUGGUUAUUAUUUUUAGUGGGUUUGCUCCUAACGCAAUUUGCAUUGUGGCUUGUGAUAUCAUUGGCCAUUUGCUUUAUUUGUUUCAAAGUUGAAUCAUUGAUAAACUUGACUUCAUGCUUCAUUACUCUUCGUUCAGGUCGCAGGCUAGAGUACAGAGGGUUCCAAUAUUAAUAGAUUGGAAACAUGUCCAGCGAUCCAAUUUCAACGAAUUUAAUAUCAGUUGAGGAGGAGCAGAACAUGAUGCCUGAAGAUGGCGUUCGGUGUCCAGAAUUACUCACUGCUGUUGGUGAUUUGCAUGGUGGGGUUACAGUAGAUAUGAAAAAGCCAAUGGAUUCUAAGGUCUUUUCUUCUAGGCUUAGAGCUUCAUUAUCGUUAUGGAGGCAGCAGGUACAUUGAUAUAUUUAAUUGCUAGCCAUUAAAUUUGUAAACUUUAUUCCUACGUACGAAUUAUUCCAAGGGGUAUGUUUUUUAACUAACUUGUGAGAAUAUUUACAUCUUGCAGGGGAAGAGGGGUGUUUGGAUUAAACUGCCUAUUGAACUUGCUAAUCUUGUUAAACCUGCAGUUCAGGUAAAUACAAAUAUAUAUAUACAAUACGUAAAUAUGGUUAUAUAUAUAUAUAUAUAGAGAGAGAGAGAGAAAUGUUCCAAUCCAGAAUUUUAAAAUGUGAGAUAAUCCGAGAAAGUUUUAAAACCGCAUGAUUUGAAGGCUUAAAACUGUAAGCCUUUAAAAUCGUGCAGUUUUAAAAUUUUCUCAGACUUUCCUACACUUUUCUGCACUUUAAAAUUCCGGAUCAGAAAAUUAAUAUAUAUAUAUAUAUUUGAUUUGAUCCAAGUCCUUAUUCUGAAUUUUGUUCAGGAAGGAUUUCGGUACCACCAUGCUGAACCAGAUUACUUGAUGCUUGUCUAUUGGAUCCCGGAAACUGCUGAUGUUCUUCCUGCUAAUGCUUCUCAUCGCGUUGGUGUUGGUGCUUUUGUCAUGAACAAUAAAAGAGAGGUAUUGCCUCUCAGCUUCUGUUGAUUUUCCACCUUAAUUUAUUAAUUUCACAUAAACCACGAGCACUGGCGCCCUUUAUAAAAGUCCGGUCAUGGUCAACAAAACUUGACUGGUUGACUUUUCCCUUUUUUCAUUUUUUUUUCAAUAUUUGAAUGCCGCUUAAGUUGAAUUGUUCUACUUUUGGUUGGCAGGUUCUGGUUGUGCAGGAGAACAAUGGAGCACUCAAAGGUACCGGCGUCUGGAAGCUUCCCACCGGGACCAUUGAGGAGGUAUACAGAUUCAGCGUGUUGUGCUUUAUAGAAUUAUAUGAAAAACAACAUAUGGAAUUUUGUGGGCCUAAUUGAAAGUUAAUGCUUGUCCUUUUCUCUUUUUUUUUUUUAAAUUUAAGUAUUCAGUUCAAUAUUUAUAUAUUAAAAAGCAUUUCAAAACACUUUUAUUAUCAAAUAUGUUACAACCAACAAGUGCGUAGAUCAGCUCGCAUGAGACUAUUUUAAUUUAACCAAGAUUUUCGGUUUGAGAUUUGGGAAUGCAGCUACAUUAAAUACUUAUUGAGCAAGUUUUAUUGCCUUAAUAAUUCUACCAUGCUCGAAUCUGGAUUAAUUAAGGCCCAAUGUAGUAUACCAAAAAAAAAAUUAAAUAUAUUAAACUUUUAUGUCUAUUUUUUCUUUCUUUUUAUAAUAAUAUCCUUAUAAUGAUAUUUUUGUCUUCUUGAGGAUAUUAAUGAAAAAAAAUGUGAAUACUUGUAUUAAAAAAAAAUCUCAAAACACUUUACUAUUAAAUUCUUACAAUUCUAUCCUUUUUUUUCUUUCCUUUUACAACAAUAUCCUUGAAACAAUAUUAUUACCUUCUUGAGAAUAUUAAUAAAAAAAGCUCAUUUAUCAAAUUAACUUUAAAAGUAAUAUUAAAAUUUUCGUAAUUUUUUAUGUUACUAUUCUACUUUUAGGAUUAAUUUUGUAAAUUAUUUUUUAUAAAACGACUAUUUGUAAACAUUACUUUAAUUUAUAAAAUAAAUUAUUAUUGCUUGACGUCUUCGCGUACAUAAGGGGCUUCCCAAAACAAAAUCAUUUUCAAAGUAUUUCGUACGCUUUAAUUAGAACAAAAACAUAUUUUCUUGCACUUAAUCUGAAUCGUAGGAUAGCUCAGUUUGUGAUUCCAAAUUAGCCAUGUAAAGUUUUUUGUAAAUAUAUAAUUAUUGACUAAUUUACUAAUUAAAUUUUUAUAAAUUAAUUAAUUAAUGUGAAAAACAUUAUUUAAAGGAUACUAUUGCAAAGGUAAAGAAAAAAUAGAAAAAAAAGAUAACAUAUUUAACUUCAAGAGUGUUUUGAAGUAUUAUUAAAAUAUAAGAAUUAAACGAAUAUUUAUCUGUCUAACUCAUACUUAAAAAGAUAUAUUAAAAAUUAAGUUUAAAGUUUAUUUUAUAUACAUGCAUAUACAUACAUCCAUACACAUACAUACAUGCAUGCAUGCAUGCAUACAUACAUAUAUAUAUAUAUAUAACAUCCGUUAAGUUUUAGGGUGAUUCUUGUCAUGUAGUGAAAUAAUGUGAUACUCGUUUCAGCAAAAAAAUGAUUCUAUCAAGUAUCAGGCAAAAAUAUAAGCCUGCACGUAACAAAGAUGAUAGAAAACAUAUCCCACGUCAAGUGAGAUGGAUUACUAUGCGGCCAAAUGAUUUUUUAAGAACAUUUAAUAAUCUGAAGUUUUACAAUCCACAGGGUGAGGACAUUUGUGCUGCUGCAGUGAGAGAAGUUAAGGAAGAGACUGGAGUAAGUGAAAAAUGUGCAAAUCCAUAGAGCACAAUCGAAUUAGUAUCAAGUCAUUUUAAUUCUAAUUCAAUUGCCUUUUUGUUGUUUCAGAUCGACACAGAAUUUGUUGAAGUUUUAGCCUUCAGGUAAGGAAACUUCGGCAGCUGCACUUGUCUCGGUUUUGGUUAUCAAAUUCUGUGGUCUUGACAGUGUUUGUGCUAUUUGCUUAAUGAAACAGGCAAAGCCACCGUUCAUUUUUCCGGAAAUCGGAUCUGUUUUUUGUUUGCAUGCUACGGCCACGCAACUUUGACAUUCAGAAGCAAGACUCAGAGAUUGCGGCUGCCCAGGUACUGAAUAUAAUUGCGGAAGGUGAUAUUUGUACUGGUUUUGUUAACUCAAUUAAUCGUCAUAUCAUAUAGCGUUGUUUUCAAAUUUUUCUUUUGCAGUGGAUGCCGGCUGAGGAUUACGCAGCACAACCUUACGUACUGAAACAUCAGAUGUUCAAUUAUAUUUGCCAGAUAUGCCUAACAAAGUCAGAAAAGGACUAUGCUGGUUUUUCUCCGAUGCCUGUAACCACAGGCUCCGGGAAAGAAAGCCACUUGUACUUCAACAGCCGGUAUUGUGAUCCGUCUAACGGCCACCAUUAGUCAUCUGCAGGAAGAUUCACCAGCAGAUUAUAGAACUCCAUUGCAGAUGCAUGUAUACUACAAAGCAGUUCUAACUGCAGAAUAAAAUAAUUUUAAAAGGGUGGGUGACUUUUUUUGUUUUGAAUUACAUGAGAAUAAUGCUCAGAUUACAACUUAUAUUAUAUGAGAUUUACAACUGAUAUUUACAAUCAGAUAAUUACUGGGCCUAAUUUACAUUAAUUCUUAUAUAGCACUGCCGAGAUUUUACUCUUUCUAAUAUUCGAGGGGUGUCUACUCCACUCACAUUUCGAAAGGUAGAAGAUUGUCUUUACUUAAUAAUUAAGGAAGGAAAUAAACCCCUACAUGCGUCGCGGGGGCUCGAACCGCUGCGCUCACAGUUAUAAGUACAGGGUCCUGGCCACUGGGCGAAAGGGUGGGUGACUUGGUUGCUCAUAAUUAUUCAUAAUAUUGUUUCAUGUUGAUGUAAUAACAAAAGGUUGUAUAAAUGGCCUUUAACUAUUCAAUUUGUAGCAGAGAUAAAUGCUUAUACAUACGUCUGGGGUUCAUGUGGUUGUGGUGAGAUUCGUGCUCUCAAAGGCAAAACAAAAUAACAAAUAAUUAAUCCUUGGCAACGCAUGAUGAUGUAAGGCGCAGGGAGGCAUCAUGCCUUGUAGUUGGAGAAUGAGACAAAUUUUUUUGGGUGUAUUUGGUAUCUAAAUAUUACAUUAAAUGGUUAAUUUAGAUUCGAAUCGGGUAAGACUAUUAAAACAAUAAAACUCUUUUAAUAAAUAUUUAAUAUAACUCCAUUUUUAAGUUUCGAACCAAAAAUCUUAGUGAAAUUAUUCCAGUUAAUCUACCAACUUGUUUGUAAAUAACACUAAUUUUAAUAAACUACAAACAGGCACAUCCGGGGCAGGUGGUGGUCAGUGAAAAGAAGAAAUAAGGAAAACAUUUUAAAAUUGUUUUGAUGAAGCAAUUGGGUUAUUAGCUUCCAAUAGAACUUUUGACAGCGACUUGGGCUCAUUCCAUGCCACGACACAAGAGAAUCUAAAUUAUAUUUACUUAAAACACCGUGAUAAUGGCUAAUUUUGCAGCAUAAGUUGACCAACACUUCCUGGAAUAUUGUUACAAGUUGAGGUGCAUCCAUGUAGUUUAGACAUAGGACUUUUUGUAAGCGGGUUCAUGUGCUGUGCAUUACCCAGAUAUGCCUAACCUCGGGGGGGAAGUUACGAUAUUAGCCUCAGUUAAAAUAUUUUAGAUAUAAAUACAAGUGGUUGCAAGUUGGAACCCAGAGCCAGAAGAAAGAAAUCAGGCUGCAGAGUGGAGACUGGAGAGUAACUCUUGGGUCUUGGCCAUUCUCCCCUAUCCUUAUCCCAAGUCAUAAAUGGCUUCUGCCAAAGGCACAUGGAUCAAGGUUUGCUUUUAUUACUCUUUCCAUAUUCUGCUCUGAUAUUAUUUUCUGCAGACCCAACCGAAUUAUCUAUAAUUGGUUGGUUGUCUAUUUUGAUUAUCGUUCAACUGCCGCUGCUGGAUAAUUAUUACAGGUAGUGGGUUUGGUUUUCUUCAUUCCGUUUAGGGAAUGCUUGUAAAUUUCUUGGAAGCCUGCCUAUCUAAAAGUCAUCAAGAGUUAAUGGAGAGUCAAUUCUUAAUUCAUUUACAGAUCAUUUUGAUUUCUUCAAAAUGGAAAAUGACAAAAUUAUUUGGUUUGCUGACACGCGAUCGAGAAUGGUUUUUAUUAUCCCAAAUUGACUACAAAUCAGUCAAUUUUGUACAUGUAGUUGUUCAAUAUUAGCAUUUUUGGUUGUGAUCUUCGUUUUUCAGCUUGACCAAAAGGGUUCCGGGCCUGGAGCCAGAAGCUCGCAUGCAAUUACCAUAGUAGGACAAAAGGUCUAUGCUUUCGGGGGCGAGUUCACACCACGUGUCCCGGUUGACAACAACCUCCAUGUCUUCGACCUCGAAACCCUAACAUGGUCUGUGGCCGAUGUUACUGGGGACGUCCCUCCGCCACGCGUCGGUGUCACAAUGGCUGCGGUUGGACAUACCAUCUAUAUGUUUGGUGGUCGGGAUGGUACACACAAGGAGCUCAAUGAGCUGUACUCUUUUGACACGCGUACAAACCAGUGGACCCUAUUAUCUAACGGUGAUGCUGGCCCCCCUCAUAGGAGCUACCACUCAACGGCCGCUGAUGAUCGACACGUGUACAUCUUCGGCGGUUGUGGUGUUUCAGGCCGGCUUAAUGAUCUAUGGGGUUUUGAUGUUGUUGAUAGAAAAUGGAUCCAAUAUCCAUCGGCAGGGGAGAACUGCAAGGGUAGAGGUGGGCCCGGGUUGAUAGUGACCCAGGGGAAGAUAUGGGUUGUGUAUGGUUUUGCUGGAGUGGAAGUGGAUGAUGUGCAUUGCUUUGAUCCAGCCCAUGCACAAUGGGCCCAGGUAGAGACGAGCGGCGAAAAACCAACAGCUCGGAGCGUAUUUUCUACUGUUGGGAUCGGAAAACACAUAGUCGUCUACGGCGGAGAAGUAGACCCCAGUGACUUGGGCCACCUUGGGGCCGGAAAAUUCGCCGGUGAACUUUACUCAUUGGACACUGAGACAUUGGUGUGGACACGGUGGGAUGAUGGGCCCGGCUCAGAUCAUCAUCCCGGGCCUCGCGGAUGGUGUGCAUUUGCUGGUGGGCUUAGGGGUGGAAAACAUGGACUACUGGUAUACGGUGGCAAUUCUCCAAGUAAUGAUAGGCUUGAUGACAUUUACUUCUUUACUCCUUGCUUGGAUGGGAUUGAAGAUUAAUCAUUUUGAUAAUGAUGGUGAUGUAAUUAUGGCAAUAUGCGUAUGAGAGAAAUCGUGGAGUGUGUGUGUUUGUGUAGAGCAAGUCCUUGAGCGGUGAAUAAAUAAAUAUUAAGGCAGAUAAGAACUGAGAAGUUAUAAUGUUACAUGCAAUCAUGAUGGGUGUGUGUAAUAUAUGUAGCUGUUUACUACUUCUUUCUCAACGAAGUGAUAUCAGUUGUGUGAAUUCUCCCAAGACCUUGAUGGAAAACGUUUGAAUAGAUCAACCGAUGUAGCUAAACUUGACAAUUAAUGUACAUUUACAAUGAUUCCACUAGUGAAUUUAGAAACUUAGUUCAUUGUUAGUAAAAAAUUAAUAAUUUAUGAAAUUGACCGUUAUAUCUAAAUUUCUUUGUACUCAAAACAAUAUUUUCUAAAAGAUAGAGAAACUUUUUUGUUAAGCGGGGUCAAUUGCCCACACUACCUUCCAUGUAAAUCUAUACUUGAAUCUGGGUGCUUUAAAAUUAUUGAGUAUAUUAGAAUAUUAUUAGGCAAUGAUAUCUAGUCUCAUAUUCAUAUAUAUAUAUAUUUUGGUACAUAGGGAGCUCCCAAAGAGGGUUAAGACGUUACUGGACGGGGAAUAGACAACCCCAUACGUAUCAUUCCGGACAAAAGGAUUAAUAAAGGCUGGUGGGGAGCUAAAAAUAUGGAGGCCCUCGUAUUCACAUUUUAAACACAAAGAUAUUAGACAAGAACACUCCAGAUACACAUAUAAUAGAGUGAAAUUACUAAUGGUACCUCUAAUUAAGAUACUGCAAGUGAUUAUACAGCGUCUAGGUAGAUAUCUACUCUUCUGAACAAAGCCUGAUAAAUGUUGUGAAUUCUCUCCGGAAUUGAUCUAAUUAAGUACAAGCCGGGCUAUUGUAAAUUUGUGAUAAGUUGUGUGCAUGGCUACUGUUUCCUUGAUCACCUCCAUUGCGUGCCCAGUACUUGUCCAAUGACUAGUUGACAUUGUUUGUUAUGAAAAGUUACUAAGCUGCUAAAGAAUGGUUGGUCGAAUUAAUUAGGAAAAUUUACAUAAAUAGCCUAAAAUUUUUAAAAUUUUUCAAAAUCAGCCAAUUUAAUUUUUUAUAUUAUGACUAGGAAAUUAUAUUUUUUUAAAACAUAUUUACCGUUAUUACUCUCAACAAAAUACCAUACAAGUACCACUAAGUAUCAAAAACCCCACCACUCUCAACAAAUUAACGAAUUCAUGAAACAAUAUGGGCGAUAUUUUAAAUGUUGCUUUCUAAUAAUGUGGGUUCAACAAAGUACCAUACGAGUACCACUUUUAGAACAAUCAAAUUUCUAGUAAAAAUGAAGGAGGGGAUGGGAAAAAAAAUAUUCGAUAAACACUAAUAACAAGAACAACAACCAACAACAACAAUAUUGGAUGCUUGCCGCAAGUGGGUCCCAUUGAAAUACCAACAUAAAACAAUAUAAAAUAACGUAAGUACAUGCAUUGGUGCAUAACCUUAAUUAAUACAAACCUUAGUCAUUUCACGUAAAGUGAUAUGUAUUAAAGAAAGCACAAACAAAUACAAGAACGAGCACAACAGAGCUUCACGUAAGAUAAGAACAGAAAGCAAUAAACGUACGAAACAUUUAUUUUAUUUUUUUGGAAAUAACAUAAUUCAUUUCUUUAUCAAGUAAAUGAAGAGAACUGUGUAAGCUCCUAGCCCCAUUUCCAAAUGUGCACUUAUCUUGAUUGUAAAUCGAUGGAACAAAUCAUCCAUGAUUGCACUUCCAAAAUGAUUGGCCAGAAGGGACUCUGAGACUGCUCUUAUAUUAUCUGCCACGUUCUUGGCUCUUGCGUGCUCGUUUAACUCCAAGCCUUUGUUAUUGUUCUCAUAGCCUACUGACCAACUUAUAUGCGACGUUUCAAGCUGAUGGAUGUUAAAGGAUCCUUCUCUUUCAAUUACUUGUCUUACUUCUUCAACACAAGGGUUAUACAUCGGAAAAUGAAAUGGCUCCAAUUUUGAUACUUCAAUCAAACCCUAAAUAAGUUCAAAAGAAAGAGUAAAUCUCUUUAAAAUAUAUAUAAUUUUUUCACACACAUACAAAUGUCUGAGCUAGAGAUGUGAAACAUAAUGAUUGAUUUUUACAAGUGCAUAUCAUAAUUACUUUGUUACAAUAUAACAUCUUUAGUGAGAAUUCACCUAAUAAUUUUCAUGUAAGAGAAUAUAUAUAUAUAUAUAUAAUAUAGUGGUAUGUUUGUGUUCAAAAAGGGGAGAGAGAAGAUACCUCAUAGACCAUGUCAUUUAACACCAUUCCCAUCAACUCGAAAACACCAGUAUGGUAUUUAUCAUUACCUAUAAAGUUAAGAACCAUACGGCCUUCAGUUUUUAACUCUUCCGAUCGAAAUUUGAGAAAUGAUGUGAAAUCAAUCUCAAAUUGAUCCAAGUAUGCUUUAUGCACACUGAAAGGGCUACAGGUUUUUGCUACGCAGACAUCCCUUUUAUUUAAUAAAGGAAUUCCACAUUCACUUACUAGCUCUUUGGGCAUCUGUUAAAACAUAAAAUUGACGUAUUAUAAGAAUAUGAUUUUGUACACUAUUUUUUUAAAUUUUUAAUUUUUUUAUUAUCUUUAAAAGAAUAAAUGGGACGGGUUCGUUUACCCGAGAGAGCCAGUGAAGACAGAAAGAAGAGUAGACCAAGUUUAGGAAACACGGAGGAAAUAGCCUUCCAUGGAAAGAUCCAGGGGCUGCAGCAAUGAAACAUGAACCAAAAUCGUCAUGGCCCCUCUCUGUCUUCAAUCUCUCAUAAAAGCUUGGAAGAGAUUUGGAAACGGUAUUGAAAUCAUUUCCAGGAAGAUCAUUGAGAAAAGCAUGCAGUAUUGGUGGCUUAUGUUUCAAGCGGCUGCAAAUAGUGUCCAGUGCCUCUAUAACUUGCAAUGUUGGCAAAAAUGCAUUAGGCCCUGAAGAACACCCCAUAUCUGUAAAUCUGAUGCAAUCUGGGAAGCCAUUGCAAUACAAAUCAAACAAGCUUUCAUGCAGUAGGGGCUUUGUUUUCAAGGUUGCCUCCCUCUGAACAAAAGAAUGGAAAAGAUAAGAAAAUUUAUAAACAGAAGAAAUUAAAGUGUGAACAUCAAGAAAGAGGGAAAGUGAGAUUGAAGUUUAUAAAGUGACCGAUGGCGCUGAGUUGUUUGCAUAGCUGUUAUCUCCUUCUCCUCCAUUCAUGAACAGAACUUGUUCUACUUGCAUGGCUCCAUUUUUGCUAGAACCUUGCCCUAAUUCCAUGCUUCUCAUCUGAGUGAAUGAUCUUCGUCGUGUCCCUUGCUCUAGUUCUAAGCCACUUACGGUUUAUAUACAGAAAUCAAUGGAAUUUAAUGGGACUCUCAUCUAAAUUUUUCCCUCGAAAAAUAAUUAGUUUCAGUUUCACUCGUAACCGGCUACCCCUCAUGUACUAGAUGACAAAAUAAGAAUAGCAUUAUUGUGCUUAAUUUUUAGAAGGAAAAGUGUUAAUGUUUUACCAUCCUUUGAGGAUGUUUGCUUUGAAAAAAAAAAGGAAACGAAAGAAAAGAAAAGAAAAUUGUACCAUCCAUAAAAUUAUUUUAAUAUCCUCUUCAAACCAAAAGUUAAGAUUGGGCUAUUUUUAAAAACCUCACCUGAGGUUUGAUAUAAUUUCAGUUAGAUGGUGAAAUUGAUUGUAUUUUCACUUACCUCCCCUCCCGUUAGUAUACAUACGCGUAUAACAUUAGUAUUUGAGGGCAAAAAUGUAAAAAACAUGCUAAAAAUCUAAAAAAAUCAAGUAACAAUAAAAAAAUGGUUUGAAAUUCAUUGGAUAAUUGUAUUAUUCGAUUACACACAAUAUCUAUUGUGUAAAAGAGUUAAUUUCUCUUUCUCCAGCAUAAAAAAGCAAUGGAGAUUUCUUUCUCUCACAUUAACAAUCAAAGCAUUUUUCACUCGACUCCCCUAUUCUCAGUUGCUGGAAUAAAAAGAAAUAAACACAAAGAGCAUAUAUAACCCAUGAAGAAGACAAACAUGGUGGUCAGAGAAGGCGACCGACCGGUGACGAUCGACAGCGGUCGGGAUAUGCCACUGGUAUUGAAGUUUGUAAGAGGUUAAUUACUUUAUCAAAGUCUAAAAUUUUUAAAUACCUUUGAUUUUCUUGUUUUUGGAGAUUUUAUAAGUGGUUGUUGGUUGUGUUUGAUUUGUCUUGUUUAUGGGUUGGGUGGUUGUUGGUUGUGUUUGAUUAGAUUUUAUAAGUGGUUGUUGGUUGUGUUUGAUUUGUCUUGUUUAUGGGUUGGUGGUGAAAAAAUUGAUUAAAAGGAGAAUGGGUUCAGACAUAUGUGGCCAUAAGUUGAAAAAAAUUGUUAUUAGUUUUUUUUAUGUUUGUGAUUUACACCAUACAUAGUGUAAUAAAGUAUAUAAAGCCAAUAAUUUGUUAUUAUUAUGCAAAUGAGUAUGCAAAACAGAAGUAGUCUUAGUUGUAAUUUUUAUUUUUCUGACCAAAGUUUGCUCAAGUUGAUAUGUUUAUGAAUUUGCAUUGUUUUUGUAUGUCUAUCGCACAAAUACAGUUCCUGCGAUUUUAAGCGACAGGGCCUGUCCCCCAUGCGACAGACUCACGUUGCACGAACACAGUUUUUGUGUUUUUGGACGACAACGUUGUCGCCCGUGCGACGGCUUAGGUUGCCCGAAUUCAGCUUCUGUGUUUUUGGGCGACAUGAUAGUAUUAUGGUGCAACAAGCAUGUCACACUAAAAACACAAUUUGUGUUUAAUAUUAAUUCAAAAUAAAAAUAGUACACACACACACACAUAUAUUAUCAUCACAAUUAUUAUUAAUAUCUUUAUUAAAAUGUAUUACUAUUAUCAUUAUUUUUCUUUAUUAUUGUAAUUGUUGUUGUUGUUUAGUAAUGUUAUUAUUAUUAUUAUUUUUAAUUAUUACUUUGCUUUCACUUAUUAACGUGUGCAUAUUUACAUAUGAUAGGAGCGAAAGGCCAGUUGUUCCACUGGAACCUGCAGCAAAAAUGGACUAGUUUGACUUAGCAAACGAGAAUGAGUUUGCUCUCCUUGAUUUGAAUUAUGAGGUUCACAUUGAGCAAGUGACGGCAAUAGAAGAUUCUCUUGAGAGGAUGCCGGCAAAUUAAGAAGUCGUAUCAUCUUUUUGUACUCAGUCAUUGAUACAAGAUUAAGUUUUUGUAUAUUUUGUAUAAAUGUGAUACUAACAAACUCACAUUAUAGUGACAAUGACAUGUAUAAAGUAUAACUCAGCUAUCAUAGCACACUGUUAGUGUAGUUGUUAUUUUUGUUAUUUUUGUGUAUAUGGGUGGUUACCGGAUGUAUAGGCUGAUGAAAUUCAGUCAAUUUGUGACUGUCACCAAUUGUAAGCUGCGGAAAUGCACAUGUGACUAUAAUUUAAAUUAUGGUGCCAUUUUACUUAGUGUUAUUUUCCAAUUCAAUUAACUCCUACUAAUGUUUUUUUUUCCUCUCGGUACAAAUUUAAAUGUUUGUUAUUUGUUAUUUGUGUUGCUGGUUUGAUGACAUAUAACUUGAUGGUUUGGAAUUUACUUAUUUCUUUAAACAAGUAAAAUAUUAGUGGUUUGGUGGUGAUGGAAUCCCUUAACAUAUUUUGGAGACUGGUAUAGUCUAUUGCUGAGAGAAGUAAAUUAUUUUUUAGUGAUUUUUGAUUUCACGUGUUAGUUAAACAAAUUUUCUGUAAUUUGGGGAGACAUGUACCUGUACCCCGAGAGACGGUGCCUGUCACUCUAAAUCACAAGCACUUGUUGCGAUAGGCCCUGUCGCGCAUGCAAUUUUCCAUAAAUGUAAAAUACCCUCUUAAGCUAGUUGUUGUAAACUUUUCAUGCUAGAUAAUGAGCUUACAAAAUAGGACUUCGCAUGAAUGCACCAUCAACACCUUAAUCUACCUAAAAUGAGACAAACAAACCCCAAGAGGCAUUUUGUCGAGCACCUCAUGUGCCAUUUAUUAACUACCAAUUUCAGUAAACCAUUUUUAAUAUUUACACACCAAUCAAUCCUAAUGCUCAUCUAUAAUCAUUUAUAUACCCAUUUGUCAUCAAUCAAUCUUAGGAAAACGAAAAACAAAAAGAAUUUACAAUAUAAGGCUUGCCAAAAUUACCGAAAAUUAACUUGAUAUAUUGCGGCCAAAAUGGCAGAAGUAGAGCCACGUGCUGCCGGAGAUCAACUUGCUGUCAAACGCAUGUCCAACUGCCGUCCCCUGUUGCCGGAAAACUUAAGACCUAGGUUUAAUUUGGAGAGAAGAGAAGGUAUAUAUUUGGCAAGCUAUUUUCGUCGUACCCUUACUUUGUUGGCGCCAAAAUUUUUGGUUGAAUAAUUAGUUUGGAUAUUUCAGUCAUUUCUCAAGUCAACUAACAGUCAAGUUGUAUGUAUACUAACGACAAGGGAGGUAAGUGAGAAUACAAUCAAUCUCACCAUCUAAUUGAAAUUAUAUCAAAUCUCAGGGGAGGUUUCAAAAAAUAACCCGGAUGAGAUUAUAAUUUUAUUUUUGAAUAAAAUUACACUAAGAGAAAAAUUAAAAAAUCUAUUUAGAAUUCCACUCUUCAAAGUUAUUAUUUUAUCCCCUUAUUUUUCAUCAAUGAAGUUCGCGAUCACAUCACACGACAGUGACAUUUAGCCAGAUGAGGCCGGGAGGCUUUUGAUUUGAAAGAAAUAAUAUCCAGUAGGCACUAACAAUUAUUAAUUAGAUUAGGAUCCACUUCUUCUCCUACUAAUUACUCAAACUAAGAAAAAGUGGAAGGCUUCCCAUCUCAAAUCUGAGUGUGUGCAUGCCUAUAUGAAGAUAAUUAAUUAAAAACAUAUUAAAAGUUCUUAAACAAAACAGUGGCCUUUUAAUUUGUACUUUUUCUUAGUGCUAACCUUGGCUGGAUCACUAAAUUUCACCGGUCGCACAGCAAAUGACAUUUUCAAUGGUUUCACAAUAUAACAUAAGUUCCUAACACAUCAACAGUUGUGGUUGGCAAAUGCAUUUUCUUAGAUAGUUUAAUUAACACGUCUCAAUAUCUGUUAUGUUUGAUUGAGACUUUGAGACUUCGCUGCCAACACUCUAACAAUAAAUGGUUUUGGAAUCGGUGCUUGAUAUAUUUGGGAUUGGAUAUCGACGUAAUAUUAGGUAUGAAAAAGCGUACUUCCACCCGGCCCUUAAUUACCUAAUAUAAUGAGCCCUUACGGGGAUUUUUGCUAUGCCCAUUCUUAUAUAGGUAGAUUGUUAAUUUCCAGUUAACAAUUUUGGUUACAAAUUAUAAUCAAACACGUAUGAUGAAAAUGGCCACAGCCCACCCACAUGUUCAGUCUCUGUUUUUGCAAAAAUAGUUGUUCAUAUGCCAUUGACAGGCGUUGUCUUUACUUUCACUGCGAGCGCGAGAGAUAUUUUGCUUCAUCAAAUUCAAUAGCCCUUCAAUACGCCGAAUUUAAAUUAGUCGAGUCUCAAUAUAGUUUUUCAAUACCAAAUUAUAUAGAGUUGGACCAUUGGCACCCCUCUAAUCUCUUCAUAAGAUUCUAUUUUUAAUUAUUUUUAUUUUAUUUUCGAAAAUGCCCCUUUUUUAGAUACACUUUUUUAAGUUUUCAAUUUUCAUUUGAUUUGUUUUAUUGUUAAAACUCAAAGUAUUAUUGUGCUAUCUUUUUCAUUAUUUUCAAUUUUAUUAUUACCCUACACACAAAUUAAAAAGUUAUAUGGGUGAUAAGUUUUUUAGUGUUAAUCAUUGGUUGAAAUAAUACCAAUUUCAAAUUAUAAUAUCAAAGCAAUUUUAAGUAUAAAAAUAUUUAAUAAAUAAGGAAUCAAAAGAGAACAAUAGAUUAUCCUAAAUUUGUACAAUUUAUUUUCAUUAAAUAGGAAGUAACAUAUAUAUAUUUUUUUAAAGGAUUGAUUAUGAAUUAAGUAGUUUGCUGGAAAAAAAAAUUAUAUGUGUUUAAUUUUCAGUUAUCUUUAGUUGUAAUUUUAUUUAAAGGGGAUUUUAUAAGAAUAAUGCAGGGGUGCCAAUAGCUCGGCUCAAUUAUUUAAUACAUUGAAAAAUUCAAUAGCCCUUCCCUUUUACUUCGACAUUGGAAUUUUCUUGGCCUUCGUGGGCUGUUGAAUUUGACUCUGUUAUUUAAUAUGGGAUUUGCUGAUUUUCUUUUGGUCUUUCUGAUUAUAGGCCUCCUUUGGCCUCGUUGAUUCUGGUCUAACAUCAAUUGAGUUACCCAAUUUUGGUAUAAAAGGUACACGCUCUGAGAAAAGAGUUUUAUCAACUACUAAAAAAUAAUUUUACUUGGUCCCACCCGUUAUCAAUGGGAUCAGGGAUACUUUCAGCAAGAAAUAUAUCGAAGAGUCAGUGCUGGACUGACUCAUGCUCCUUUAGGUUAUUUAAAUUCUGUGGGUGGAGUAGCUACCGAGAUCAAUGCAGUUAAUUAUGUCUCUCCGAGAACUUGGUUAGAAGUUAUUAAAUCCAUCACUCAAUAAAUUACUGACACAAAAUGUAGAGAUUCUUAUUGGGAUGUAUGCCAUUAUUGCUCGAUUAUAUUCAUACUAUAUAUAUAUAGUACGAAUAUAGACCAGAAUUCUGAACUUCACCAAUGUCCAAUAAACUAUUAAGAUAUAUAGUUUAAUACAUUGAAGUACAUGGUAAGUAAAAAGACAAAAAUUAUAGAUUCAAUACUUGAAAUAAUACCAAUUUCAAAUUAUAAUAUCAAAGCAAUUUUAAGUAUAAAAAUAUUUAAUAAAUAAGGAAUCAAAAGAGAACAAUAGAUUAUCCUAAAUUUGUACAAUUUAUUUUCAUUAAAUAGGAAGUAACAUAUAUAUAUUUUUUUAAAGGAUUGAUUAUGAAUUAAGUAGUUUGCUGGAAAAAAAAAUUAUAUGUGUUUAAUUUUCAGUUAUCUUUAGUUGUAAUUUUAUUUAAAGGGGAUUUUAUAAGAAUAAUGCAGGGGUGCCAAUAGCUCGGCUCAAUUAUUUAAUACAUUGAAAAAUUCAAUAGCCCUUCCCUUUUACUUCGACAUUGGAAUUUUCUUGGCCUUCGUGGGCUGUUGAAUUUGACUCUGUUAUUUAAUAUGGGAUUUGCUGAUUUUCUUUUGGUCUUUCUGAUUAUAGGCCUCCUUUGGCCUCGUUGAUUCUGGUCUAACAUCAAUUGAGUUACCCAAUUUUGGUAUAAAAGGUACACGCUCUGAGAAAAGAGUUUUAUCAACUACUAAAAAAUAAUUUUACUUGGUCCCACCCGUUAUCAAUGGGAUCAGGGAUACUUUCAGCAAGAAAUAUAUCGAAGAGUCAGUGCUGGACUGACUCAUGGUAGCUACCGAGAUCAAUGCAGUCCUUUAGGUUAUUUAAAUUCUGUGGGUGGAGUAGCUACCGAGAUCAAUGCAGUUAAUUAUGUCUCUCCGAGAACUUGGUUAGAAGUUAUUAAAUCCAUCACUCAAUAAAUUACUGACACAAAAUGUAGAGAUUCUUAUUGGGAUGUAUGCCAUUAUUGCUCGAUUAUAUUCAUACUAUAUAUAUAUAGUACGAAUAUAGACCAGAAUUCUGAACUUCACCAAUGUCCAAUAAACUAUUAAGAUAUAUAGUUUAAUACAUUGAAGUACAUGGUAAGUAAAAAGACAAAAAUUAUAGAUUCAAUACAAUAUAAUUUGUCUUGUAAUUUACUGAAAUCUGAAUUUUUUGUCUUUUACCCUGUCCGUUAUUUUAAAGUAAGGGAUUCCAUUAUUAGAAGGGAACUAUAUAUUUAUAUAUAUUAAUGAAGAUGAGAAGUUAUGCGCGGGUGCUCUCAAUAAUAUUGAGGGUAUUAAUUCAAGUUCUCAUGGAUCCUCUUUUCCCUUUCCACAAUUAAAAAAACAGGAAAUAUGCAUGGUAGUUUUACAUGCAAGGUUAUUAGUGAAAGAAAUAAAUUUUUUAUCCAGUCCCAACAAAUUUUUAAAUUUUAUUAUAAAUGAAUGCAUAGAAAGUUUCAAUAAAUAUAAGUCUUGAGAGUAAUAUAUAUGUGUAGGUUGUAAUCAUUAAAAAUAAAUAUAAGCUAUUAACUUUAGUUUUAAUUUGGUCUAUCAAGUGCAUUGUUGAAUUUAAUUAUAAAUGGCACUGAGAACAAAUUUUCACGAUGAACUGAAUAAAAUCUUCUCCAAAGGACCAAGGCUAUCAAAGAAAUGAUAGGUUAAUUUCUUCUAUAUAUUAUAAAUUAAAAUGGAAAAAACUAAAACAUUAAGUGGGAAUAAGUAAUUGUCAAAAAAUUUUAAGGGUGGGGAUAUUUCCGCUCCAAUAUUUUUGUAUAUCCAUCCCACUUCUAGAAAAUAAUUGCAGUGAAUUCACAACAUUCUCAAAAAAUAUAAAUCAAUAAAAGUUUUGUUUAUUUAAUCAAGUCCUUCCAUUAACUUUUUUAUUAGGUUUCUUUGACCAUAUUUAAUCAUAAACUUUAAUAUAAGUUUUAUUUUACUAUUUUAUUAUUAUGAUAUAAAAUAAUCAAAUUGUCCCAAAAAACAAGAGUUACUGUAUCUAAUAAUUUAGGUAUUUAAUUUUGUGACUUAUAAUACAUUUUUUUAAAUGAAAUCUAAUUAUUAUUUUCACCACACUUCCAUGUAAAUGACAUAUAUUUGACUGUCCAAUAAUUUACAUGAGUAUUGUGCCAUAAAGACACCAAGUUAGUUUAAUUAAAAUUUAAUAAUCAUACUAAUAAAGUAGUAAUAGAAAAAAUGAGUUUGGUAUAAAAUUAGAAAAAUAUUGAAGUUAAAGUAAAUUCUUGGUAGUGUUGCCUUAUAAGGCUAAAAUAGUCAAUUUAAACUUCUGCCAGAGCAGUCUUUAUAAUCAAAUUCAAAUAUAAUAAAAAAAUCAAAUUAUGAUAAAUUCAGUUAAUUAAUUCUCCAAUGUUCUUCUUUAUUUGAAAUUUUUUAAAAAUAAUUUACACUUUGUAAUUAUUUUUAAAACAUGGGGUGGGUUUACAGAAAUUUUGGAAUGGAGAUAUCAUCACCAUAAAUAGAAACAUUGAAUACUUGCAGCCCUUGGGUUCCAUUGAAAUACCAACAUAAAACUGUUGAGUUGAUUUUGUUACUACUUAGUCAAAAUAAAAUUCCUAUUGUUAAAGGUGACGUUAUUUGUUGAUUUUAGUCUUCCAUGUCUUUAGGAGUCAGUUAAACUUGGUUCCUGUUUUGUUGCUUGGUUCGUUAUGUAAGGCUAUUUAAUAGCCAAAGUUAUUCUCAUUUUAAUAACAGUUAGAAUUCUUCUAUACUCUGUAGCUUUUAACAUUUGGUAUCAGAGCUUUUCUCCAGUGGGCCUGAGAAUAGAAAGCUGCAGCUUUUGAGUGACUUGUAUUCAAGAAAAACUAGAGAAGAAAGAGAUGGCAAGUGAAGGGAGUUUUGUUCAGCCUGCGAUUCCACGCUUCGAUGGUCAUUACGACCAUUGGAGCAUGCUAAUGGAGAACUUCCUUAGGUCCAAAGAAUAUUGGAACCUUGUGGAGAUUGGUUUUGUCGAGCCUGCAGACGGAGCUGCUGUAACGGAAGCACAGCAAAAGAGCCUCGAUGAGAUGAAGUUAAAGGAUAGGAAAGUGAAGAAUUAUUUGUUUCAAGCAAUUGACAGGACCAUCCUUGAAACAAUUUUAAAGAAGGACACCUCAAAACAGAUAUGGGACUCGAUGAAAAAGAAAUUUGAAGGUAAUGCUCGAGUGAAACGUUCCAUCCUUCAAGCACUAAGGAGAGAUUUCGAGACCCUUGAAAUGAAACCAGGUGAAAUUGUUAUUGAUUAUUUCUCAAGAGUCAUGUCAGUAGCUAAUAAGAUGAGAAAUUAUGGAGAGGAUAUGCAAGAUGUUAAAGUGGUAGAGAAGAUUCUUCGAUCAUUGACUGAGAAGUUCAAUUAUAUUGUUUGUUCAAUUGAGGAGUCAAAGAACAUUGAUCAGCUUUCAAUUGAUGAGCUAGAAAGUUCACUAAUUGUUCAUGAGCAGAAAUUUCAUAGGAAUAAUGGAGAGGAACAGGCGCUGGAGAUAACACAUGAGAAUAGUUCAGGAGCAAGAGGUCGUGGUAGAGGAGGUUUUCGAGGAAGAGGAAGAGGACGGGGCAGACAACAAUUUGACAAAUCCACAGUGGAGUGUUAUAAUUGUCACAAACUUGGACAUUUUCAAUGGGAGUGUCCAAGUAAUGAGAUAGGAGCAAAUUUUGCAGAGACUCAAGAAGAGAUGUUGUUGAUGGCAUGCGUAGAUGUGAACAAGGACAACAAGGAAGAUAUGUGGUAUCUUGACUCGGGCUGCAGCAAUCAUAUGUGUGGAAAAAAGGAAUAUUUCUCAGAUCUAAAUGAAAAUUUUAGAGAUUCUGUGAAGUUGGGCAACAAUUCAAGCAUGACUGUAAUAGGAAAGGGUAACAUCAGGUUACAAGUGAAUGGAACAACACAAAUUAUUACCGAAGUUUUCUAUGUACCUGAAUUGAAGAGCAACCUGUUGAGCAUUGGGCAAUUGCAAGAAAAGGGGCUUACUGUUCUGUUCCAACAUGGAAGGUGCAAGGUGUUUCAUCAUAAGAGAGGUUUGAUCAUGGAUACAAAGAUGUCUGCAAAUCGAAUGUUUAUAUUGCAAGCUAUUUCUAAACCUAUAACAUCUGUUUGUUUCAAUACAAUUACUGAGGAUCUGGUGUAGCUCUGGCACUGCAGAUAUGGACAUUUGAGUUUUACGGGUUUAAAAACUCUUCAACAAAAGGCAAUGGUGAAUGGUUUACCACAACUUAAAACUCCUUCAAGGCUAUGCAAGGACUGUUUGGUGGGCAAGCAGCACAGGGAUUCAUUUCCAAAAAGAAGCAGCUGGAGAGCUUUCCAAAUCCUUCAGUUGUUACACGCUGAUAUUUGCGGACCGAUCAAACUGAUCUCCAACAGCAAGAAACGGUAUUUACUUACCUUUAUUGAUGAUUUCAGUAGAAAAACAUGGGUUUUCUUUUUGACAGAAAAUCCGAAGCCUUUGAUGUUUUCAAAAGAUUUAAGAUCCGAGUGGAAAAAAAGACAAACACUCCACUUCAAGCACUGCGAACUGAUCGAGGAGGAGAGUUUACAUCACAAGAAUUCAAUAAUUUUUGUGAUGCAAAUGGUAUACAGAGACAGUUGACAGCAGCAUACACACCACAACAAAACGGAGUCGCAGAACGAAAGAACAUGACCAUUAUGAAUAUGGUACGAAGCAUGAUUUCAGAAAAAAGAGUCCCCAAAACCUUCUGGCCUGAAGCAGUCAACUGGACGAUACAUAUUCUAAAUCGAAGUCCAACAUUUGCUGUGAGAAAUAUGACUCCGGAAGAAGCGUGGAGUGGAAUCAAACCUUCGGUAGAGUAUUUCAGAGUCUUUGGCUGCAUCUCUCAUGUUCAUGUGCCUGAUAGCAAACGAACAAAACUAGAUGAUAAAAGUCAGAUUUGUAUUCUGUUGAGAGUAAGCGAGGAGUCGAAGGCUUACCGGCUUUAUGAUCCUAUUUCACAAAGGAUUAUUAUAAGUCGAGAUGUUGUGUUCGAGGAAGACAAAAGCUGGGAUUGGGACAAUAAGUAUGAGGAAGCAAUUGCAUGUGAUUUGGAAUGGGGUGAUCGUGAGGAAAAAGUGGUGGAGAUCGACAGAAAUGUAGGGAGAAGUGAAUCUAAUUCUGAUGCUAAUAUUGAAGAAGGGGAGAAUUUUUCCUCUGAUUCUCCAGCCGAGGAAAGCUCACCUAGCUCGAAUGAAGGGAGAAUUAGGAGACCACCAGCUUGGAUGCAAGACUAUGAGACAGGAGAGGGACUAUCUGAAGAAGAAGUUCAGUUGGCCAUGUUUGCAACUGCUGAUCUUAUUCAUUUCGACGAUGCCGUAAAAAGCGAGAAAUGGAGGAAAGCCAUGGAUGUGGAAAUAGAAGCAAUAAAACGGAAUGAUACAUGGGAAUUGACAGAAUUACCUGAAGGUGGAAAGAAAAUUGGAGUGAAAUGGGUUUACAAAACCAAGUUUAAUGAGAAUGGUGAAGUUGAUAAACACAAGGCAAGGCUUGUAGUGAAGGGGUACUCUCAGCAACAUGGGGUAGAUUAUACAGAAGUAUUCGCACCUGUAGCACGUAUGGAAACAAUUCGUUUGGUAGUAGCUCUUGCAGCUCAAAAAGGAUGGGCUAUCUAUCAGCUAGAUGUUAAGUCGGCAUUUCUAUAUGGUGAGCUGAAUGAAGAGGUUUUUGUGGAACAGCCGCUUGAUUAUGUGAAAAAGGGUUAUGAACACAAGGUUUAUAAAUUAAAAAAAGGCACUCUACGGCCUUAAGCAAGCACCGCGUGCUUGGUAUAGCCGUAUAGAAGCUUAUUUUUUGAAAGAGGGUUUUGAGAAAUGUGACUAUGAACAUACUCUGUUCAUCAAAACAGAGAAAGAAGGGAAAUUUUUUAUUCUGAGUUUGUAUGUAGAUGAUCUCAUCUUUACGGGCAAUGAUGAAUUGAUGGUCUCAGAAUUUAAAAGUUCCAUGAAACAUGAGUUCGAUAUGACUGAUCUUGGCAAAAUGAGGUAUUUUCUUGGUCUUGAAAUCUUGCAGAAUUCAAGAGGUGUGUUUAUCAGUCAGAAAAAAUAUGCGUUACAGGUGCUGCAAAAGUUUGGGAUGGAUGGAAGCAACUCAGUUCAAAAUCCAAUUGUUCCAGGUUGUAAACUUGUGAAGGAUGAAAGUGGUGUUAAGGUUGACAAAAUUUAUUUCAAACAAAUUGUGGGUAGUCUCAUGUAUCUUACAGCUACUCGACCGGAUGUGAUGUUCGUAGUGGGUUUUAUCAGUAGGUACAUGGAGAAUCCUACUGAGCUUCAUCUCCAAGUAGCUAAAAGGGUGCUGAGAUAUUUGAAGGGAACACUUGAUUUCGGAAUUUUCUAUAAGAAGGGAGGAAAUAAUGAACUCAUUGCUUACACUGAUAGUGAUUAUGCUGGGGAUUUAGAAGAUAGAAAAAGCACUUCAGGUUAUGUUUUUUUGUUGAGCUCAGAAGCAGUAUCUUGGCUAUCAAAAAAGCAACCAAUAGUGAGUCUCUCCACUACUGAAGCUGAAUUCAUUGCUGCGGCUUCUUGUGCAUGUCAAACAGUUUGGUUGAAAAGGGUGUUGGAUAAUUUGGGUCUGAAGCAAGGUAAGACAACUAUUAUUCAGUGUGAUAGUAGUUCUGCAAUCAAACUUUCGAAGAACCCAGUAAUGCAUGGUCGAAGUAAGCACAUAGAUGUGCGUUUUCAUUUUCUUCGGGAGCUUACAAAGGCUGGUACUGUAGAAUUGGUCUAUUGCAGCACACAAGAACAAUUAGCCGAUUUAAUGACUAAGCCACUCAAGCUGGAUGUCUUCCUAAACCUGCGUGCAUCAUUAGGAGUUUGCUCUGAAACUGAUGUAAACUGAUGCAUUAGCAUUCAGUUUAAGGGAGGAAAUGUUGAGUUGAUUUUGUUACUACUUAGUCAAAAUAAAAUUCCUAUUGUUAAGGGUGACGUUAUUUGUUAAUUUUAGUCUUCCAUGUCUUUAGGAGUCAGUUAAACUUGGUUCCUGUUUUGUUGCUUGGUUCGUUAUGUAAGACUAUUUAAUAGCCAAAGUUAUUCUCAUUUUANNNNNNNNNNNNNNNNNNNNNNNNNNNNNNNNNNNNNNNNNNNNNNNNNNNNNNNNNNNNNNNNNNNNNNNNNNNNNNNNNNNNNNNNNNNNNNNNNNNNNNNNNNNNNNNNNNNNNNNNNNNNNNNNNNNNNNNNNNNNNNNNNNNNNNNNNNNNNNNNNNNNNNNNNNNNNNNNNNNNNNNNNNNNNNNNNNNNNNNNNNNNNNNNNNNNNNNNNNNNNNNNNNNNNNNNNNNNNNNNNNNNNNNNNNNNNNNNNNNNNNNNNNNNNNNNNNNNNNNNNNNNNNNNNNNNNNNNNNNNNNNNNNNNNNNNNNNNNNNNNNNNNNNNNNNNNNNNNNNNNNNNNNNNNNNNNNNNNNNNNNNNNNNNNNNNNNNNNNNNNNNNNNNNNNNNNNNNNNNNNNNNNNNNNNNNNNNNNNNNNNNNNNNNNNNNNNNNNNNNNNNNNNNNNNNNNNNNNNNNNNNNNNNNNNNNNNNNNNNNNNNNNNNNNNNNNNNNNNNNNNNNNNNNNNNNNNNNNNNNNNNNNNNNNNNNNNNNNNNNNNNNNNNNNNNNNNNNNNNNNNNNNNNNNNNNNNNNNNNNNNNNNNNNNNNNNNNNNNNNNNNNNNNNNNNNNNNNNNNNNNNNNNNNNNNNNNNNNNNNNNNNNNNNNNNNNNNNNNNNNNNNNNNNNNNAUUACUACUACUACUACUACUACUACUACUAUUACUAUGCCCAAAAAAUCAAUUUCCCUCUCAAAAAUCUUUUAUUUUUUAUGUACAUUAUAAUAUUUAUGUUUUAAAUAUUAAUUAAAUCAAAUAUGUAGAGCUUAUUAUUUUUCUUUAAACAAAAAAAUUAACAAGAUCACCUAAUUUAUUAUUAAAAUAAAAAUAAUCAAACUAAUUAAAUAAUAAAAAUAAUUAUUCAUUACUUAAUUUUAAAUUAAUGGAAAUUAUUCCAAUAAUAAUUCUUUAAAAUAUUCCUACCGAACGUAUUUUAUUUUUUUCAUUUUUAAAAUUAUUUUUGAAAAUGAUACGAAACACAUUUUUAAUUUUUAUAAAUAAAUUUAAAUAACAUUUUCAUUCUCAUUUUUGUUUCAUAAAAACAAUAUUUAGAAAACAAAUACCGAGCCUAAAUGACUCCAAUUUUGAUUCUUCAAUCAGCCCCUAGUUAGUUCAAAAGAGAUAGUAAUUCUCUUUAAAGUAUAUAAAAUUCUCACACACAUAUAUAAAUUUAUGAACUAGAGGCGUGAUAAAUAAUGAUCGAUUUUUACAAGUGGACAUUGUAAUUGCUUUGUUACAAAAUAACAUCGUUUAGCAAUAAUUCACCUAAUAAUUUUCAUGUAAGAAAGUAUAUGUGUGUGUGUAUAAAACUAAUAUGUAUAAAACUAACUUUGUGUAAACAUAUCUUAUUUAGAAUAUUAUACUUGUAUAUAUGUGUAACAAACAGAAAGAGGAUACCUCAGAGACCAUGUCGUUUAACACCAUUCCCAAAAGCUCGAAGAUACCAGUAUGAUAUUUAUCAUUACCUAAAAAGUUAAGAACCAUACGACCUCCAGUCUUCAACUCUUAUGACCAAAAUUUGAGAAAUGAUGUGAAAUCACUCUCAAAUUGAUCCAAAAACACUUUAGGCACACUAGGAGGGUUAUAAAUUUUUGCUAGGCAAACAUCCCUUUUAUUCAAUAAAGGAAUUCUACGUUCACUUACUAGCUCUGUGGGUACCUAUUAAAGCAUAAAAUUGAGGUAUUAAUAAGAAUAUGAUUUUGUACACUAUUUAUAUAAGUUUUCAAUUUCUUAUUAUCUUUAAAAAGAAUAAAUGGAACAGGUUCGUCCACCCGAGAGAGCCAGUGAUGGCAGAAAGAAGAGUAAACUAAGUUUAGGAAACACGGAAGAAAUAGCCUUCCUUAGAAAGGACCAGGGGAAAAAUGAACCAAAAUCUUCAUGGCCUUUCGUUGUCUUCAAUCUCUUAUAAAAGCUGGGAGAGAUUUGGAAACGGUAGUAAAAGCAUGCAAUAUUGGUGGCUUAUGUUUCAAGCGGCUGCAAAUAGUGUCCUGUACCUCUAUAGCUUGCCAUGUUGGUAAAAAUACAUUAGGCCCUGAAGAACAACCCCAUAUCUGUAAGUCUGAUGCGAUCUGGGAAGCCAUUGCAAUACAAGUCAAAUGAGCUUUCAUUUAGUAAAGGCUUUGCUUUCAAGGUUGCUUCCCUCUGAGAAAAAAAGGGAAAAGAAAAGAAAAUCUAUAAACAGAAGAAAUUAGAGUGUGAAGCAUCGAGAGAGAGAGAGAGAGAGAGAGAGAGAGAGAGAGAAAGAGAGAGAGAGAUUGAUGUUUAGAUAUUGACCGAAUGAGCUGAGUUGUUUGCUUAGCUGUUAUCUCCAUUCUCCUUCAUUCAUGAAUUGUCAAAAAAAAAAAAUGAUUUGGAUUUCGUCCCCUCUACUUUUUAAUGAAAAAACAUAUUGAAAUAUAAUUGAAGUUGCUGUAUAGUUUUGUUUUGCUACUCUACAAUCUCUUCAAAGAAAAUAAGCAAAGCCAACAAAGAAAUAUUUGGAAAUUGACAACAGAUACAUUAAUGCAACCCGAAUUGUCAAAAGAUGUCAUUAUAUUUUUAAGAAUAAUUAUAGAAUCACAAGCAUUUUUACGGACAAUCUUUUAUAGAUUGGGUCAAGAUGAUCGGUCAACAAAAAUAUUAAAUUUUAUUUUCCACAUUCAUUUGUAUAAUAAUAUUUAUACGAACAUAUUUAUUAUUGUAGAAAAUAGGGUAAACGCUCGUUUCAUCCCUAUAUUUUAAAAUUAGUGCUUAUUUAGUCCAUAUAUUUUUAAAAAUACCUCAAAAUAUCCCUACCCUUAAAUUAUUGACAUCCCUGCUGUUACUUUUUAUUUUUUUGACUUGCUUUUACAAUAUUAUCCUUUUACAAUAAUGUUUCUUUUUAUAAAAUUAAUAAAAAGAAAAAAAAUUAAAUUAUCAAUUUAACCCCAAAAAUAAAAUAAAAACAAAAAGAAUAUAUAUUAAUUUUUGUGAAAGCUUACAUGCGUCCAAAAAAUUUUUAUUGUAAAAAUAAUUAAAUUACCUUUUUUUGGACAUUAGUAAUAAAAAAAUUAAUAUAUUAAUUCUUCAAUAGUGUGUUACAAAUAAGUAACAUAUAUUAAUUUUGUUUCUAUUUUAUUUUUUGAGAUUAAAUUGAUAAUUAAUUUUUUUUCUUUUUACUAAUGUCCAAAAAAAUAUUGUAAGAGAGUAAUAUUGUAAAAAUUAAGCGAAAAGCAACAAAAAGUAAGAGGAAAUGUGUUAAUAAUUUAAUGUCGGGGAUGUUUUGAGGUAUUUUUAAAAAUAUAGGGACUGAACGAGCACUAACCUUAAAAUAUAAGGACUAAACGAGAUUUUACCCCAGAAAAUAUAAAGUAGUCAAUAAAGCGCUAAGUGUUACCCCCAACAAGUGUGCGUCCCCAAGAAUGGGGAGCAGGAAUUCUACUCCCAGGGUUCCAUCCCCAGGAUUGGGGCCUUAGAAAAUAUGCUCCCAGGAAUGGGGGCAGUGGUUACAGCUCUAGGAAUGGGCCCUAGAAAGUGUACUCCUCCAAGAAUGGGGAGUAGGGAUUCUACCCCAGGGUUCCACAAACAGGAUUGGGGCCUUAGAAAAUAUGCUCCUCCAAAUGGGGAGUAGAGGUUCUACCUUCAGGAAUGAAACCUAGAAGCUGUGCUCCCUUAAGAAUGGGAAGCAGAGAUUCUACCCCAGGGUUCCACCCCCAAGAUUGGGGCUCCAGAAAAUAUGCUUCCCUAAGAAUGGGAAAUAAAGAUUCUACCUCCAGGAAUGGGUCUUAGAAAGUAUGCUCCCCCAAGAAUGGGGAGCAGGGAUUCUACCCCAAGAUUCUACCCUAGGAUUGGGCGUCCAAAAAAUUUUUAUUGUAAAAAUAAUUAAAUUACCUUUUUUUGGACAUUAGUAAUAAAAAAAUUAAUAUAUUAAUUCAGCAGUGUGUUUCAAAAAAGUAACAUAUAUUAAUUUUUUUUCUAUUUUAAUUUUUGAGAUUAAAUUGAUAAUUACACUAACCUUAAAAUAUAAGGACUAAACGAGAUUUUACCCCAGAAAAUAUAAAGUAGUCAAUAAAGCGCUAAGUGUUACCCCCAACAAGUGUGCGUCCCCAAGAAUGGGGAGCAGGAAUUCUACUCCCAGGGUUCCAUCCCCAGGAUUGGGGCCUUAGAAAAUAUGCUCCCAGGAAUGGGGGCAGUGGUUACAGCUCUAGGAAUGGGCCCUAGAAAGUGUACUCCUCCAAGAAUGGGGAGUAGGGAUUCUACCCCAGGGUUCCACAAACAGGAUUGGGGCCUUAGAAAAUAUGCUCCUCCAAAUGGGGAGUAGAGGUUCUACCUUCAGGAAUGAAACCUAGAAGCUGUGCUCCCUUAAGAAUGGGAAGCAGAGAUUCUACCCCAGGGUUCCACCCCCAAGAUUGGGGCUCCAGAAAAUAUGCUUCCCUAAGAAUGGGAAAUAAAGAUUCUACCUCCAGGAAUGGGUCUUAGAAAGUAUGCUCCCCCAAGAAUGGGGAGCAGGGAUUCUACCCCAAGGUUCCUCCCCAGGAUUGGGGCCCCAAAAAAUACGCUCCCCCAAGAAUGAGAAGUAGAGGUUCUACCUCCAGAAAUGGGCCCUAGAAAGUAUGCUCCCCCAAGAAUGGGGAGCAGGGAUUCUACCCCAAGAUUCUACCCUAGGAUUGGGGCCCCAAAAAAUAUGCUCCCCCAAGAAUGGGGAGUAGAGAUUCUGCCCCCAGGAUUCCACCCUGGGGCCCCAGAAAAUAUGCGCCCCCAAGAAUGGGAAGUAGAAGUUCUACCUCCAGGAAUGAACCCCAGAAAGUGUGCUCCCCCAAGAAUGGGGAGCAAGAUUUUACCCUCAGGAUUGGGGCCCCAGAAAAUAUGUUCCCCUAAGAAUGGGGAGCAGAGGUUUCACCUCCAGGAGUGGGCCCCAGAAAAUAUACUCCCCCAAGAAUAUGGAGCAGAGGUUUCACCUCUAGGAAUGGGCCCCAGUGUGCUCCCCAAGAAUGGGAAUAAGGAUUCUACCCCAGGAAUGGGCCUAAGAAAAUAUGCAGGAAUUAUACCCUUAAGACCCCCAGAAGCCAUGCUCCCCAAGAAUGGGGAACAAGAAUCAUGUUCCCCCAGGAACAUAGAGCAAGAAUUAGGUUCCCCAGGAACAGGGAGCAGGAGUGGAGGAUGGCAAAAAUCAUGGUUCCAGACAGCCCUUGACUCAGUUCUAGAUUAUGGAUCGCACAAGAAAAGUCAAGUCCGAGUAGAGGAGCUAUCGUUGAAGGACAAUAGAAGGGCAUUGCUUGGCCUAGAAGCAAAUUAAGUAGAGUUUGACUCAGAUACAACUUAUGAAAAGGUAGAAAUACUUUGUAAUUAAAAUCCUAGAGGAUAGAGGAAAGUUAGAUAGAGUUCAAGUUAGAAAAGGACUUUAUCUAUAGAAGACUAUAAAAGCAGAGGUCUCUCAUAGUGUAAGGCAUCGAAAAAAAAAAAUAGCAAAGAGAGAGAAAGUCAAGUUGUAAGUGCGAUCUUAAUAAAAUAUUUAUCUUUCUCUACCCGUGGACGUAUGCCAAAAGCCGAACCAUAUUAAGUCUCUGUGUCUUUUCAUUAUAUCGCCCCCGCGUAAAUUAAUUUUCUAAGUUGACUAGAAAUAUGCAUCAACAUUUAUGAUUAUAUUAUUACUCUAUUUUUUAAGGGCACAAGUGUAUCUCAAUGGUGUUUAUAGAAUUAUAUAUAGAUGAUUCUUUCAACAUAUAUAUUCACAAGUAUAAUUUAUUAAAUGAUUUUAUGAUUUGUCAGGAUUAUCCUUUUGAAUAUUUCUUUUUGUAUCUAUGAAGGACACAUAUUCAUAAUAUGUAUGUUAUUUGAGAUAACCUACUAAAAGGCAAAGUUAUGAUAACAUAGUGGUUUCUUACCCCGAGUCUCCAUCAUUUUGUUAAUUCAUGGAAAAUUAUGGUGUGUUUUGUCACGGAAUGAGUAUAUUGCACAACAAACCCAUGCAGUGCUUAUGCAACUAUAGCCCAACAUUUGCAAAGUAAACCUAUUAAGCUUCUCGUCUAGUUAAAAGUAUGCGAAAUUGCUUACGAAAGAGCUAGAGAGAAAAGCGAGCAAUUGAGACAAAGAGAAUCAGUGUUAUUCACAAGAGUGUGUGCACAAGAGAGCUUGAUAGCUUGCAAGAUUACUUGCUUGAGUUGCUUGCUGAAAAUGCUAAGCGCCAUACUUUAUUUAUAAAGAAGUUUGCUUAGUUCUAUAAGGUUCUAACUCUAAAGAGUUCUCAAGACUUAGUGAGAGCUCUCGUACCUAGCAAAGCUUAGAUUGAUAUAGGAAAAUCUAUGUACAAACUAUAUGUUACAAUACUCUAGCAAAAUCUGGAGAUUUCUUAGUUAUGUACAAGUGAGAAUAUACUAGAAAAGACUAGUGAUAGAAGCUUCUAGAAUCAAGCAAAACUAACACACCUUGGCUUAUAGAUUUAACCUAUUCGGCCUAAAAUUUCAGGUGGUUCACGACAGUUUGCUACAGUUUUUGGAUUAGUGCUUUAUGUUUUAAAACAAGAAAAAAAAGAAAAAAAGAAAAGGCGUUUUGGUGGCAUUGUUUUUCUGCCUAUUUUCACGUUGUGUGAGAAUGAGUGCAACUCAUUUAAAAACUUGUCACAGUAAAUUGAAAAAUAAUAAUUUACUAUUACAUAGACAGUGUUCUAAUUCUGGGACCCAUGUUAAACAAAAGUAAAACAUACAUAAAUAGUGUGUGGGUGUAAAUUGCAUGAAUGUAACUUAUCAUUUACCAUAAAAUAUAGCUAUUUAUUUUACUGUGCGUGCACAUAAACUAUUGUUUCAACCAUUUUUUUAUUUUAUUAUUUUUAAUAAUAUAAUAUUAUUAUUUUCAAAGAACAAACAAUCAAACAUAUAUUUGAUUAAUUUUAUUUUUAAAUAUUAUUUUAAAUUAAGCUAUCAAAUAUGUUUUUUUUAUUCACCAAAAUUAAUUACUUUUAUAUCAUAAAAUAAAAUAAGUACAAAAAUAUAAUUUAAAAAAUAAUACCAAAACAAAACUUAGUUGUGUUCAAUCAAAAUCAAAUGUGACCCACGAAAUAUAAAGCAUAGCCAUUUACUUUACUGUGCACGCAUAUAAACUACUGUUUCAACAGUUUUUUUAUUUCUUAAUUUUUAAUAUGAUAUUAUUGUUUUUAACAAACAAAUAAAUAGACAUAUGUUUGAUUGAUUUCAUUUUUAAAUAUUAUUGUAAAUCAAGCUACCAAAUAUGUUUUUAUAUUCAAAAAAAUUAAUUAUUUUUAUAUUAUAAAAUAAAUACAAAAAUAUCAUUUAAAAAAUGAUACCAAUAAAGAACUAGCACGUGUUUAAUUGAAUCAAAUGUGACCCACGAAAUGUUUACUUUACUAAGCACGCAUAUAAACUACUGUUUCAAAAUUUUUUUAUUUUUUUAUUUUUGUUGUAUCAAAAUUAUAAUAAGCCUAAAAAAAAGCCCACAUGAGUAUAGGCCAAAUAAGAAGUGACCUAGGUCCAUUUUAAAUCAAACGCCUAAAGAGCAAUUUUUGGGCAAAAACGCUAAAGGUAAGUUUCUACAAAACGUGACCUAAAUCGAUUUUUUACAAAAGCGACAUAAGUCUACUCUUUAUAAAGAAGGACCUAGGUCCAUUUUAAAUAAAACGCCCAAAGGGCAACUCUUCGACAAAGCGCUAAAGGUAAGUUUCUACAAAAAGUGACCUAGAUCGAUUUUAUACAAAGAGCGACCUAGGUCCACUCUUUAUAAAGAAGGACAUAAGUCCAUUUUAAAUAAAACGCCCAAAGAGCAACUCUUUGGCAAAGCGCCAAAUGUAUAUUUCUGCAAAGAACGACCUAGGUCCACUCUUUAUAAAGAAAGACCUAGGUCCAUUCUAAGUAGAACGCCCUUCGAAAAAGUGCCAAAGGUAUGUGUCUACAAAGAGCGACUUAUGUCCAUUCAUUAUAAAGAAUGACCUAGGUCCAUUUUCUACGAAUAAUGACCUAGAUGUUCAACAAUUACUUGGAAGUAACAUUCUACGAAAGUUACAUACAUGCGAUUGCUAGGUCAUUAUAAAGAAUGACCUAGGUCCAUUUUAAAGAAUUACUUGUAACCUUCGUAGAUGUUCAGCAAUUACUAGGUGAUUAUAAAGAAUGACCUAGGUCCAUUUUCUACGAAUAAUAAUCUAGAUGUUCAGCAAUUACUUGGAAGUAACAUUCUACGAAGGUUACAUACAUGCGAAAUUCCACAAAACCAAUCCUCUUUAAAAGGAAACAACAUAAGGGCUGAAGUGCUUAAGCCCAACGAAUGUUAAGAGCUUGAAAUCAUGACAAGUGUUCAAAGAAAACUUGUCAAUGAGCAAGCUUGACAUGUAAUGAUAGGUGUCUUUAUACAUGAGUUUUGCGGACACUUGUCACUAAAAAAAUACCACGUGUCGUGAUGACACCUUCACCUCAUUAAUCAAAUUGCCUAUAUAAUGAUCAAAACUUCCCAUAUCAGAGGCCAAGAGAAAAAGGGCAACGAAAUGUUGUCCUUCUUUCUUUAAAUUCUCUUUUUAUAAUCAAAAUUGAAAUGCUGACUUAAGCGUCAGAGGGUCAUGGCCGGCAACCCUGACACCCUUUGACAAUUUCAUUUCUUUUGCAGAACCUUUGACAAUAGAAACUUUCAUAUCAUGGAGAGAUGAUUCACAAAGCUUAAUAUAGAAAUGAAUCUGAAGUAAAAAGUUAAUAUGUGUCGAGCAAAAAAUUGCAUUGACAGCUGGCGCCGUUUGUGGGGAUGAAUAAAAAGCCAAUGUGAUCAUCUUGAGCAUGGAUGACAACUAUAACUACUUCGAGCUUGAUGCUGAUGAUGAAAUUUCUAGGGAUGGCAAGAUUUAUUUUUGACGACAAAGAUAUGUUGUAGAUCCUGGAAGUGAAUCUACAGUCCCAAUACAUCCACCUAACCUCUAAUAAAAUCCAAAUCAACAAUUUGAUGCAUAACAUCUAUAGCCAGAUCCAAACGUUUAGCCUCGUCGCCAAGGUGCGGCAGGAUUGCCCGACUUUAAAGGCAAAUAGAGCAGCUGACAAUAAACUUCAAUAGAAUGUUCGAUUAAUUUCAAGCCCGAAAUGAUGAACAAGCUAACUGCAACAACUUUGAUAGCAAUGCAGCAAACUCCGGCUCUUCCCAGACAAGAUCAAAAAAUGAUUUGAAUGAUGAUAAUUUGAAACAUGCUCUCAAUCAGAGACGGACACGACAAAGAGCAACUUGAGAUAAUAAUGAGCCAUCUGAUUUACAAGAGAGAAUGCAAAGGCUUAAACAAAUGGUUCAUGGAAUGAGACCACAAGACGAUAUGAUGGCUGAGUCUGAACCACCAUUUACACAAGAAAUCAUGAGAGCUAGAUAACCGUCAGGGUUUUGACUUCCAUUAAUGGAGCCUUACGACUGACAAAUGGAUCUUAUGGUGCAUGUCGAGCUAUAUCACUCUUUUAUGGAAGUUCAUGACGUGUCUUUGGCCAUUUUAUGUCGGGCUUUUCUUCUCACUUUAUCUAGGGCUGCAAGAAGGUGGUUUCAAAGGUUAAAGCCAAACUCUAUUUCUUUAUUCAAAUUGAUCCGAGAAUUUAUGAUGCAUUUUUGUAGUGCAAGACAAAGAGGAAAACCAAUUACAUGCCUCUUGACAGUGAAACAAUAUAAGGGUGAAUCGUUAAGGGAGUAUGUUCAAAGGUAUAAUGCUGAGACCACUCAAAUGGAUGGAUAUGAUGAUGGGGUUGCUCUUUCCAGGUUAAUGGAAGGCCUACAGAUAGGAAGACUAUGGUGGUCAGUAAUAAAGAAUCCACCAUCAAUAUAUUAAGAGAUGCUCUCUCAGGCUUAGAAAUAUGCUAAUGCAGAAGAAAGAUUUCAAAGUAAGAAAAGGCGAGGAAAAGGUGAAUCAAGUAAAAAAAAAAAGAAGAAGGAAGACAGGUGUGAUGUAACACUUGGACGACCCGAUCAAGCUUCUAGAGGGGAUCAAUUCCGCCCUAAGGACAAACUUAGCUCUCAAGAGCCUCUUUUUUGGCCUCAUAUACAAUUUACUAACUAUAAUGAGUUGAAUGCUCCUAGGGAGCACAUUUUGAUGCAAGUGAAAAAUUCCACUUUGUUUAAAGCUCCUCCUCCACUGAAAUAUGAUCGUUCACGGAGAAACCAAAAGAAGUAUUGCGACUUUCAUAAAGAUGUUGGACACGAUACAUCUGAGGUUUUGACCUCAAAGAACAAAUUGAAAGUUUGAUGUGACAAGGUCAGCUACAAGAAUAUGUCAAAGGCCAAAGUAGUCGAGAAAAUAAAGACCUACAAAAAUAUUUAAGAAAAGACAAAGCGAAAAAGAAAGAAAAUGAUAGUGAUGAUAAUAUGUCUGAUGUCAACCAUAUUUGGGGUAGUCCUCUUGCUGGUAAUUCUGGCAAGGUGAGGAAGAACUUAGCCAGGCAAAUAAGGCAUGAGCCUAGUGGGCUGGAAAUAAAUUUAACAGAUCGCCUACAGAAUUCAAGGUUUCAUGACACUCCAAUAAUGUUUUCUAAAGAGGACACUCAGGGCAUUCAUCACCCUCAUUGUGUGCCAUUGUUGUAACUCUACUUGUGGCAAACAAGCGACUUCACCGAAUCUUAAUUAAUAAUGGAAGCUCAGUUGAUAUAUUAUUUCUUUCAGCUUUUGCAAAAAAUGGGAUUGGAAAGAUCCUAAUUAAUGCCAUACAUUACUCCAUCGCAUGGAUUUGCUGGGGGAAGUGUUAUCCUUGAGGGAAUGAUUGAGCUUGUUGUAUCCUUUGGUAAAACUCCGACUAAAGUUACUUCUAUGGUUCAAUUUAUAGUGGUAGAUCAACCGAGUGCAUACAAUUCAGUCUUAGGUCGACUAACCUUAUAUGCUAUUAAAGGCCGCAACUUCUAUUUAUCAUUAUACUUUGAAGUUUCCUACGGAGGCUGGCAUAUGAGUGUUCGAGGAAAUCAGAAAGAGGCUUGUAAAUGUUAUGAGAUUUCCUUCAGGAAAAGAAAUGAGUCAUUUCAAAUCACAAGUCUGGACCCCAAAACAGUAAGGGAUGAUUAACAAGCGAAUCCCAUUGAAGACUUGGUCGAGAUUCCCCUUGGAGAUGAUUCAACAAGGUAGUUAAAAUUGGGUCCUAAUUAGUCAAUCCACUUUGAGAAGAACUUGUGGAUUUCCUAAAGGAAUACUCAGAUGUGUUUGCAUGGACUCACCAGGAUAUGCCGAAAAUUGAUCCGAGGAUAAUUGUUCAUCGCUUAAGUACUAAGCCUCUUACAAAACAUGUUCGACAAAAGAUGAGAAGUUUGAAUGCUGAGAGAGCUGCAGCUGUUAAAGAUGAGGUGGACAAACUCUUAAAGGAAAAAUUUAUUAAAGAAACUAGGUAUCCACAAUGACUUGCAAACGUUGUCAUGGUAAAGAAAGCCAAUGGAAAGUGAAGGAUGUGCGUAGACUUUACUGACCUCAACAAGGCAUGUCCUAAUGAUCGCUUCCCUUUGCCACGAAUUGAUCAGCCUGUAGACGCCACAGCUGGGCAUGAACGUUUUAGUUUCAUGGACGCCUAUUCCGAGUAUAACCAAAUUCGGAUGCAUGAGCCUGAUCAAGAAAAUACUUCAUUCAUUACUGAUCGAGGCCUUUAUUGUUAUAAAGUCAUGCGUUUUGGGCUUAAGAAUGUUAGGGUAACCUAUCAAAGGCUCGUGGAUGCAAUGUUUGCCAAUCAGAUAGGUCACACAAUGGAAGUCUAUGUGGAUGACAUGCUGACAAAAAGCAAAAACUCAAUUGAUCGCAUCAGAAAUCUCCGUAAGACUUUUGAUAUUUUAAUGAACUUCAAGAUAAAGCUUAAUCCAGCUAAAUGUGCCUUUGAAGUGGCCUCAGGAAAGUUUUUAGGCUUUAUGGUAAAUUAAAGAGGAAUUGAAGUUAACCCUGAAAAAAUCCAAGCCUUGGUCAACAUGAAGUCACCAAAGAAUGUGAAAGAAAUCCAGCAGGUAACUGGGUUAGUUGAUGCUCUAGAUCGUUUUGUCUCAAAGGUUAUUAACAAAUGCCUUCCUUUUUUUAAAGCCUUAAAGAAAAUGAAAGAGAUGAUAUGGACUGAAGAAUGCAAAGAAGCGUUUCAGAAGCUAAAAGACUAUCUCAGCAAUCCACCGCUUUUAGUCAAACCAUCUAAGGGCGAGUUAAUUUACAUGUACUUAGUAGUUUUUAACUCAGCAACAAGUUCCAUUCUUGUUCGAGAUGACAAUGGAGUCCAAAGGCCGAUUUAUUACACAAGUCAAGCUUUGCCCGAUGCAGAGAUUCCAUAUUUAAAUUUAGAGAAUGUUGUUGUAACGCUAGUCAUUUCAGCGCAGAAAUUGCGACCAUACUUCUAAGCCCAUGAGGUCAUCGUAUUAACAAACCAACCAUUAAAACAGACUUUGGCAAAACCUGAUGUGCAAAACCUGAUGUGUUAGGAAGAUUGGUCAAAUCAGCAGUAGAGUUGGGUGAAUUUGAUAUCCAAUUUAAGUCUCGCACUUUAGUUAAAGGGCAAGCAGUAGCAGAUUUCAUUACAGACUUUACAGAAGUAGAAACUCCAUAUUCAGAAGUUAUGGGAGAACAAUUCGAGCAAUGGACUCUUUAUGUUGAUGGCACAUCUAAUAGUAAGGGCAGUAGAUGAGGAUUGAUUAUUAUCACAUGGAUAAAACAGAAAUUGAAUGUGCCCUGCGAUUCGGAUUUGAUGCAACUAAUAUAGAUGUCUUAGUCCAACUCGAAUCUACACCUGAAGGAAAUUUGUUGAGGUCAAUCCCAAUUGCUACGAUCCCAAAACCAAGUAUCAUACGACCAGAGGUUAAAGAAAUUGCGACUACAGAUCGAAGGGCAAUAUGGAUGGAGCCUAUUGAAAAGUAUUUGAUAAACAGGGAGUUACCAGCAGAUAAAAAUGAAGCUCGAAAAGUCAGACUUAGAGCUGCCAGAUACCUGUUUGUUGAUGGUGAACUAUACAAACGAGGCUUCUUUCUUCCGCUCUUGAAAUGUCUUGCUCUUGCGGAUGCAAAUUAUGUUUUAAGAGAAAUUCACGAGGGAAUAUGUAGAAACCACUUUGGUGGCAGAAUGCUAGCAUACAAGGCAAUAAGGCAAGGAUAUUUUUGGUCAAUCAUGCAUGAAGAUGCCCUUGAGUUGACGAAGAAAUGUGAUAAAUGUCAAAGGUUUGCUAAAAUUCCAAGUAGCCACUGGAAGACUUAAUUCCUUUGUUUUCACCUUGGCCUUUUGCCCAGUGGGGUAUUGAUCUUAUUGGCCCUUUGCAUACAGGAAAAGUCCAAGUAAAUUUUGGUAUUGUCGCUAUAGACUACUUCAUUAAGUGGGUCGAAGCAGAGCCUUUGGCAACAAUUACUGAAAAUAAGACAACAGACUUCAUUAAAAGAAACAUCAUUUAUAGAUUUGGAGUCCCUCAAACCAUCAUCACUGAUAACAGCAAGCAAUUUGACAAUGCCAGUUUUAAAGCCUUCUGUAAGGCCCUUGGCAUAACAAAUCACUAUUCCUCUCCAGCUCAUCCUCAAGCAAAUGGGCAAGUAGAGGCAACCAAUCGAGUGAUAAAGCAAACCCUCAAGAUUAAGCUUGAAAAAGCUAAAGGUGCUUGACUGGAAGAGCAUCCCUUUGUCCUAUGGUCAUACAAAACUACUCCAAGGAUACCCACCGGCGAAACCCCAUUCUCUCUGGCUUUUGGCACUGAAGCUGUAGUUCAUGUAGAAAUAUGAAUGCCAACUUAUUGAGUCCAACAUUUCAAUCUCGAGCGCAAUGAUGAUCUUCAACUUUAAAACUUAGAUUUCUUAGAAGAAAAACGAGAUCAAGCAAUGAUCAGAGUGGCUGCUUAUCAAGGGAGAGUGGCUCGAUAUUAUAAUGCUCGUGUAAAGAAUCAAUGUUUUAGAAUUGGAGAUUUGGUCUUGAAGAAAGUUCUUCCUAAUACGCAAGAUCCAGGGGUUAGGAAUCUUAGGCCAAAUUGGGAAAGACCUUACAUUAUGAAAGAUGUUGUAAGGCCAGGGACCUAUUCCCUUUAUACUCUUCACGCUAAUAUCCUGAGGCACGCUUGGAAUGUCGAGCACCUUAGAGUGUAUUAUCAGUAAAGUCUGAAAAAUUUUAUAAUCGAACAAGUUUUCUUAUUAACCUACGGACUAAUAAAAGAUUGGUUGCCUUAAAUUUCUUUUGUUAUUCUUAUAAUGAUAUUAUGCGAAGUGACAUUGCAUUAUGUUAAACUUGUAUAAUUCAUAAUGAGCACUUAGUCAAUUGUGAAUUCAAGUUACGAAAAGCUUAAAGGCUUGUUAUCGCAGAAGUUUUAUAAACAUAUAUGCAGUGUCAACCUAGAGAAAUUGUUAGAAAUAAUUUUCUAAGCAAAACGCCCACGGGAAAAUUGUAACAACGGGACCUAGGUCUUUUCUUGCAUAGGAUGACCUAGGUCCAAUUCCUUAGAAAUAAUUUUCUGAGGAAAACGCCUGCGAGAAAAUUAUGACAAAUGGACUUAGAUCUUUUCUUCCAUAAGAUGACCAGGUCCUUUAUUCCAUAGGAUGACCUAGGUCCAAUUCUUUAGAAAUAAUUUUUUGAGGAAAACGCAUGCGGGCAAAUUGUAACAAAGGGACCUAGGUCUAAUUCCUUAGAAAUAAUUUUAUAAGGAAAACACCCGUAGACAAAUUGCAACAAAGGGACCUAGGUCUUUUCUUGCAUAGAAUGACCUGUGCAAGAAAUGACCUAGGUCCAAUUCCUUAGAAAUAUUUUUUUUUUAGAAAACUACCCACAAGCAAAUUGUAACAAAUGGACUUAAGUCUUUUCUUGAAAAGAAUGACUUAAGUCCAAUCCAUUAUUUCUAAGGAAACUACCCAUAGGCAAAUUGUAACAAAAGGAUUUGGGUAUUUUCUUGUGAAAAAUGGCCUUGUUCUAGUUACUUAGAAAUGUUUUUCUAUGAAAAAUAUCGAUCGGCAAGUUGUAAUAAAAAGACGUAGGUCAUUUCUUUUAAAAGAAUGUCCUAAGUCUGAUUGCUGAUAAAAAUUUUUAAAUCAAACGUCUACAAGAAAAGAUCUAUAUAAAGGAAUGUAUGGUGUUAAGUCAAAUCGACUUCGAAUAAAAAUUACUUGGUCAAAAUUAAGAAAUUUUAGGCUAAACUUUCAUUAGGAAAAUAAAGCAUUUCAUGCUGCGAGUUACGCCGAAAAGAAGCCAAAAUUGCAGCCAUGAUUACAUCCGUAGAAAAUUAAAAUCCAACAAGAAAGAAAAAUUAAAAUGCUGAAAAAUGAUCUUAGGAACAAUCUAAGGAUCCAUGAUGUGUUCACCCUCCUCAACAUCCUUGCACAUCUCAUCAUCUAACUCAGGAGGACGAAGGUGAAGAUCUCCAUAGCAAUCAUCAAAACCCAGAGUCGCAGGUAAUAUGAUAUCUGAUGGUCAACCGAUGGGGACUUCAUUUCCGCCACUCGUGUACUCUUCAUACUCUUUAUUUCUAGCUUUUUCAAUUUCAGCUUGUGCUUCCAAAAGUUCAUCCUCAAAUUGUUCAUUUGACUCUUCAAGAUCUUUUACACGGGUUUCAAAACUAGAAAUCCUCUCAGCAUCGAGAGCAAUUAUUUCUUCAGCCUUUUUUUGCUCCUCUUUGGCUAAAUGCAACUGACUUUCAAUUGUUAACUUUUCUUUAUGGAGGGCAAUGAACUCAGAUUCUAAAUUCUUUUUAGCAGCAAGAGCUUGAGAUAGUUCUUUACUUGUGGCAGCAACACGAUCUUCGGCAGCCCUAACUCAUGUUUCAUAGGAUGAAAAAUGCUCCGAAUGCUACAAAAAAAUAAAAUAAAAAAUAAGGAGAGGCAGAAUAAAAAAUGAAGGGUAAACAUAAUGAAGGCAAAAGUUCUUUACCUUUAUAACAAGUCUCACUACAACCUUGAGAGACUCUAUGGCCCCCAAAUCCUUCACACUCGAUCCUCCAGCCUCACUUACAAAUUGGUCCCAAUCAACAUCAUCGGCUUGAUGAGCGCGAACUGGUGAUGAAUUAACACCUUAGGCAAGAACCGUAGAUGGAUCGAUGAUUUGAUCAACAGUAAAUUUUUUAGUCACUUCUUUCGGCAUCAAAGUUUGGACUAAUGUACCAUUAUUCUGAUCCUUUGUCUGUUGCUGGGAAGUAAAGCCCUUCUCCAUGAGUCGUGGCUUCUCCACGUUCUUUGUCUUAUCUGACAGUCUCAGCCUCUCAAUGGGUUUUGCCUUUUCAGAUAACCUUGGCCUUUUUCUUCUUUUUUUUCCUCCAACAGGUUCAUUAGUUGAAGAAUCCAUUAUACGUUUAGUUGACUGAAUGGAUAAUGGACUACUUGGAAUUAUGUGAUUCUCGGUGAAAAUAUUGAAUAAGCAUAGGAAGUUGCAAUCACGAUCUUCUGGAGGCAACUUUUGAGCUGACCUAAUGUUUUUCGCCUCUACUCCACGGAUCGUGGGUCUUUUCCAAAUAUCUACAAUUAAGAAGUGAAACUAAGGUUAGUAAAAAAAUUAAAUAUGUGCCACAUAAUAUAUAUAUAUAUAAAUCGCACUUGGUUCACGAAAGUGUGUUGGAACCCGAACCCGGGCAUCAACGACUUCAUCCCCAAACUCCCAAUUUCCACUAACCAAAAAAUAAAAAUGCUUCCACCUCUUGAUUGAGAUGUGAACAUGAUUAAGUAAAAUUUCAUUGGAAUCUUCAUAAGCUUUGAAGUGCCAAAUGUCAUAAGUUUUGGGGUUACGACAUAAAUGAAAUAGAUAUUGGAACUCGAUCACAGACGGAUCUGAAAAUCCAAGCUUCCUCCAUACAACCCACAUUCCAAUUAUCGCUCUCCAAGCAGUAAGAACUAGCUGAGCAGGAGCAGUCCAAAAGAAUGUAGAAGCUUUCAAAUAUUUGGGGCAAGAGGAAGAGAAGCUCCAACUUUGAACAUUGCUUUUGUAAACCCAACACAGCCAGUAGGGGGUUCGCUAAUCAAAUCACUCUCCAACAAGUUCAUUUCAAUAGAACGGGGAAUUUGGUACAUGAUCUGCAGUAUUUCGACACCGACCCAAGUAAGUGAAUUACUGCAAUUGUCCAUGGUCCACACACUAGAAGUCUUAGCGCAAUUUUUGUCAUACCAAACUUUAAAGUUAUUUUCCCCAUCCUCAGAUUCAAUUUUAACGCCUACAUGUUUGAAUGAAUCCUUACUACAAGUCUCGCCAUUGGUUGCUUCAGUUUCAGGUAACUUGGCCAUAUUAGGAACCUAUUAAUCAAACUCUAUGCGAAUUCUCAUGCUAAAAGCUAAGUCUUUGCAUACGAAAAUUAUAUAUGUGGUUACAUUUAUUUAAGUUUAUGUGAAUAAGCAUGCAAAAAUAAAUAAAUAAAUAAAAUGGCUAGAACUUUACACGUGUAUAUAUAUAUAUAUAUAUAUAGCCAUGCACUGAUUUGUGCAUCCACAUACAUCAUAUCAGAAGUUUCAAUAAACAUGCAUAUAACAUUUUAAUAUAUGCAUAUAUUAAAUUCAACAUGCAUGCAAAUAAUUAAAUCUUCACUUGCAUGCAAAUUGCUAAGUUUUCACAUGCAUGCAAAUUGUUGACGUUUCAUAUGGACAUUUUAUUAUAUGUCAAUAAAUGCAUUUUUUUAAAUAAAAAGAAAGAACGGAAAAAAUACCUUACAGCCGGAGAGACACCAAAAUUGAGCACUGCUCUGGCGCGAAUCCGUGAAACUCCUUCAAAAAAUGCUCACCCUCUUCACUAUAAAUUGAAAGAGUCUCCCUCUAAGGUAAAUUCUCUCAUUAAGUUUUUAGUAGUGCUUGUGAAUAUAUUAUGGAGUUUUGAGGGUUUUUAUAGAUGAGAGGAAGGGGAAUGCCAUAAGUCAUUUGUUGUAAUUGGGCAAGAAAAAACAAAGAUCAUCGGAAAUGAAAAAACAAAGAAAAUUAAUAGGAAAUGAUAUACAAUUUUUGAAUUUCAAAAAUUGAGUUAAGCCCGCACCCAUUGAAAAGCCAAGGCUGGAAGCCAUAAAAUGAUUCAAGCCUAACCUAAAGCACAUGAAGUAAAUAAUAGUAAUAAAUAAAGUCUAACUUCUCAAAUUUGAAAAAAUAGACUGGGGGCAUCUGUUGUACCAAAAUUAUAAUAAACCCAAAAAAAGCCCACAUGAAUAUAGGCUCAAUAAGAAGUGAUCUAGGUCCAUUUUAAAUAAAAUGCUCAAAGGGCAAUUCUUUGGCCAAGUGUUAAAGGUAAAUUUCUGCAAAAAAUGACCUAGAUCGAUUUUCUACAUAGAGCGACCUAGGUCCACUAUUUAUAAAGAAGUACCUAGGUUUGUUCUAAAUAAAACGUCCAAAGGGCAACUUUUUGACAAAACGCUAAAGGCAAGUUUCUACAAAAAGUGACUUAGAUCCAUUUUCUACAAAAAGAGACCUAGGUCCACUCUUUAUAAAGAAGGACCUAGGUCCAUUCUAAAUAAAAUACCCAAAGGGCAACUCUUCGGCAAAGCGCUAAAGAUAAGUUUCUACAAAAAAUGACCUAGAUCCAUCUUCUACAAAGAGCGACCUAGGUCCAAUUUUUAUUAGAGGUGGCCAUUGGGCCAGACGGCACGAGGCAUAGCACAGGCACAACACGUGUCCGUACAACAUGGCACGACACGAGUACAUUUCGGUAGAGCACGCGGCACAGCACGCACGUGGGCUAUGCCUAUGAUGCCUCCACCUCAUGAAUCAAAUUAUCCAUAUAAUGAUCAGAACUUCCCACAUCAGAGGCCAAGAGAAAAAAAAAAGGGUAACAAAAUAAUGUCCUUCUUUCUUUAAAUUCUCUUUCUAUAAUCAAAUUUGAAAUGCUGACUUGAGCAUCAGAGGGUCAUCGCCGGCAACCCCAGCACCCUUUGACAAUUCAUUUCUUUUUUGCAAAACCUUUGACAAUAGAAACUUUCAUAUCAUGGAGAGAUGAUUCACAAAGCUUAAUAUAAAAAGAAAUUUGUAGCAAAAAGUUAGUUAUUACGUGUCGAGUAAAAAAUUGCAAUGACAAUUUUUUUAAUAAUAUAAUAUUAUUAUUAUUUUCAACAAACAAGCAAUCAAACAUAUGCUUGCUAGAUUUCACUUUUAAAAAUUAUGUUAAAUUAAGCUAGCAAAUAUGUUUUUAUAUUCAUCAAAAUUAAUUAUUUUUAUAUUAUAAAACAAAAAUAAAAUUUUCAUUUAAAAAAUAAUACCAAAAAAGAACUUAGCAUGUGUUCAGUCGAAUCCAAAGUGACAGACCAAAUAUAAAAUAUAGCGCCUUUACUUUACUGUGCAUGCAUAUAAAUCACUGAUUCAGCAAUUUUUUUAUUUUAUUAGUUUUUAAUAAUAUAAUAUUAUUAUUUUCAACAAACAAAUAAUCAAAUAUAUAUUUGGUUGAUUUCAUUUUUAAAUAUCAUGCUAAAUUAAACUACCAAAUAAGUUUUAAUAUUCACCAAAAAUAAUUAUUUUUAUAUUAUAAAAUGCCCAAAGGGCAACUCUUCGGCAAAGCGCCAAAUGUAUAUUUCUACAAAGAACGACCUAGGUCCACUCUUUAUAAAGAAGGACCUAGGUCCAUUCUAAGUAGAACGCCCUUCAAAAAAGCGCCAAAGGCAUGUGUCUACAAAGAGCGACCUAGGUCCAUUCAUUAUAAAGAAUGACCUAGGUCCAUUUUCUAUGAAUAAUGACCUAGAUGUUCAACAAUUACUUGGAAGUAACAUUCUACGAAUGUUACAUACAUGUGAAAUGCUACAAAACCAAUCCUCUUUACGAGGAACCAACAUAAAAGCUGAAGUGCUCGAGCCCAACGAAGAUUAAGAGCUUGAAAUCAUGACAAGUGUUUAAAGAAGACUUGUCAAUGAGGAAGCUUGACACGUAAUGACAGGUGUCUUUAUGCAUGAGUUUUGCGGACACUUGUCACUAAAACAAUGCCACGUGUCAUUAUGAUGCCUCCACCUCAUGAAUCAAAUUAUCCAUAUAAUGAUCAGAACUUCCCACAUCAGAGGCCAAGAGAAAAAAAAAAGGGUAACAAAAUAAUGUCCUUCUUUCUUUAAAUUCUCUUUCUAUAAUCAAAUUUGAAAUGCUGACUUGAGCAUCAGAGGGUCAUCGCCGGCAACCCCAGCACCCUUUGACAAUUCAUUUCUUUUUUGCAAAACCUUUGACAAUAGAAACUUUCAUAUCAUGGAGAGAUGAUUCACAAAGCUUAAUAUAAAAAGAAAUUUGUAGCAAAAAGUUAGUUAUUACGUGUCGAGUAAAAAAUUGCAAUGACAAUUUUUUUAAUAAUAUAAUAUUAUUAUUAUUUUCAACAAACAAGCAAUCAAACAUAUGCUUGCUAGAUUUCACUUUUAAAAAUUAUGUUAAAUUAAGCUAGCAAAUAUGUUUUUAUAUUCAUCAAAAUUAAUUAUUUUUAUAUUAUAAAACAAAAAUAAAAUUUUCAUUUAAAAAAUAAUACCAAAAAAGAACUUAGCAUGUGUUCAGUCGAAUCCAAAGUGACAGACCAAAUAUAAAAUAUAGCGCCUUUACUUUACUGUGCAUGCAUAUAAAUCACUGAUUCAGCAAUUUUUUUAUUUUAUUAGUUUUUAAUAAUAUAAUAUUAUUAUUUUCAACAAACAAAUAAUCAAAUAUAUAUUUGGUUGAUUUCAUUUUUAAAUAUCAUGCUAAAUUAAACUACCAAAUAAGUUUUAAUAUUCACCAAAAAUAAUUAUUUUUAUAUUAUAAAAUAAAUACAAAAAUAUUACUGAAAAAAUAAUACCUAAAAAAGCUUAGCAUGUGUUCAAUCGAAUCAAAUGUGAGCCAUGGAAUAUAAAAUAUAGCUAUUUACUUUACUGUGCAUACAUAUAAACUGCUGUUUUAAUAAUUUUUUUGUUUAUUAUUUUUUAAAAAAUAUAAUAUUAUUAUUUUCAACAAACAAACAAUCAAACAGAUUUUAUUUUUAAAUAUUAUUUUAAAUUAAGCUGCCAAAUACGUCUUUAUAUUCACCAAAAUUAAUUAUUUUUAUAUUAUAAAAUAAAUAAAAAAUAAUACCAAAACGUAGGGAUGGCAAAAUAACCCGGACUCGGCCCGGGCCCGGACGAAUCCGGAUAAUUCGGGCUAGGUUGAACCCAUAUGGGAGUGUAAAAAAAUCUGGAUCCAGAAUAAAUUUUAAUAAUCUGGAUGGAUCAAGGUCCGAUUCCGAGUUUGGGAUAACCCGUAUAUCCGGAACCCAGACCCAGAUAUUCUUAUUUUAGCAUAAUAUUUAAAUAAUUUUUUAAUAUAAAAAAGGGAAAAAAUGUUGAUGCCUUAAUCAUCCUUUUCGUCCUCCUUCUUUUCUCUUCUCUUUCUUUUCUACUUUCACAGCCGCCUCUCUUCACCUUUUUCUUUUCUCUUCAUCAAAUCAUCAUUUUCGUUCUCAUUCACUUCUUCUCUUCAUCAAAUCAUCCUUUUUCUCUUCAAUUAUUCUCUUCAUCAAAUCAUCGUCAUCACUCCUCAUCGCUUCGCUUCGCUGUGUUCGCAUUCAUCAUCAUCACCAGCCUUCAUUUGGCUGUCGUUUCUCCAUUGCGAUCUCUGUUUUGGCUGUCGUUCAUCCGCCUUUUGCGAAUUGCGCUGGCGGCUGUGACGUGUUCAUCAUCAUCAUAUCAUCAGCCACCGAUGUUCAUUACUUCGCCGAACACCGAUUGUUGAAGUUUGUGAACCAAAUCCGUGAAUCACGAUUUUGAGUUGUAGACAUGGAUUUGUAUUUUGUGAGUGUAUGUCAUGGAUCUGUAUUUGUAAAUGGUUUAUUGUUUUGAAAUUAAAAAUCUAUAAAAUUAAAAUGGUUUAUUACUUUGUAUUUGAUUUAUGUUGAAUCUGGUUUUGCAAAUUUGUAAAGUGUAUUUGAUUUUUUUUUUUAUUUGUAUGUGAUUCGGGUUGAAAACCCGCAAUCUGAAAACUCGUAAUAAUCCAGGUUUAACCCGUUCCGGACCCGGUAUCACAAAAACCGGGUUUAAAUCCAAGUUCGGUAUAACAUUUUAGUAUUCGGGUCCGGAUCCGGAAAGGCCAAACCCGGACCCGGACCCAGAUUUUACCAUCCCUACCAAAACGUACCCGUAAUAUCAUUGGACUACAAGUAAUGUUAAUCAUGUGGAGGUUACUAAAAAUGGUCGGCCAGAAGUAAAAGUGUGCUACUUAGUGGCGAAUUGUACUGUUUGUUAAAAAUUGGGAUAUGCUUAGUUUCACUAAGCCAUAUUUUUUCAGAAUCACAUCGGCCAAAAAAUAUGGUUUGCUGCCACUCAUUAUUGGAUCGGAUGCAAAGAAUGUAGCAGAUAUGAUGUUAAUGAAGGCUAUGCGAAUACAAACUAUAGAGUGUUCUUUUUUUAAAAGAAAGUAAUUAUAGAAUUAGGGUAUGUUCGGGUUGCAUUAGGUUCCCAUACAAUUCCUAUAAAGAUUCUCAAAUAAUCAACUUUUCAAAUAAUUUCCUAAAAUAUUUGGUAAAUCAAGAUUAUGAGAAAAUCACUUGUUAAAUAAUUUGUAAAACGUGCUUGAUGAUAAAUCAUAAAUGUGUCAUGGCUGGGUACGUUGACCAAAUAGUUCAUAUUUGCGGUAAUAAUAAAAAUGUAACCAUUUAUCUUCCGAUAAAAAUAAUUCAUUUAGCAAAUAAAUAAUCAUUCAAUAAACAAAAUAUAUGAAAUUUAAUAAAAUUGUUCCAUUAUCAAAAUGUGUACCAUCCCAGCAUAGACUGUUGGUUUGAAAAAUAUUUUACAGCGAAAAUAUCUAGAUCGCAAUUCUCAUACAAUAUAUAAAAUUAGCAUAAUCUAGAAAUUGUACUUUUGUUUUUUUGUUAAAGUAAUCUAGGCUCCCAGAUCACGAUCCGUCAUCACCAAUCUUGUUAGAUCACGAUCUAUCACCAAUGAUCUUCCAGGUUAUGACUCAAGUUUAACCUGCACUUGACGUGUGAGCGCCUUUAUCACUAAUAAAAGCAACUAGCAAGAGAAAAUAUCUCUAUCAAAAUUAGAGAGAAAAACUUUUUUCUCUGAUCCGUAUAUUGUGGCUCCUCUCACCCUUUAGAGAAAACAAAUCCUUUUAUAUCUCUAUUUGGUGGAAACCCUAGACUCCAUAUUUAUAUAUUUUUUAAUUCUAUUAAAUCAAAUUUGAUUUAAAUUAAAAAAAUAAUAAAACUAAAAGUGGCGUUACUUUUUUUUGUUAUAGGGGCCCACCUUGUAAAAUAACACAAGGCCCCUUACACACAAGCAUAUUAAAUGAAGCCUCCCACUAAAUUAUAUAUUUAGGCUUUUAACUCAAAUAACUAGUUAUCUUACUUUAAAAGUGGCGUUACUUUUUUUUGUUAUAGGGGCCCACCUUGUAAAAUAACACAAGGCCCCUUACACACAAGCAUAUUAAAUGAAGCCUCCCACUAAAUUAUAUAUUUAGGCUUUUAACUCAAAUAACUAGUUAUCUUACUUAUUAAUCCAGUAGCGGCGCAGUCAAUUAAAUGAGCUAACCCGGGGAUCAUAUGGGUAGGUACAAAAAUGGCUACAAUAAUUAAGUCUGUAAUUAAACUAGUCCAAUUAUUUAAUUCCAAAUCUACUCCACUAAAAGAUUGGAAUUGAUCUCCAUAAUUGUAUGCUAUGUAGGAUAGUGUUCUCGAAAAAUAAUUCGACUCAUGCCAUAUUAAUUUCUUUACUAAACAAUCCUUUGUACCACAUCGCUAAAUAAAUUGAUAUCUCAACUGUCCAAUCAAUUUAAUUACAUCUUGUUCAUUGACACUUACUGGUUUUCUCUAAUGAUCAUUUUCAACAUACUAAUUACGUUGACACACUCUAGCCAGAGAAUUCUAUGAUCAAGUGCCGAAAACCCAUCAAGAGAUGUGUUGUACAAAUUCUAUAUUGUUAAUCUAUAAUCUCACUACUCAUAAUUGCUUCCACCAAGAUACUGGGUAAUCUUGACUAUAAAUGUAUGUCGCGCCCAUUGGUAACUCAAAUGAAAUGACAAUCACAAACAUGAAACCAUAAUUAACUCAAGAUUAAGAUUGCAAUAAAAUCAAUGCCUAUGAGAUUUAAUAAGUCUGACAGUCAUUUCAAAGUUAAUUAAAUCUUAUAUGUGAUUCAGUUCAAUGCAGUCAAACUACAUUAGUAAAUUCAUACAUGAUUAAGACAAAUCAUUCAAUGAAUUUACUAUAGUCUAAACAUAAAUAGAGCAUUCAACUCUAUUUAUCAACUACGAACUUAAUUUAUUUAAUCACAAGAUAACUUGUAUUUAUGUCUUCUGUGAAUCUAUAUGAUGAUCACAUAAAUACAUAUAAUAUGAUUAAACGGAUCUUAUUCAAAAUAUUUAUGUAAUUGAAAAUAUCUCAAAUAUUUUAUUAAUCUAAAAAUAAAAUAAUUAAUAUGGUUUAAAGAGCACAUAAUCCCAACACAAUCGACUGACAUUGUUACCUUUAGUCCACAAAAAUGGUACCAAAGUGAAGAUUGGCGGCAUGAAACCACUACAUAAUGGUCAUUGCUUGUCGAUCUAUUAAAUAGCAAUGGCAUUGCAUCAAAUAUUCCCCAAUUUUGAUGGUGGUGUGCGGUGGUUGUUGUACUAUUUGGAGUGUAUGCUUUGCCACCAUCUCUCAUUUUCCAACUGGAACAUUACAAAUACAUAGGUCAUAUGAUUUUGAGUUUGAUAGUAUUGGUGGUAUCCAAAUAGCACUUUCACAAUCACCGACAAUGGCAUUGGUGAGGUCACUAGUUACCAAAAAUAAUUUUGGUUUUUCAAUUUUAUUUUUAAUUUUAAAUUUUAAAUAUUAAAAAUUACAUUUUUUUAGUGUAGGGAUAUUUUUGAAAGUUUGCUAUAAAAUUAGGGUAAUAUUGUUAUUGCAAAUUACAAAUCAAAAUUUUAAAAUCUACUCUUAUAAACUUUUAAGAGUUACUUCAAAAACAAAUUAUUUCAUAAAUAAGAUUUUGUGAUGAUCACUCUUGCUAUGAGUUUACCAAAUAUAUUUGAGGUAAUGGAUUAUCAAGUAAGUGAUUAUUUGGCAAUCUAAAGCAAUCCUAAACAUACACCUAGGUCCUAUUUAGGAUUGAGAUGCUAUAAUUUUUAAGCUAAAACUACUGUGGAAAAAAAAAUUGUAAUUAUCAAACAAAAGUUAAUAAUAUGUAGUAAAUAUAAAUUUUAAAUAAUAAUUUUGACAAAAUUAUUAAAGAUAUAAUAGAUUUUCUAUUAUACAAGUGAAAAAUCAUAUCAAUAUAACUUCCAAGUUACAACAGCUAAUGUUUACCAAACACUUUAGUACUGUAUUUUUUAAGUGACAGCUGUCCAACCUCAAUCCCAAAUAUACUCUUAGAUUGUCAUUAUCUUAAAAGGUAAGAAUCAUAUGGCCUCCAAUCUUCAACUCUUCAAAUCAAAAUUUGAGAAAUGCUGUGGAGUCACUCUCUAAUUUAUCCAAAUAUGCUUUAUGAUUAGAUUUUAUCCCUGCACAUUUAUUUUUUUUAAAAAGUUGAUUCAUGAGCCAUUCAUUCUCCCUAAAGCACACUAAAUCUUAAUUUUCUCUCUCUCCAAAUGAUCUGAAUAUCUUGCAAAGGUGGUAGCCCAUCUGGAUUCUUUGAUGGUGUAAUGUCAGCAAACUAAGUUAGUAAUGGUUGCACUUCUUCAUGAACAGUCUUCACCUCGAACUCAUCUUCUUUUUCUAGCUUAUUGCAACCUUCACAAUCUUCCUCCAAAGACCCUUCACAAUGGUCAAAAAAUUAUUCCUCUAUAUCCUAGAAUUCUUAUUCUAGUUCGUUAAAGGCACUGAAUGAACCUUCUUCCUAUCUACCAAAACUUAUACACAUUAUUCCUUCCUCUAUGGAUUGCAUCAACAUUGAACUGCCAAGGUCGUCCUAGUAACAGAUGAGACACAUCCAUAACUACUAUAUCGCACAUCACAUAACUUUUAUAAAUCUUUCUAGUAGAGAAAGAAACACGACACACCUUUUUUACAUGUGCUUAUGUAAAGUGCUGAAUUUUUUUUGUUAAAAGUCCCAUCAUGUCAACCGACGCUUUUAAAUUAUGCUCUCCCUGCUACCACUAUCAAUUAUCACAUUGCACGCCUUAUCGUUGAUAGUGUCACGUGUUUUGAAAAUCUUAUUUCACUGGCUAUCUUUUUUUAUCUUUAGCGCCAAUAAAACCUUCUACAUAAUACAAUUCAACAUCUCCUCUUCAUCUGCUUCUAACUCUAGGGCUUCUUCAUCAUUCGCAUCUAUAACAUUAUCUACUUCGCCAACUUCAGCCUCUACCAAAUUCAAAUUUUUUGUACAACAGUCAGUCGAUCAAUGCCCUAAUUCCUCACAUCAGCAUAGGCUUUACGUCUGGGUUAUUAUAUAUAUGUGGUUCGUAUUGCUAUUGCCUUGGUGAUUGUUGUCUAGGUGGCUGCUGUCUUAGCUGUUGCUAUCAUGGUUGUUGUGCCUGACUACUACCUACCCAUGUUUUAUGCUUAUUUUUAACCCCAACACUGCUUGGUUUAUUCUACACACUAAUGAAUUGUUGUUGAGUUCUAAAAACUACAUUUUGCUUCCGUUCUUCCAAUUUCUAUGUACCCAUGUCCCAAAUGGCAUUUACAAUCUGAUCUUGUAUCUCUUGUUUUAAUCCACCAAGAUACUUCGCAACUAUCCACAACUCUAGCUUAUCCAUAUUGUUUCUUGUGUGUAGAUGAUAAAAUUCCUUUGUAUAUUCAUCGACAUGCGUUCCCUUGUUUGCAGUUUUGAUAUUUUACAUACAACUACUGUUGAUAAUCCACUGGUAGGAAAUACUCUUUCAUCAUCCUCUGCAUUCUAGGCCAUGAUUUGAUAAGUGGUUUCACUGCAACUCUUCUUCGAUUCUCUACAUGUUGCCACUGUGCAGAUGAUGUGCGCUUAAACUUGAAUGCCACAAGCUUAACCCAUUUCUCUUGGGGAAUCUCCAUAUAUUAGAAGAAAUUCUCUAUAUCUGCUAUCCAAUCUAAAAAUUCGUCAACAUGCAUUCCGCUAUAACAAUCUGCAAUAUCAAUAUUAAUCUUGUAAUCUGAAUUCUUUUUACACUUCCCGUCAUAAUCCUCUAUCUUUUUUUUCGAAUUACUCUAUCACUCUUCACGCACAUGUAGCUGCACCCGCCUUGCGAGUUCUAAAUUCUGAGGAAUUACUUUGCGAUUGAUGCCUAAAGGCACUACAUCACGAUUAAAGCCUUGAUGUAUCUCUUAAUAGUAAUAAUCUUGAGGUUGUUCUUCACGAUUUACUCUUACAACAACUUCCUAACGAUUAACUCCUUCCUGCUAUUCUCUCUCUGUCAUGGAAAUCAUGAGACCCUUGAUUACUUGCUCCAUCGCUGCCAUUCUCGGGUUAUACAUGUCCUCCAUGACUUGCAAGACUACUUCUCUUACCAUAUGUCUGAUAGUCUCCAUAUACGUUGUCUGCAUCCCUUGGUCAACUUCUUCGAGGUGGUGCUCCUUUGUUUAUGUGGUCGUACAAUGAUGACAGGUGAACCUGCUCUAGUACCAACCGAUGAAGUGAAAACAUAAAAGGUUGAAGAUAGUUAAAACAAGGUUUCUAAAUAAUGAAGUUUACGGAGAAAUAUUGAAUUGAUAAAGCUAGGGCUUUGGCCUCUUUAUAUUUGAAAUAUUAUUUUAUAAUAAAAUUCUCCUAAUCUAAAUAAGAAAAAGAACAAAUGGUGUCCAGAUCCAAAUUCAAAAAAAAAUAUAUAAAAAUUUUAGAAGAAACAGAAAAAAUGGGGAAAUAUCUUAAAAUUAAAAAACGAUCAGGAAAGAAGUAGACUUUUUGACUUGACCACAGUGCAGAACGACACAUGGAGUUUUGGGUUUUUUUUAUCACGACCUUUGAAACAAUAUAUUAUACGCCGAAACCAGACACCUGUAGCCCAAGUUAUGGCCUCCAGAAGGUAUCCUGCUCGUCAUAAACAACAUCUUACAUCAUCAUUGAAAAAAAAAAGCAAUGUCGGUGGCUUGUGAUUCAAGCGUUGGCAAAUUUUGUCGAGGGCAUCUAUAACUUCCCAUGUUGGCAACAAUGAAUUAGGCCUUGAAGAGCAUCUCAUAUCUGUAAGUCUUAUGCAAUCCGAGAAGCAUUGGAAAACAAAUCAAACAAGAUUUGUUCUAGUAUAAGCUUUGCUUUCAAGGUGGCCUCCUUUUGAAUACAAGAAAAUAUAUUCAAUAUAUAUAAAUGAAACAGAAGAAAAUAGUAUAUAUAUAAUGAAACAGAAGAAAUUAGUAGUGUGAAAAAUGGAGAGGAGAUGAUGAUGACCCGUUUCAAUGAGUUAUUUGCAUAGCUAGUGCCUCAUUCUCCUCCAUUCAUGUACAUAACUUGUUCUAUUUCCAUGGCUUCAUAUUUGCAAGAGACUUCCUCUAAUUCCAUUGCCCUUCUAUGUGGCUCCAGAGAAAAGAUUCUUUCCAAGUAUUUUUUGAAAACUCUUUAGAAAUAGUAUAAAGAAGGUAAAUUUCAAUCUUUUUAAUUCAUGAACAAAAAGGCUUAAUUUAUACAAGUAUUUGAAAUAUGAAAAAGGAAUUGAUACAAUUGAUAUAAUUCAAGAAUAAUGAUUGAUUAGUAAAAAAUGAGUUAAUCAAUUUUUAUGUUUAUUUACAAUCAAUCUUUCUUAAUAAAUCAUUUGAUUGAUUGUUCUGUUUCCAUGAAUUUUGUUUGAUUCUUAUCAUCCUCACUCAAUCCAGCAAGGGAAAUGUUUUUAAACUCUUAACUUGCCUUCAAAAACUAUAAAUACUUUAUUUUUAUUUACAAUCUCAUAACUGUCAUGCAAAAAAAUUAGAAAGCAUUCCUUUGAAGUUUGUCUAAGAAAUCUUUCAAUUAUUUUCAUGUACACUUUUUUUUAAAGACUGGGAAAAAUCAAAAGUAAUAAACUCUUUUGAUCAAGGAAUUCUUUUAAUAUAAAAGCUGUUCCUUUGAUUUUUUUAAAUAAAAUCUUCACUCAAGCAUUUUAUCUUCAUUCCUUCAAUUUCGACAUUGAGUUUUUUUUUUUUUUUUAUUUAGGAGGGAGGUUGCUCAUUUGUCCCUACCAAAAUCAAUAGAUAAACUUACCUCCUAAGUUUUUUCAUAAUAAUCAAUAACCUCCCUACCAUCAUAAUUUUAUAAUAUUAUCCUUAUUUUUAAAUAUACUUUGAAUCGUGUUUAUUAUUAAUUAAAUAAAUUAUAUAAAUAGAAAUUAAAACAAAAAAUUUAAAUACUAAAAAUAAGAAUUUUUUUUGUGUGAAUAAAAAAUUAAUAAUAAGAUAUUUUUCUUAUACAUUUUUGUUAUUUUUAAAUAUCUUUCUUUAUAAUAAAUAUAUAUUUUAUAUUCCCAAGGUAAAAUAUCAAGUAAGUGACCCAUUUCUUUUCCUUUAAAUUAUUUAUACGAGAAGGGGUUAUUGACUAUUGUAAAAAUAAUAAUGGGUAAAGUGAUAUAAAUUGAUUUCAAAAGAGGGAAAACUAGCAAUAUCCCUAUUUAGAAAACCAUUCCAUUGACUUGUCAAGAAAAACAACAAUUUUGAGGAUUCCUUUUUAUUCCCUUUUUCUUUUGACAUCUUUCCUUUGUGAUGGUGGAAGUGGUGGUGGCAGUGAGAUUUUUAUUUUUUUUUUCAGUGAAGAAAUUAAUAACAACUAAGAAGGAUCUCACAUCUCCCCUAUUUAGAUCACCAUGCUCCAUGGCUAAACCCACGAAUUUGAAGACUCUCAAUCCCAUCAAAUACCACGAAAACGUUUUAGAAAUAUUGUAAAGAAGAUAAAUUUCACUCUUGUUAAUUCAUGAGCACAAAAGCUCAAUUUAUACAAGUACUUGAAAUAUGAAAAGGAAAUGAUAAAAUUAAUAUAAUUGGGGAAUAAUGAUUUAUUAGCAAAAAUUGAGUCAAUCAAUCUUUCUUAAUCAAUAAUUAAGAUGAAGGAAAUCAAUCAUUUGAUUAAUAAUUUUGUUUGCAUCAAGACUGUUUGAAUUUUAUCAUUAUUUCCAGUCGUAAGGAUGAAAAUAGAAAAUAUAUUAGCACAUAAAAUUGUCAAGUUGUAAAUUGUGUAGUAUCAAAGACAUGAGAAAAACUAUUAUGGAACAAACGCAUGUGUUAUAUAUGUGACUAUGUGAGCCCUUUCGAUAAUAUAUUUUGACACAUAUAUUAUACAUAUAUAUUUUGAUGUUGACUAAUUAAUCAUAAUAAAAGAAAUAAUCAUUGCUUACUGUAUGUGUAAGAAUAUUAUCACAUUAAUUUGUUGAAGGAUAUCAAUAACAAUGAGUGAAUGGAUUUUAAUGGAACUCUCUCAUCUAUAUUUUCGGUUUAAUGGAGUUUAAUGUGUACUAGAUGACAAAAAAAGUUGCAUUAUUGUGCUUAAUUUUUAAAAGGGAAAGUCCUCGCAUCAUACCAUCCUUUGAGGAGUUUUACUUAAAUAAAAAGAAAAAAGAAAAUCGAACCAUCCAUAAAAUUAUAUUCAUAUCCUCUUCAAAUCCAAAGUUUGAAAUUUAAAUUUUAUGUUUAUUAAAAUAAGUUUAAUAGACAAAUUAAAAAAUCUAAGUAGAGUUUCACUCUUCAAAGUUCAAACCCUUAUUAUUAUUUUAUCUUCUUAUUUUUCAUCACAUGAGGUUCGUAGUGACAUUGAUGUAGGAUGUUAUUUUAGGAUUUUAGGAUAUUAGGAUUUUUUUUUCAUUUUUUAAUAUCUUCUAUUAAAAAAGUAGAGUUAAUUAUGGUAUGGGCCGGUGCUCUCAAUAAUAUUGAGGGCAUUAGUUUGAGUUCUCAUGGAGCCUCCUCUUAUUUUCCACCAAAAAAAAAAAAAUUAAACUAUUUAUGGGUGGGUUUAUUAUGUCCAAUGUCAUUAGUGAAAGUAGUGAAUUUCUGAGCUAAUCCCCAUAGAUUUUUAAGUUAUAAAUGCAUGUAUCUGAAGUAUUAAUAGGUAUAACUCUAGAUGGUAGUAUAUCUGUGUAGAUUGUAAUCACGAAAAAUAAAUAUAAGUUAUUAACCUGAGUUUUAAUUUGUUCUAUUACGUGCAUUCCUGAAUUUAAUUAUAAAUAGCACUAAGAACAAGUUUUCACAAAGAAUUGAAUAAAAAAUCUUCUCCAAAGGGCAAAGGCUGUCAAAGAAAAAAAUAGAUUAAUUUCUUUCUUAUAUUCUAAUUUAAAAUGAUAAAAACUAAAACAUUAAGUAGAAAAAAAUAAUUGUAAGAAAUUUUAUUGGUGAAAUGAUAUGUUAUAAAAUGAUAAUAUCUAUAAUAAUAAUAACAAAAAUAAUAGUAAUAAAAAGUGCUUAAAUAAAAGCAUUGGAUACUUGCAGCACGUGGGUCCCAUUGAAAUACCAACAUAAAACAACAUAAAAUAACAAAAGAAAAAUACAUUGAUAUAUAACCUAAAUUAAUACGAACCAUAGUAAUUUUACGUAAAGUGAUACGUAUUUAAGAAAACACAAACAAACAAACAAACGGCAACAACAAUGAGGACAACAGAGCCUCAUGUAAGACAAGAACUGAAAGCAAUAAAUAUACAAAACAUUUAUUUUAUUUUUUUGGAAAUAACAUAAUUCAUUUCUUUAUCAAGUAAAUGAAGAGAACUGUGUGAGCUCCUAGCCCCAUUUCCAAAUGUGCACUUAUCUUGAUUGUAAAUCGAUGGAACAAAUCAUCCAUGAUUGCACUUCCAAAAUGAUUGGCCAGAAGGGACUCUGAGACUGCUCUUAUAUUAUUUGCCACGUGCUUGGCUCUUGCGUGCUUGUUAAACUCCAAGCCUUUGUUAUCAUUCUCAUAGCCCACUGACCAACUUAUAUGUGAUGUUUCAAGCUGAUGGAUGUUAAAGGAUCCUUCUCUUUCGAUAACUUGUCUUACUUCUUCAACACAAGGGUAAUAGAUUGGAUAAUUGAAUGACUCCAAUUUUGAUUCUUCAAUCAAACCCUAAAUAAGUUCAAAAGAGAGUAAAUCUCCUUAAAAUAUGUAUAAUUUUUACACACAUAUAAAUAUUUGUUACAAUAUAACAUCUUUAAUGAGAAUUUACCUAAAAAUUUUCAUAUUUUCUAUAUGAAAAUAUGAAAAUUUAUAUAUAUAUAUGAAAAUAUGAUAAUGUGAAAAUAUGAAAAUAUGAAAAUUUUCAUAUUUUCAUAUAUAUUUUCAUAUGAAAAUAUAACACAUAUAUUUUCAUAUAUGAAAAUGUGAAAAUGUGAAAAUAUGAAAAUAUGAAAAUAUGACACAUAUAUGAAAAUAUGAAAAUAUGAAAAUAAAGUUCAUAUAUAUAUAUAGAAAGAGAGAGAGAGAGAGAAAUAUUUCAGUCAUGAAUUUUAAAGUGCGGGAAACCUUUAAAACAGCAUGGUUUGUAAGCCUUUAAAGCCGUGUGGUUUUAAAAUUUUCCUGGACUUUUCUGCACUUUAAAAUUCCUGACCAAAAAACUACUAUAUAUAUAUAUAUAUAUCAUCUUAACUAACUUUGUGCAAAUAUACUUAUAUGCAUUUGUUCAAGAGAGAGAGAGAGAGGAUACCUCAUAGACCAUGUCAUUCAACACCAUUCCCAUUAACUCAAAAACACCCGUAUGGUGUUUGUCAUUACCUAUAAAGUUAAGAAUCAUACGACCUCCAAUCUUCAAUUCUUCCCAUCGAAAAUUGAGAAAUGAUGUGAAAUCACUUUCAAAUUGAUCCAAGUAUGCUUUAUGCACAUUAGAAGGGCUACAGGUUUUUGCUACGCAGACAUCCCUUUUAUUUAAUAAAGGAAUUCCACAUUCACUUACUAACUCUUUGGGUACCUGUUAAAGCAUAAAAUUGACGCAUUAUAAGAAUAUGAUUUUGUACACCAUUCUUUAAAAGAAUAAACGGUACCUGAGAGAGCCAAUUAAGACAGAAAGAAGAGUAAACCAAGUUUAGGAAACAUGGAGGAAAUAGCCUUCCAUAGAGAGACCCAGGGGCUACACCUAUGAAACAUGAACCAAAAUCGUCAUUGCGCUUUUCUGUCUUCAAUCUCUCAUAAAAGCUUGGAAGAGAUUUGGAAAGAGUAUUGAAAUCAUUUCCAGGAAGAUCAUUGAGAAAAGCAUGCAAUAUUGGUGGCUUAUGUUUCAAGCGGCUGCAAAUAGUGUCCAGUGCCUCUAUAGCUUGCCACGUUGGCAAAAAUGCAUUAGGCCCUGAAGAACACCCCAUAUCUGUAAAUCUGAUGCAAUCUGGGAAGCCAUUGCUAUACAAAUCAAACAAGCUUUCAUGCAGUAAAGGCUUUGCUUUCAAGAUUGCCUCCCUCUGAGAAAAAAAUGGAAAAGAAAAGAAAAUUGAUAAACAGAAGAAAUUAAAGUGUGAACAUCAAGAGAGAGGGAAAGUGAGAUUGAAGUUUAUAAAUUAAAUUGACCGGUGGCGCUGAGUUUUUUGCAUAGCUGUUUUCUCCUUCUCCUCCAUUCAUGAACAGAACUUGCUCUACUUGCAUGACUCCAUUUUUGCUAGAACCUUGCUCUAAUUCCAUACCUCUUAUGUGUGUGAAUGAUCUUCGUCGUGUUCCUUGCUCUAAUUCUAUGGCACUUAUGGCUUAUAUACAGAAAUCAAUGGAAUUUAAUGGGACUGUCAUCUAAAUUUUUCCCUCGAAAAAUAAUUAUUUUCAGUUUCACUCGUGACCGGGCUACCCCUUGUGUGCUAGAUGACAAAAUAAAAAAAAAUUAUUAUUUUGCUUAAUUUUUAGAAGGAAAAGUGUUCAUAUUGCACCGUUUGCUUUGAAAAAAAAAGGAAAAAUUGUACUAUCCAUAAAAUUAUUUUAAUAUCCUCUUCAAACCCAAAGUUUUGAGAUUACAAUUUUAUGUUUGAUUGAAAUUACAAUAACAGCCAAAUUAAAAAAAAAAAUCUAAUUAGAAUUUCACUCUUCAAAGUUCAAACUUCAAACCCCUGUUAUUUGUUUCUCCCUUUAUUUUUCAUCAGUGAAGUUCUUAGUCGCAUCAGAUGACAGUGAAAUUCAGCGAGAUGAAGCCGUGAGGCUUUUGAAUUGAAUGAAAUAAUUUUCGGUAGGUGCUAACAAUUAUUAAUUAGAUUAGGGUCCUCUUCUUCUCCUAAUUAAUUACUCAAGUCAAGAUAAAGAGGAAGCCUUGGUCAAGAUAAAGAGAAAGCCUCCCCACCUCAAAUGUAAGUGUAUGCGUGGGCGUAUAUGAAGAUAAUUAAUUAAAAACAUAUUAAAAGUUCUUAAACAUAACAGUGGCCUUUUAAUUUGUACUUUUUCUGAGUUCUAAGCUUGGCUGGAUCACCAGAUUUCACCGUUCACACAGCAAAUUACAUUUUCAGUGAUUUCACAAUAUAACUUGAAUUAAGGCCCUAACACAUCAACAGUUGUGGUUGGCAAAUGCAUUUUCUUAUAUAGUUUAAUUAACACGCCUCAAUAUCGGCUAUGUUUGGUUGAGACUUUGAGACUUCGUUGCCAACACUCAACAAUAAAUGGUUUUGUAAUCGGUGCUUGAUAUAUUUGGGAUUGGAUAUCGACGUAAUGUUAGGUAUGAAAAAGUGUACUCGCACCCGGCCCUUAUUACCUAAUAUGACGAGCCCUUACGGGGAUUUUCGCCAUGCCCAUUGUUAUAUAGGUAGAUUUUUAAUUUCCAGAUGACAAUUCUGGUUACAAAUUGUAAUCAAACACGUACUAUGAAAGUAGCCACAGCCCACCCACAUGUUCAGUCUCUGUAUCUGCAAAAUAUUGUUGUUCACAGGCCAUUGACAGGCGUUGUCCUUACUUUCACUGCCGCACUGCGAGUGCGAGAGAUACUUUGCUUCAUCAAAUUCAAUAGUCCCUCCCCUUUUACUUCGACAUUGGAACUUUCUUAGGCCUUCGUGGGCUUAUUGAAUUUGACUGUAUUAUUUAAUUUGGGAUUUGCUGAUUUUCUUUUGGUCUUGUUGAUUAUAGGCCUCUUUCGGCCUUGUUGAAUCUAGUCCAACAUCAAUUGAAUUACCCAAUUCUUGUAGAAAAGGUACACGCCCUCAGAAAAAGUUUCAUCAACUACUAAUAAGUUAUUAAAUCCAUCACUGGAUAAAUUAUUGACACAAAAUAUUAAGAUUCUUAUUGCGAUAUCCACCAUUAUUACUAAAUAUAUUCAUACUAUAUAUAUAUAUACUCCUAAUAUAGACCAGGAUCUUAAAUUUUAUUACAGUCCAAAAAAGUUAUUAAGAUAUUUGAAUUAAUAAAUUAAAGUACAAGGUAAGCUAAAAGAAAAAAAAUAUAAAUUCAAUACAAUAUAUUUUAUCUUUUAUCCUGUCAUUUAUUUUAAAGUAAGGGACUCCAUUAUUGGAAGGGAACUAUGUAUUUAUAUAUAUUAACGAAGAUAAAAAGUUAUGAGCCGGGGCUCUCAAUAACAUUGAGGGUAUUAGCUCAAUUUCUCAUAAAUCCUCUAUUCCCUUUCCACAGAAAAAAAAAAAAAAAAAGGAAUAUGUAUGGUAGUUUUACGUGCAAUGUUAUUAGUGAAAGUAAUAAAUUUUUUAGCUAGUCUCAACAGAUUUUUAAAUUUUAUUAUAAAUGUAUUUAUAAAAAGUUUCAAUAAAUAUAACUCUCGAUAGUAAUAUAUCUGUGUAGAUUGUAAUCAUUAAAAAUAAAUAUAAAUUAUUAAGUUUUAAUUUGGUCUAUCAUGUGCAUUGUUGAAUUCAAUUAUAAAUGGCAGUGAGAACAAAUUUUCACAAUGAAUCGAAUAAAAUCUUGUCCAAAGGACAAAGGCUAUCAAAGAAAUGUGAUAGAUUAAUUUCUUCUUUAUAUUCUAUUUUCAAAUGAUAAAAAUUGAAACAUUAACUGGGAAUAAGUGAUUGUGAGAAAAUUUUAUUAGUAAAGUAAGAUAGAGUCAUUCUAUAAUGUCGUAAUGGACGUGAAUUGUUAAAUUUAAAUGAAAAAUCUCCACCAUUAAUUCUAAAUAAAUAGUUAAUAUAUUACCUAAGUAGCAAGUAAUUACCAUUUUUUGUUCAAGUUGCAGGGGGCAUUUACUAGUCUUAUUUGUGAUUUACAAAAUUAAUGUGUUAAUUGUCAUUUAAUGUUGAUUUACAAGUUUUAUGCAAUAUUUACAAGUUUUUAUUUUGUUUACAAUUUCUUCUUCCAAUUUACAACUUUAACAUUAAUUUACCCCAUUUUCCAUCAAUUUACUAGUCUUAUGUGUGGUUUAUAAAUUUUUUUGUUUCAUUUCACACUUAAUGUUAAUUUCCAAGUUUUACGUCCUUUUUCUAAGUUUUUGUUUUGUUUAUAAUUCUGAGACCAAUUUACCACUUCAACAAUAAUUUACCCAUUUUUCCUUCAAUUUGUGGUUUAUAAAUCUUUUAUUUCAUUUCACACUUAAAGUUAAUUUACCAAUUUUAUGACAUUUUUCUAAGUUCCUAUUUUGUUUGCAAUUUCUUAUUUCAAUUUACAACUUCAACAUUAAUUUACCCAUUUUUUCCUUAAAUUUACUAGCCCUACUUUUGGUUUUCAAAUUUUUGUUUCAUAUCACAUUUAAUGUCAAUUUACAAGUUUUAUGUCAUUUUUCUAAGUUUUUAUUUUGUUUAUAAUUUUGAAAAGCAAUUUAUUACUCUAGUAUUAAUUUACCAUUUUUUCUUUUAAUUUACUAGUCCUAUGUGUGGUUUACAAGUGUUUUGUUUCAUUUCGCACUUAAUAGUAAUUUACAAGUUUUAUGUCAUUUUUAUAAGUUUUUGUUUUGUUUACAAUUUCUUGUUCCAAUUUACAACUCCAACAUUAAUUUAUCCAUUUUUUCCUUCAAUUUACUAGUCCUACAUUUGGUUUCCAAAUUUUUUGUUUCGUAUCACACUUAACGUCAAUUUGUAAGUUUUAUGUCAUUUUUCUAAGUUUUCAUUUUGUUAACAAUUUUGAAGAGCAAUUUACUACUCUACUCUAACAUUAAUUUGCCUUUUUUUUUCCUUCAAUUUACUAGUCCUAUGUGUGGUUUAUAAAUUUAUUGUUUCAUUUUACACUUAAUGUUAAUUUACAAGUUUUAUGUCAUUUUUCUAAAUUUUUGUUUUGUUUACAUUUUCUUAUUCUAAUUUAUAACUCUAACAUUAAUCUACCUUUUUUCCAUCAAUUUAUUAGUCUUAUAUAUGGUUUAGAAUGUUUUUUUUUUCAUUUUAUAGUUAAUGUCAAUUUACUCAUGAACAUGGGCCCAGAAGCAUUCCACCAACCUUGUUUUUAAUUUCUUCCCUAAUUUUGAUUCGAUCUUUACAAUCUUGAUUGGGUCAUCUUGCUUUAUUCUCACGAAUUCCACUUCUUUAAUAGGCUUCUGCCUUCCUUUCUUGGAGUCUCCUCAUGUCUCCAUUGAGAUUAUCUGCAUGGUUUCCCUAGCCGCUAUUGUGUAACAACCCCUAGUAAUCUUCUGGUUGCCUUUCACAACUCCUAUCAUGCCAUUUACCCUGUAUUUCAAUGUAAGAUAAUAAUUAGACAUUACUGCUCUGCUGGUCCUCAAGAAAGGCCUGUUAAAAAUCUUUUAGUACAAACUGUCUUCAACCACCACAAAAUCUAGCACCAUAGUCCUUUCGAAAAGUCUCGCACCUAUUAUUACUGGUAGCUCAACCACCCUGUGGGGUGUCAAUCUUCCUUGGCCAAAUCAUUUUAAGGAGGUUCUAAUGUGCUCGAGUCUCAAAUAAGUAAUUCCCAUCUCAUGUAAGGUAGACUUAAAUAGAAUAUCCAUUGAGCUUCUUAAAUCCACAAGUAUUUUGUUAAACUCUGUGCUCGCAACAUUGACCUUUAUCACCAAUGCAUCCUCAUGCGGAUAUAGUGAUCAUUCUUCAUCGUUCUCUAUCCAUAUAAUUGGAACUUGCCUGGUUUUUGCUUGCUUUGCUGCUGGCAUAUUGAACAACACAUCACAGCUGAUCAUCGCAUAUCUUGUGUAGAUUUUACGAGCUCAAUUUAAAUCUUAAGCUAAUGUCGGACCUCUAACAAUGACUUUUGACCACCAAUUGUUCACCAUUUAUAUCAUCAGUAUUCUCUUCUGCAAUAAAUUAUUGAUCUGUAAUAAGAUGAAAACCUUCAAUGAACUCAUCAAGGUAACGAUUUUAUAUAAGAUCCUCCACUCGGUUUUUAACGUCACAAUAUUAGAUCAUGGUGUGGCCGUAAGUAUCAUAGAACUCAUAAAAUCUGCUUCGGCCUCGCUUGUUGGCCAUCUCUGUGAGCGGUGCAAGAGGAUAAAGUGAAUCUCAAUCCUUUAUUGCAUGGUAUAGCUCCUCUAUUGAAACUUUCAAAAGGGUGGACUGCCUAUAGGCAGUGCUCUGAUCAAUCAUCUACAUGACUCUAUUCCUUGGGAAAUUACUGUGAGAGAGGGUAGGCCAAUAAGGCACCAUGAAAAAGCAAACGCAAACAGAAGGAUAGAUAGGCGAGCAGCUCCUUAUGCGCGUUACUUAAAACAUCUACCAUUCUACUAAGAAAAAGUUCCACCACACCACUUUCAAAACCGAGAUCAUUGAAAAGAGCACAAUCAAUCACAAGAUCACUCUCAAUUUUUUAUAUAAUUCUCGUGCUCGUCCUUCCAAUGUCAAUGGGAAUGCUUUAAAUCUUUAUAGCUGAGUCAAGCCUUGCAUUCCAAUCAUAUCAUUGAAUUAUUCAAUGUAUACCAAAAAAUCUUUUUUUUAAAGAAUAUUUGAGACUGGAAAAGCAGAAAUCCUUUAGAAUUAUGGUGUGCACAAUUUCCUCCAACAGUGGGGAUUUGUUGUCCAGCAUGAUUCUCCAAAUUGGAGCUCUUCCUGACCUUGUAUUUCCUUAAUGACUUAUGUUAGCCUUCGUACCUCACAUUCUAAUUCCCUUAUGCGACUAGGAUUCUGCUCACUUACAUGUUCACGUUCCUAUUCAACGCCCCACAAAUACUGACGCAACUUUCUUUCUUUAGUAUUUACUUAUGCCUUCGCAUUUGUUGGGUUAUGCUUGCCAUGAAACAAAUUUCUUACUCCCAGACUCUGCACGGCAAAAAACUUCUUGUUAUUGGGCUGGGUAAAAUUUUGGUUCUUCCUUGAAUUACCUCCAUUAAACCUUCUCUAUUCGUCCCUCAAUUCAUGUAAAACUACAAUGAAGGUUUUUAUUUGCUUAUCUAUUCUUUCCAUUCUCUCAUGUAUUGCCCUUUCUCAAGGUUUAUUUGCUAUCUCUCGUACAGUCACAGAUUUGUUCACCCGUCCUAGACCCUUGAGCAUUGUCACCUCUAAUGUUCAUGUCUUUUUCCUCAUACAUGUAUCCUCCUUCUUUGAUUUUCUCUGGUACAAGCAACUUUUCGUUUUGUCCCCAUAAACAGCACCAAAAUGUCGAUGCAGAUAUUUGGUCGAGAAGUGUUGCAAUUAGACAACCACCUCAACAUUUAAAUUUAUUUGAUGGGAGACGGCACUUGCUCACACCUCUUUGCUUUAAGUAGAAUCUUGCGACCAUGAGCACUUUUUAAGAAAUUCACAUGUGUUCAUAAAGAAUGGUUAGGGGGACGCCAGAUAUUUUUCUGACGUGAACCUUCCAAUGCUCAAGUCAGUAAUCAGGCCUUUUUGGGAAAAAUUCUAUGCCACCGCUCUCAUGGCUUAGUUUCGGUUACUUUUAAACAAAAAUACUUUUUAGAGGAAAUCUCAGAAAAAUCAACAAAAAUCUUAGAAAUAAGAGAAAAAAGAGAAUGUGAAAGAGUCUAAAGAGAGAGAACAACAUACCUGGUUUGAAUUUUCAACGAUUCUUAUAGAGGACUGAGACUUUAGUUCUUAGGCAAGGGAAGUAAUCGUUAGUUGAUCAGGAUCAUGCCUUGAGUUUUUAGAGAGAAUCCUCGAGUUGACUCUUGACCAAGUCUUUAGGUUAACUGGUUUAAGUCUCUUCUCGCGAGAUCCUUGUGCAAGCACGCCUGCAUGCGAGCAAGCCUGCAGAGCCAGCUGCCUGCUACAUGAUGACUAAAGCAGAUUGUUUAUGAGUUCCUUAGGAUCACACCCCAAGAAAGCAUGUUAUUAACUCUAAUAUUGAAGAGAGCAUGAUUUGCUCAUAAUCAUAUUCAAUCAUGCUCCCUCUCUUAUCCCUUAAACACCAGUCCCUAAGCCAGUUACCAUCGUCCACCGACCAACUCCUACCGUGGCGGCCUCCUCCAACUAUAUGUAUAUGUAAAAACAAUUCAUUUCUUUAUUAAGGAAACAGGCAAACAUGUGCCACUUCAAGUAGGCGAGUGGUCAUCAAUUGCCUUUAUAAUAAUAAUUUAUCAGUAAUGAGUCUAGAAGCAUUGUUCAACUUUAUCGAUUCUAAAUACAUAAACUCUUCAAAUGAUAUUUUAUUUCCUAUUUAAAAAAACCACAAAAUUUAAAAAAAACUUUUCAAAUAAGUUUUUUCAAAUAAGAUUAUUCUUCCAUCUCUUCAGUAUCAAAGAAUAUUUUUUCCCUCUCCAAUUUGUAUUGUAUUAUUAUCUCAUCAUUAUUAAGGAAAGGGAAAUGUUAUAUUGUUAUUUUUUGUGGAGAAAAAAUUUAAUUAAAAUAAUAUAAGCUUGUUUUUAUUUGAAGAGUCUUUUAGAAGGGGGCUUAUUUUUCACUUUCUAUUUGCCAUGCAAAUAAGUAAAUAAGUAAGUAUUUGAAGAUUAAAAAUUAGAAGAUUCUUUUGGUAAUGGUCUAUGCAGGGUUCGAACUUCAUGGAGACUCUAUUCGGUUGUGACCGCCGAACAAAUUUUAGAAUUUUUUUUUUUAAAUAUACAUCCUAUGUCUUCAAUUAUAUCUAAACUAAUUGGAAUAUUUCACUAAAUUAUCAUUAUAAUAUAUUUUUAGUCCUUUAUAUUCUAGUUUUUACAAUAAAUGCAUGUUCUAAUCCCUCGUAAUACCUAAAUCCUACUUUUAUUAUAAUUUUACUAUAAUUUAUCUUUUCUUAUAGAUCGUAGCAUGUUAUAAUUCUCUUCCCUCUAACUCAAUAUUCAAGUAAAAUAUAUAUAUAUUUUAACUCAUUUCUACAUUUGUAUUAUUAAAUUCUUUGACUAUCUUAGCUUCAGUUUUUCACAUUAUUCGCCUAGCCCUGUAACCAAAUUUUUCAGCUUUCGCCCCUGGCUCUAUGUUUGGCUAUUUGAUUUUUUUUAAACAUAUCAAAAAUAUAAAAUAGUGUUCGCAUGCGUAUUGGUGGGUACAUCCUUGCUUCCUUCCUGAGUUUGAGUUCUCUGAUGUACAAUGUAAAGAUGAUACAUUUAGAAAUAAAUAUGAUCUAUACUUAUGAAUUAGUCCAAAACAUUUAAAUUGCACCAUUAAAACUAAUUCCGAUGACUUUUGAUCGUAAAUAUUAAAAGAUUGUAAAGAAACGUAAAGUAAUAAUAAUAAUAAUACUAAUAAGUGCUUAAAUAGAAAUGGCGGUGCAGCGCCAUGUUAGAUUCCAAUAAAAUAACAACAACAUAAUGAACAAGAAUGUAUAAUAAUGAUAACAAGUGCUUAAAUAGAAAUGUCAGUGUAGCACCAUGUUAGAUUCCAUUAAAAUACCAACAACAUAAUGAACAAGAAUGUACAAAAUUUAAUAUGAAGUUUAGUCAUUUUCACAAAAAUAUAUUUUUCUUUUUUCUUUGGUAGGAUUAUUUGAACACAACAAAGUACUCAAUAAAUAAAUUAUUAAAUUUAAAAUAUAAAAUUUUAAUACCAAAAUAACCUUGUUAAGCUAAAUUAUAAUUGUUUCUUUUAUCCUCUUCUUUUCAUGACCUUUUCAUUAUUGACUCCGUCUCUUAUUCCUUGUUAAGCUAAAUUUUAAUUAUUUCUUUUAUAGACUAUUAUCCAUAAUAGUUUCAUAUCCAAAUCCUUCAUUUUUAUGAUUUAUUUUCAGUUGCUAUUUUCCCUUAAUCCUCGUGCAUUCAGAACAAUACCUUUUGUUGAUACCAAAAAUUUAGCAACACAGGAAGAGUUAAGAAAAAAUUGUUUUCCUUAGGGAACAGACUGUGAGAGAACUUGAUGUCUUCGAGAUUUGUAUUGUUAAGAAUAAAUAGGUUAGUAGUCGGAAUCCCGCAAGAUAAUAAUCCAUUAGGGUUUGUCUGGGUGUUACAAGUGCAGAUCCUCUAGUGCUUAAGUUAGAGAUGGCCAACAGGCCAGACCGGUAAAGGAAGGCCAUGUGUGCUCGUGUUCGUGUCAUGCCGUGCCCACUAUGUGAUUUGUGUUGUGUCGUGCCUAAUUUGUUUUUUUUUUCACUUAGGCCCGUCCUGGCACACAUGCCAUGCCUUGGGCCGUGUCGUGUCGUGUCGUGCCAUGCCGUGCCUAAGAAAAAAUAGCCCGAUAAGCCUUUUUUUUAAUAGUUGUUUUUAAGAGAGAAUGACAAGUUGUUGGCAUACUUUUUUCAAGCCUAUAUAUUUUUUUGGGCCAUGAGCCUUUAGUCAAAUUCAAUAAAAUGAUAAAUUCAAAAUUCAAGUCCAUAUUUAAUAAUAAUAAACUAAUAAUAGUAAGAAAAUGUAGUACCAAUUACUAAGUUAGACACUAGGUAUUAGAAUCCUUUUCUAAUACUUAAUAACAACAACAAUAAUAAUAAAUGUUUUUUAAGGGUUAACUUAAUUGUUAAGUUGGACUUAUAAAGAGUCAUAAACCAAAGUUCAUAAUAACAUUAAUGCAUAUUUAUAAAAUCAUAUAUUUAUAUUUUAUUUAUCAAAAUCAUGAUAUCAAUUAUUCAUUUAAUAAAUUAAAAACAUAAAUCAAUUAGAGUAUUUUUUUUAAACUAGGAAUUAAAUAAAUUUAAAAAACUUACGUUAAUAAUAUAUCAGAAGAUUCAAUUUCAAAUUAGUUGUAAAAUCAUAAAAUUUUUAGUUUACUUUCAUUAAAAAGUGAAACAUACUUAUUGCGGGUUUUUUCAUGUGAUGUGCUUUAGCCUAUCUUUAACCGUGCCAUGCUUUUAAGGGUUAUGUGCCUGCGUGCUGUUUCAUGUUGUGCCGUGCCAUACCACGUGCCUUGACAAAACGUGCUCGUGUCAUUCUGUGCUGUACAGACACGUUCCGUACUCGUGUCAUGCCACAUGCCGCUCGGCCCAUGGUCAUAUGUAGCUUAAGUCAAAAAUCGUGAGUGGCACAGUAACAAAUAAAUAAUAAGGAAGAGAAAAGAGUAAGAGAAAUGCUUGAAUGAUAUUAUACCCCCUCCUCUAAUAUACAUAUUUCUCCUUGUCUAUACCCUUAAGUGAUAACCUAUAUAUAUAAGAGAAACAAUCAGAAGUAUAAUUGAAUUAGGAAAACUUAUCUCUUAGCAGUAUUUGAGUUUAACGAGGAUUAGGACUUGUAUUAGUCUAUCUUAUUCAGAUUAGGACAUGUUGUUGUAUGUAGGUAUUUGGGCUCAAAGGCCCAUUCAUUUAGGUCAUCAAUUGAGUUUAGUAGAAAUAUGUGUAUAUCAUUCACAAAUAAGAAAAAAAUAAUAAACAACGAAAGAGACAAAACUGAUUGUAAUAAAUAAUGAAAGAGACAAAAUUGAUUCGUCAAAAAUACCCAAACCCAAAAUAUAUGGAUAUAACAAAUUCAGUGAAUCUUGGUUCCUUUAUCAAAAAGCAUAUGAAAAAUAAAUUCAAUAAAAGGGGUAAAGUUUUAAAGAAAUAUUGUGUCAUUGAAUAAGAAAGAUGAGAGUAAAGUAGUCAAUUUUUUUAAUUUAAUUAUGUAUUCAUGUAUAUAAUAGUAAUUCUUAAUAUGGGCAUUUUAGCAGGAAAUUUUUUUAUCAAAAAUUGAGUUUAGUGAGUAUUUUGGUGCAUUCAAAUAAUCCAUCCUUUUUUAAAAAAAAUAAACAUUGACAAAGUAGGCAAUUUAUUAACAAAACAAGGAAAAUGAAAUUUCAACAAAUUAUGAGGACAUAAUGAGCCUUACUGAACAAGGCAAAGAGAUAUUUAUUGGAAAAACAAUACUAAAAAUUCCAACAUUUAAAUCUCAACUUGAGUCUCAAAAUUAUGUGUCCUUCAUCUAGUGGAUUAUAUGAAUGUGUUAAUGAAUGUCACAUUGGUUAAGAUUUAAGUUAGAACUCAAAUAUUGGGAUGCUUAACAUUAAUUUUAUUAUAGGAAAAGCAAAAAAGAAAAAAAAACAAUAAAGCAUCAUGAAAGACAAGAACCGAAAGUAAUUAACGUACCAAACAUUCUAACAUCUUAAUUAAUAUUUAGAUUAAUAAUGAGGAAAUCAAUUUUGAGAAAAAUUUUGACUACGAAAUAUGUGUGAUAUUUUUAUUUUUUUCAAAAAUAAAAUGAAACAAAAGUAGUAUAAAAAGAACUUCUGCUGUACCGUACAUCCGCCUUGGCCGUACAGCAGUAUGCUUUGCCACCAUCUCUCNNNNNNNNNNNNNNNNNNNNNNNNNNNNNNNNNNNNNNNNNNNNNNNNNNNNNNNNNNNNNNNNNNNNNNNNNNGCAGUUUAUUAUUAUGUUCUCAUUGCUAGUAAUUUUGGGUCCAAGAUUCAAUUUUGAACAAAACUAAACAAAAAAUUAAUAACUUAAUUUAUGUUAAAUAAUCUUUUUACAACUUGACUUAAUUAUACUAUUGUAAAUAUAUGUUAAAUCUUUUAAAAUUAGUGUGCUAAAUAGUUUUAUUAGUGUUUUAAGUAAAAAAAAAAGUUAAGUAACUUCUAUAGUUUAAGUAAGGAUAUUUUUGAAAUUUUUAAGAAUAUAUGAAGUAAAACUUGAUUUUUUAUAAUUAGUGGAUGAGUAUGCAAAGUAAUAGAACGUUCAAAGAAAUAUUUGGCGUGCAAAUAUACCCACCCUUGUAAAAAUCAAAUACAUAAUAAAAAACCUAAAAUUAGCAUCCAACUUCGGCUCUUUCCUUUUCUCAUCCCAAAAACACCACCGGCACCCACCAAUUCAUAACCAAAUGCCACUCACCAGCCACCAUAGCCAAGCCAAAUCACAAAUACCAUAACCACCAUAGUAUGAAAUCGAGUUCAUAUUUUAAAUGAGCUAAUUAUCUAAUAUUUGGUUGAAGCUAAGGUCUACACCAAAUAGUAUUCUUAGAACCCAUAUCUUCGAUUUUAGGCCUCAGUUAAUAAUUUUUAAAAAAAAUCUAAUAUGAUUCAAAUGCUUGUAAAUUUCUCGAAAACCAGAAAAAAAGAAUAUGUAGUCAUCAACAACAUUCCUUUAAAUUGGAAACUGACAAAAUCCUUUCCUUUGUUUGGUUUGUUAACAGGAGUAUUUACUAGGCUUGCUCUAAGCCCAAAUUGACUACAGAGUACAAACCGAAAAGCUCGGAGUGUGUAUACUUUAUACGGCAAGGAUAGUGCGCAUUUGUUGGUGGGUUUUGUGAUGGCGAGCAGGCCCUAGUGGUAUAUGGUGGCAAUUGUGCUAGUAGUGAUCAGACGCUUGGUGGGGUUGAAGAUUAAUCAUUUUGAUAAGAUAAUGUCAUAAUGAUGCUGAUGUUAUAAUAAUUGAUUAUGGAAGUAUGUGCAUGGCAUUACUUAAAAGAGUUGAAUCCAAAGCCUUCUUAUUGUAAAUAUCUAUACAUUGUUAUGAAAUUUACAACAACACUACUCAUAAAUGUAAGUAUAUCAAUUGAAUGUUAGUUUUUUGAACCGCGGCUCCUAUUGAAAUACCAACAAUACAGAGCAUAGUUAUUUCACGAAAAGAAAAAAUGGAAUUUUCAAACAAAUUAGAGGAAAUAGCGAGUCUUACACUAUAAAAUAUGCUUUAGAAGAGCUCUUCAUUAAAUGAAAUGAAGAGAAAAAAAAAAACCAGAAGAACAACAACAAAGCUUAACGAAAAACAAUAACUGAAAGUGAUGAUCGUACAAAACUGGUAUAUACGAGUUUGUACUAACUUUCUUAGUUCUAUUUAAUGCGUGACUAGGAAGGAAAGUAACUAAUUAAAUUUAUCAGGUUCGUUUGAGGGAGCUUGAACCUUCAGACUAUAAGUAGUUUUUUUCUUUCAAAAUCAGAGUUGUCCCUUAAUAGAGAUGGCAAAAUCCUCCAUGGUUUGGGGUCCCAUGGGGCUCCACCCCAAAUGGAAUGAUUUUUUAAUAAUUUUUUAGGAAUAAGGUGGAAAAUGGGGUAAUCAUCAAAUUCUUAAUAGGGUAUGGUUUGAUUUUAUACUCCUAGGGUUGACAAUUUAAGGGUUUAGAUUGGUUUUUUUAAGCCCAAGCCCAUUAAAGUAAAAGUGAAAGGGUUGGGCCUGGGCUGGGCUGGGCUUGGACUUUAACUUAUUUUUUCAAUUUUUUUAAAAAUUAUUGUAAACUUGAAAUGAGUUAAUAAUAAUCAAAUUGUUAUAAUUAACAAUGAAUUAAAAAAAAUAAAUAUUUCAAAUUAAAAUAAUAAAUAAAGAAAAUAAAGCAACUAAAAGUUUAAAAUUUUAAUUUUUUAGUACUUAAUUCUCUAAUUCAAACAUUCUCUUAAUUAAUUAACACUUAAAAGAGAGUUUAAUAUUAUAAUUUUAAGCUUUUGAUUCAUUAUUGAUAUAUAAAUUAGGGAUUUAAUCCUUCUUUUUUAUUUUUCCAUUAUUUUUCAAAUUUGGAUUUAUUAUUCUAAUUUAUAAAUUUAUGUUUUUUAAAUGGAGGGCUUUGGCCUAGCCCAAACUUUUUUUCCUAAGUCCUUAUCCAGGCCCUCAUGUGGGAGGUCCAGGCCAAAGCCUUUGCGAAUGGGCCGGCCCGGACGUUUUUGCCAUCCCUAUGUACUCCCCACCCAAUCCCUAUUAUAUAUAAAUAUUUUUUCUAAUUUUUGUUUUAUCAAUUACAAUGUUACGUAAUAAAUUUUCUUUUUAUUUUUACUUGAUAUAAAUGAGCUAUAACUAAAAGAAAGCCCUGCAAUAUAAUUUUUAUUCAACCUUAAAAUAUUAUUAUAUUUUCUUUUCUCUCUUAAGAUAUUGUUCUCUUCAAAUAUUUCUCAAUUUUGAUUAUUAUUUUAAGAUAUUGUUUCAAACAUUUAGAGAUUUUUUAAAAUAAUUUAAAUAUUUUAUAAUAUGGUAAUGAUUCUAUUUAAGUUUUUUUUAAUUUAUUGAAAUCAUAUAUCUAUAUUUACUAUAAAUAAAUAAAUGAGAAAUGAGGUGGAGAUGAUAAAAUCAUUCCCCACAUGAGAUUCUCCAUCCUCACCCCCAUUAAAUUUACUGGAGAAUGAGGUGGAGAAUGGGGUAGAUCUCCCCACUCCAUUACCAUCUCUGCCCCUGAAGCAUUAUUCCAUCAACUUAAAUAAUGGGAAUACAACUGCCUUUCUGUAACACUAGGCACGUGCCAACAAUUUAGCUAUCUAAACAGCUUUGACUCUAACUUAUUCAAUAGCUAGCAAGACUUAUUCAAAGCAUAAAAGAAACAAGUAAAAGAAAUUAACCGGAACAAAAUAUAGGACAUGUAACAAAAACAUAAUUCACCUAUUUAUCAAGGAAAAUGAGCAAAUUUGUGUAAACUCCAAUCCCCAUUUCUAAUUGCUCAUAAAUUUUAACGGUAUAUCAAUGGAACAAAUCAUCCAUGCUUGCACUUCCAAAAUGAUUGGCUAGUUGAAAGAUCCUUCACUUUUAAUAACUUGCCUUACUUCUUCAACAUAAGGUGUCAAGAAAAGAAAAGAAAAACUGAAUAAUUGAAUUACACCGAUUUUGAUUCUUCAAUCAACCCCUAAAUAAGUUCAAGAGAGGGGUAAGACUUUUUAAUUUAUGUACAGCUUGGUUAGCGCUUCUUCCAACUUAAUAGCCGUUCUCAUCCCUUUGACAUUGGAAUUUUGUUGGGCCUGUGUGGGCUUGUUGAAUUAACUGUGCUUGUUCAAUCGAGAGUUGAGCUUUUAAUACCCGUUUAAAUAUCUUUUAAAACCCCAUAAUAUUUUAUCUUUACAAUUUUGACCUUACAAAUUAUUUUAUUAAAAUUAAAAAAGAAGUUAUCUUCCUAAACCCUACUUCAUUUUUCAUUGCCAUAAAAAUACAAGGAUUUUGAUAAUGUUUUAAAUACCUGUAGUAAAAGGUGCUUAAAUGAUUUUAAAUUAUGGGAAAUAAUUUAAACUGAAUUAUAAAUUAUUACGAUUUACAUAAGAAAGUGUAUUGAAUUUUUAAAAAAUUACUUGAAGGGCAAAUGUUAAUUUUUUUUUUUUUGAGAGAAAAAGUCAAGUUCCUAGGGAUUUUCUUGAUAAACAUAAAUAAAGGACAAUGAUCUGAAUCAAAGCUUUUGGUAAUAUGGAAAGUGCUCAAUUACAAAGUUGAUAGAGAGAGAAAGUUCGGAUAAUUUAGAGAGGAAAAAAAUCAAGAUUUAGUGUACACUAGGGCUGACAAACACCUAUUAAGAGGGGAGAAGGAAGGCCAUUGUUAUCUUACAUGAUAAGUUAACAAACAUUAGACAAUUGAAAAAGUUUCCCACAACUCCUCUAUUACAAUUUAUUGUAUUUUCAGCUAUUUGAUUAAAUCCAAUGGUUGUCAAUUCUCUAAUACUAUAAAAUAAAACCGCGUUUCACGCGCCUUUAAAAAAAGAAUUUAGUAUUAUCUUUUUUUCUUACUUUACACUUGAAGAAACUGAUAAAAAAUAUGAAUUGAUUUUUUUUUAAGAUGAGGCAGCUUUAUAAAAAACAAAAAAAGCUAUUAGCCAGCAAUACAAAUAAAGAAGCAACUCAAGAUAAAUAAUAAAAUGAGAGAAUAUAUUAUAGAUUGAUUUUAUUCAUUCCAAUUGUGUGUGUACAAAACAAAAAGAUGAACUCUCAUUUUAUAGUUAUAUAAUCACUCCAUGAAAUUAAUGAAAAAUUAUGGAUCAUAAUUCCUUAUGAGAUAGUGAGAGUUAUAGGGAAGCUAAAGGUUGCUAAUGAGAGAUAGUGAGGAGACUAAAAAAUAUAUGCUAUAAACAUCUACAUUUAUUUUAAUAAAUUCAUAACACUCCCCUUUGGAUGUUCAUUACAAAGAAUAUGCCUCAUUAAAAUCUUUACAUAAUUGUUAUUGUGUAAUAUCAAUCAAAUUAAUUAUGAGAAGAUGAAAAGCCAAAUCUAAAAGAAAAUUUCUCUAUUUAUUAGAUAAUAGAGAAUAUACAAAGAUGAGAAAUAGUGAUGCCACAUCACCUCUUCAAGUCCCAGCUCUAUAUAUAUAUAUAGAUAGAUUUCAGCUAUUUGAUUAAAUCCAAUGGUUUCAAUUCUCUAAUAUUUGUCAUCCCACGUGUAAGGUAAAAAAAAGAAAAAAAAAUUCCAAGAAUGAAUGGCUCACGAAUUGGUUUUAUUUAAAAAUAAAUAAAUAAACAAAUGUGCGAGGAUAUUUUUGUAAUUAGAAGAGAAGAGGGAUGUGAUAAGAGUUUUUGUGUGGUGGGAAUAGCGUCACGCUUUAAUCUAGGCUUUGCUGAGUUUCUUUGAGCCUUGCUGACUCUGUAUUGGGCGUACUCCGCCUUGCUAACUCUGCUACGACAUCAAUUAAUCUACCCAAAUCUGUUGUUCAGUUGGAGAAGGUUCUUACACACCCUUCGCGCCCUAAGAAAAUAUCUUCAUCAACUGUUACAAAAAGUUUAAAUAUACCAUAUUUUGUUAAAUGAAUGUAUCCAAAGCCAGCUCAGCGUAACCGCUUUUUCCUAUUAUCUCAUAUUAAUUAAAAUAUAUAUAUAUAUCUAUGUUUUGAUAAAGGAAGCAUCCCGAUUCUCCAAAAUUUGGGAAAUUGGUUCCUUUGUAAGUGAGCGCAAAAUUUUUGUCAAUUGAUCCAGAAGAUGGAAACUUAAGAUUCAAUUUGACGGAGACAAGUUAUCAGUCAGUCAACAAACAGGAAAUAGGAAAUUAAGAUUCAAGUCAAUCUGUCAACAAGUAGUAGACUUCCUUCUUCGUAGGGUAAUACUUUUAAACCCAUUUGCUAGAAAUUGUGCCAAGAUGCGGUCAAAGAAUUGCAGCAGCCACUAAUAUCACAGUCAAUGGUCAAUCCAUGUCGCUGCCAGAAACAUUUCCAUGAAUUUGAACUAAUGAUAUUAAUUUGAAGGCCUUGGUAUUUAAUCAUAGUCGCCAGGAUUGAGCCGAUAGAGAAGCAGAUAACGCAGCAAUGGAGGUAGAGCAGAUUCUGCGCAUGAAUGAAGGAGAAGGAGAAAAUAGCUAUGCUAACAACUCACCUACACAGGUAAUAAAUCUCUCUUUUUCGAUUCACAAGCUUCAGUGAUCAACAAAGUUAUCAAACCAUGCAUCUGCUUAAUUUCUUAUAUUAUUUUCAGAAAGAAGCAAUCUUGAAAGCAAAGCCUAUGCUAGAACAAAGCUUGAAUGAACUGUAUUGCAACGGCUUCCCAGACUGCAUAAGAUUUGCAGAUAUGGGAUGCUCUUCAGGGCCUAAUGCAUUGUUGCCAACAUGGGAAGCUAUUGAUUCCCUGGACAAGAUUUGUCAUCGCUUGAAUCGUAAGCCACCCGUUUUGCAUUCUUUUCUCAAUGAUCUUCCUAGAAGUGAUUUCAACACCGUUUUCAAAUCCCUGCCAAGCUUCUAUGAGAGACUGAAGACAGAAAAGGGACAUGAAUUUGGUUCAUGUUUCGUAGCUGCAAGCCCUGGAUCUUUCUAUACGAGGCUAUUUCCUCCCAAUUUCCUUGACUUGGUUUACUCUUCUUACGCUCUCCACUGGCUCUCUAAGGUAAGAAUUGGGAUCCCAUGUUCAUUAGUAUUUCUUUUCACCAAUAAUCUCUUAAUAAUUUUCUGGCAAGUGUAUAUUUAGAGCCGUGCAUAUUCAGAUCAACAACGAAAGCAAUUUGAAAUUCAAGAAUUUAUCAAUCAUCUUGGCUUAUCAUUUCCCUCGGUUUAAUGCUUUUUCAGAUGCCUAAAGGCCAGGGGAAUGAAUCUGAUGUCCAUAAAGCAUUCCUGAAUCAAUUUGAGAGCGAUUUCUCAACAUUUCUCAAAUUUCGAUCUGAGGAGUUGAAACCCCAAGGUCGUAUGGUUCUCACCCUUCUAUAUAAUGACAAUUAUCAUGCUACUCCUGGAGAGCCAAUGUUGAUGGUAUUAAAAGACAUGAUCUCUGAGGUACUUUCUCUCUCCUGAGACAUAUUAAAAACUAAUUUUGUGUGUGUGUAUAUAUAUAUGACUAAUAGAUAAUGGACAAUCUCUUUUUCUUUUGGUUUUAAUUAUUUCAUGCAUUUCAGGGGUUGGCUGAAGAAUCAAAAGUGAAAUCAUUCGAGGAUUUUCCGGUCUAUAGAGCAAGUGUUGACGAAGUAAAGCAAAUUGUUAAAAGAGAAGGAUCGUUUGAUAUCCAAGAGGUUGAAACAUUCAACGUAAGUUGGUUGGUAGGCUUUGUCGACGGCGUAGAUAACAAAGGCUCAGACAAAUACGCAAGAGGCAAGUAUGUGACAAAGCAUGUAAGAGCAGUGGGAGAAUCAUUUCUGGCUAAUCUUUUCGAUGAUGCCACCGUGGACGAGAUCCAUCGUAGAUUUGCAACCAAGGUGACUGACGAGGUUUUGGACAAGGGGCGAGGAGCUUAUGCAAGUCUACUCAUUUCCUUGGUAAAGAAAUGAUCGUUAGUUUCUCUCUAGCUUUAUAUAAAUAAAGGCAUGACUGUGACAAAUUAGUCCCUGCGCUACGUACAAGAUGUAUUGGACGAAUGAGAUUUCUAGUGGGGAUUUAAAUAUCUUUUGUUCUCCAUCUUUUGUGGCGGGGGGUGCUGGGAAGGUUCACGAGUCUCUUAUCUAAAUGUCAUGUCUGUUUGUUUUCUGUCUUUUUAUUUUUCUUUUUUCUUUUUUCAAUAAGGUUUUUACCCAUUUGGUUGAUAAAAAGAAAAAGAAUAUUAUACAACUUCUGAUAAAUGUCUAUUCAAAUUUUACUGACGACAGCUUGCAGCCUUCAUUGUUUCUAAUAUGUAAUCUGUUAAAUCGUACUGAUAUUUACUUAAAAAUAAAAUUUAGGCCGAUUCAAAAGAGUGAAAAAAUAAAAGCAAUUAAGCAGGGUAACUUUUGGUAAAAGUCUUUUUUAUUAACACGAUUUAAAAAUGAUUUUUAACUCUUAAGUAUAAGAGUGUCUUGUUAUAUUAUAAUUCGAUGAGUCCGAGAUCGAUCCACAAAGAAAAAAUUUAAUUUGUUUAUUUAAAUUUAUCAAAAAAUAAAAAAAUUAAAAUUAAAAAUAUGUAAAUUAAUUUAAGAAAAAUUAUGAAAUUGAAUUACUUAGAGUUAUGGAUCCACUUAUAGUAAUAAAUAAAAUUUAACAAAUUCUUUUUAUUUUUAUUUUAUUUCCCAAAAGAUUAAUUGUAUAAAUUAAAGUUAUUUUCCCAUUUAUUUUAUUAUGGAUUAAGAACUUAAUGUGCCAAAACUUAAUUUGUCUACAAUAAAUCAAAAUAUCAUUUUACCAUACUUUAUACCAAGAUAUUAAGAAUUCAUUGUGCCAAACUCCCAUGUUUGUCUAUAAUAAAUCAAAAUUUCAAAAUAUAAAUUGUGGAUAAAAUUAAAUAGAAAACAAUUUAAUUUGUACAAUUAAAAAUAGAAUUGAUUAAACCAUAUUUUUACUAAGAGUUUCACCUUCCCCUAACUACUAAUAUUGAGCUAAACAUUUUUAAAAUAAAGGAAAUUAUUAAAAUUGAAAAAUGCAUAAUUAAAAAAAUAGAAUUUGAAAAUUGAAAUACAACUAAUUUUAUUGAUUGAAAAUAUAUUACAAAGAGAAAUGAGAAGAAGAAUUUGAGGGGAAAGAAGAGAAGAGAAGGUGUGAAGAUGUGUGUCACCCCCCCCUCUCUAUUUAUACUAAUAAAUGGUAAAUCCACAACACACAAAUAAAUAAAUCUAAUUACAUCUUAACCUUACAUUUGUUCCACUAAUAACACAUAAACCUAACUUAAUCCACUCAAACACAUUCAACACAUUCCACUAACAAUUAUCAUACCUAAUAUGAUAAAAACUUAUAAUUUUACAAUUACCACAUUUACUAUGGUAAAAACUUAAAAAUUUACAACAAAAGUCUUGGAUCCUUCUCGACAAUAACAUAAUUUCUCGGAUUUUCGGAAUUCAAAUUUGACAUCCGCACAUUUGUUUGGAGCCUCAAAUUGUAUGAAAUUAUUAUUUUUACCUAAUAAACACAAAAAAAUACACAAAAUCAAAUACUUAAAAAAUAAUUAGAAAUUCACAAUAUGUUACACAAUUAUAAAUAUAAAUUACAAUAAUAGCACAAAAUAAAAUUUUUACCCCUUAACAAACAUACAAUUUUUAACACUAAUCACACCCCCCAACUAGCUUAUUGCUAGCCCCUAGCAAUGAAAGUGUUAUAUUAAAUCAAGAUUUACAAAAUUCACAUGCAAGUUAAUAGUUGUUCAUCUAUUCUCUAAACUACCAAAUAAAUAAACUCUCCCAAAUUUUUCUAACUCUUGUUUGUCCACUCAUUAUCUAGAAAAUUAUAAACCUUCUUUUGUGCUCAAGUAAUUAACACAAUACUUAUGGGGUUUCAUUAAAAGAAAACAACAUUUUCGUUCAAAAACUCAUUAGAAAUUCUAUCUUCAGGCAAUGGAUUAUUCAAAUUGUUUUUUUAAAUAUUACAUUUUUAACUCAUGUAGCGAGCUUUAGGCCAGUGACUCCUAGACUAGUUGACCUUAGGGCACUAGGUGUUGAAACAUCCCUACGGACUUAAUUACUCGGGUUCUAGAUAUAUUAAAAUUAAACACAUUCAAUUUUCUUCUUUUUCUUCUCUUUUUUUUUUGUUUUUUGCAAUAUACACUUUCUACUACCUUAAAUAUUAUCCCUAGUAAAUCAAAAGAACUAAAUGCUGCAAAAAAUUUAACUUACAAUCCACUAGUAUGUGUCAUAGUGUGUGUGUGUGUGAAGAAUGAUUUAAUAAUAUAUGUUAAAUGAGUAAAAACAAAAUAAUUUAAUAACCAAAUAGAGAGUUCACAAAUUUGAGUAAUUCAAAAAAAAAGGAAAAAUAACAACUUACUAUGAAUUUUAAAAUUAAAAUAUAAUACAACAUGAUUAUUAGGAUGCGUUUCAAAAUUUGUGACUCUUUCCACAAUCAUCAUAGACACGACUUAAAAAAUUUAUUUAUUUUUUAUUUUUUUGGGUUUUUUUAAAUAAAUAAAUAAAUAAACGCAUCUAUUUACAAUUUACGUCAACUACCCCUUCCCCCCAACCUAAUCUAAACAUUAUUCAUAAUUUAAAAAUAUGUAUGCAAAAAGACAAAAAGAUAAAGAAAACAUAAAUAAUAAAAGAAGAAAUAGGAAAGAUCACACCUGAACAGGCCACUAAAGAUGCGUUUCUAAAUUCGCUACACCUCAUAUUCAGUCAUUUUCGACAUAAACAUUACUAGAAUUUGCUAUAUUCCACAGCUGUCAACUAUUUCAUCCCCUCAACCUGAAUAAGACAUUAUCCUCAAUUGCUUAAAGGAAAGAAGCAAAGUUUAGAAGACAUUACCUCAUCUCUCCAAGAAGAUAGUUACAACCGAAGAGUUAAGUCCAACUUGUACUUCAUACUAGGGCUAGGGUUACCAUCACUAGUCAACCAUUCCAAUGCCAAGAUCCUAUGAUCUGGCUCUGGUUUAUAAGCUUGUAAAAUAUCAAGUAACUAAUUAGCAGUAGAAGCACAAACAAAGAGAUUUUUCGCAGAGAUUGGAAUAAAAUGAUUCUUAAUUGCAUGGUUAAUUAUUGUGAGCAACCUAUCAAAAAAAUUAUUUACAGUUAGUAAACCGAUGAGUUUCUGAUGGAUGUUUAAAUGGGCCCAAGAUACAAAUGUAAUCAGUGCCUCUAAAGUUUCAAGAUCUCUUGGCAAGAAAAUGAAACUGUCAGCAUGAUUUAACAUCUCAGAUAUUCGCUCUUGCAUACUUAAGACAACUAACUCUUCUCCAAUUGGUACGUUAGACAUGCAUUCUAGAGGUUUUAAGACUUGUGGAAUGAUACCUAGUACCUAAUUUUCUCUAAUAAAAACAGUUUUUGAGACAAAUUUUGAUAACUCGCAAUCACCUCCUCCAUAUACAAGGUGCAGUUUCUCUCAGCUAUAGCACGACUAAAAUUUAUAGCUACCUGAACGAAUUAUUUAUAUUUUCCAUAAUGAAAUUCAGAGAGCACACAAAUGUUUUUGAAUUGUCUACUCAAAGAUAUUGCCAUUAGAAUAAUCUUCAAAAACAAGUUGUGAGUGGUUGGAAAAAGAGCACAUAUUUAAAGAUCUUAAUGACAGACAAAAUGAGGAACAAUUGUAAAUGAGUUGGUGUAUUUUUCAGAUAACGCGUAAAGCUCAUGUCUCAAUAUUUCAAAAGCAAACAGUAAAAAGAAAAACAAACAAUGAAAAAAAAAGUAAAAGAAAACAAAUAAUGAUUAAAUACAAAAUCACACCAUUAAAUAUAAUAAUGCAAAUGAUAAGAAAAUGUUAUUUACUGGUAGUUGUGAUUAUGACUCACAUCUUCCUCUGGUUUUAUAUCUAGUAACAACUUGAACGCCCUCUAUGGGUCGAGGAUAUGAUUCCCAUCCAGUUUUCUUAUAAACUGGCAAACAAAGUCUUUUUCAGUCAGAUUCGUAAGAGUAAAUUGUGCACUUUCUUUUUGGAAUAAUCUCCAUAACUUGUGUAUCUCAUAUUGCACAUGUCCGCUUCGAUGCAUCUCAAGAGAUCGUAAGAUAUCAUCUAACGAUUCUUUACUCAUGCCAUCUUUAACGAAUUUAAUUUUAUCUUCUCGAUUAUCAAAAAUCAUUUCUAAAGAUUUACAAACUUCUGGUUUGCAACUAAGUCGUACACAAUUAUGACAUUCUGAGCCAAGUCUUUUAGCUCUCUAUUUUUUAGCAAAUGUGUUUUUACCAAAACCAAGCAUGUAAGAAAUAAAUGGAUCAGGAAACUCACCAGCUAAUCGGACUUUUGCUUCAAUUAACCAAUGAAUAUCAAAAGAAAUUAUGUUGAUCAUUAACAAACGCAAUCUUUCACAACGAGCUUUGAAAGGAAUUUAGAUCUAUUACAAAUAGAUGUAGGUAAUUAAAAACCAAAAAUUAACAACUUAAUUAAUUUUCUGAAAAUAUUGUUCAUUGUUACUGUUCACCACAACGGUUCACAGUUACUGUUCACGAUUACUGUUCAUCCGUAUAAAAAAUAUUAAUUUUUCAAAAACACAAUAAAAUACAAAAAAUAAAUAACACAGAGAUUUUUAUAUGGUUUAGAUUAAUUAAUCUUAUAUCCAUGAGGCCAAGCCCAAAUGAAAAAUAAUUCACUAAGUUGAAAUAUUACAACCUAUGAAUUUACAAAACUUAAGACUCUCACUUAUAGUUUAUCACCAUAUAGUUUACUCAACCUCAGAUUGAAUCUGCUUCUCUUGAAUAAUUGCUACCCCUCUUGAUCCACGAUCCUCAAGGCACUUCGCAAAAUGAUCAAUAGCAAUUUUUCAAUUCUACAAUGUCUAGUGAUCCAAAAUCCACAUAAACUCUCCACAGAGAUGGAAAGAAGAUAAGAAAACAAAUCAACACAACAUGAUGCGCAAAAUCCGAAUUCUCUAGGGAGGAGGCCAAAUUUUGCUUCUCUGCUUUAUGCUCUGUGUUGUGUGAUACCUUCAAUUGUGAAAUACCUCUCUUUAUAUAGGUACUAGGGUUUCACCAAAAUAGAAAGUCUUAAAAGAUUUGGAUUCUUUCCAAAUAAGGUUUCUUUCAUCUUAUAAUUCCCAUGAAUCUGAAUAGGAAUAAAUCUUAUCUUCUUGCCUUACUUGUCUUCCAAGAAAUAUCUAGAGCAUUUAAUGAACUUUCUAUUUGAACCAACUUCUUGCUCUAAACAGAUCUCAUGCGCCAAUUAUAAAAUCCAAUCAUUAAUUGACUUUCUAAAUUAGACAUCUAAUUAAAUUACCGUACAGCAGAUUGUUCUCUUCAAAUAUUUCUCAAUUUUGAUUAUUAUUUUAAGAUAUUGUGAAAUAAACUUCCAAUUUAACUAGACUUACCAUAAAAUGCCGACUCUAUAAAUAAUGGACUUAACAAGCUUUGUAAAUUUGUUUUUAGUGCAUUUUGAGGGAGAAAAGGAAAAUGUUUUGCAAUUUAUGUUGUAUUUCUUCCAUACUUGAUUUUGAGAUCUCAAUUAUUGUGGGAAACUAAGAAUACCGACUUAAGAAGUCACGGAGUACCGUUAUCUGCCAUUUAUACGGGAAAAUAAAUCAAAACACACCAAAAUCAAAUUUGCAAAAUCAAUAUACGGGAAAAUAAAUCAAAUUUGAGAUCUCAAUUAUUGUGGGAAACUAAGAAUACCGACUUAAGAAGUCACGGAGUACCGUUAUCUGCCAUUUAUACGGGAAAAUAAAUCAAAACACACCAAAAUCAAAUUUGCAAAAUCAAAUCAAACGUGAAAGCGAACAAACAAAAGAAAAACAUAAUGUAAAAAGGAAAAUGAAUUUACAUUCGUCCUCUCAUUGAGUUAACCUCAAGCUCCAAUUGAAAUUCAUAUAUACCUCGCUCUAUUUCUCUGAGUUGUCUUUCUUGAUCCUAAACGUAGGCCACUAAUGUUGGUGGUUGUCGUUCCUAAAUUAGAUAUGAUUUACACCUUUGUAUCUAGCCUCUCAAGCGAAAUUUUAUUCGCAAAAGGUUUUUAAGAUGUCUGAACAGAAUCUUCCUUAUUGAGGUACUCAUGAUGUAUAAUGAAGAAAAAAAUAAUUAUUAAACACACUUUAAGCAAGAAACAUCACAACGCAUAUCAUUCAAGACAACCGACAAUUCAACGGUAAAACAACAAUGAAAAGUUAAAAUACUCAUUAAAAACUUAAUCAAGAUUUGGUGGAUCACUCAAAUUUAUUUGGGUGCUUGCUUCACAUGGUUGGUAUUCUAGAUAGGGCUUUAUUCUUUGACCAUUAACUUUAAAUGUAACACUAUUUUUUAGAUUCUCAAUUUCUACAGCUCCAUGUGAAUAUACAUUUUUUACAAUAAAUAGGCUACUCCACUUUGACUUUAACUUUCCUAGAAACAAAUGAAGACGAGAAUUAUAAAGCAAUACUUUUUGAUCAAUUUCAAAUGUUUUUCGAAAAAUUCUUUUACCAUGAAAAAUUUUUGUAAGAGCCUUAAUAAUUCUUGAAUUUUCAUAUGCAUCAUUUCUUAAUUCCUCAAGUUCAUUCAAUUGUAAUUUUUGCAUAUUACCAGAUCAUCUAAAUUUGAAUUAAAAGCUUUAAUAGUCCAAAAUGAUUUAUGCUCAAGUUCAACAGGUAAGUGACAAGGUUUACCAUAAACUAGCCAAUAGGAUGACAUUCCUAAAGACGUUUUAAAUGCAGUACAGUAACCCCAAAGCGCAUUAGUCAGUCGAAAAGACCAGUCUUUUCGGUUUGGGUUAACUGUUUUUUUUUAAAUUUGUUUUAUCUCCAUAUUUGCUAAUUCAACUUGACCAUUUGUUUGAGGAUGAUAACAUGUAGUAAUUUUAUGCCUAAUUCUAUAUUUUUCAUUAAAGAAUCAAAUGACUUAUUACAAAAAUAUUUACCUCCAUCACUAAUAAUACCUCGAGUGAUUCCAAAUCAACUUAGAAUAUUUUCUCUUAAAAAUUUAAGGGAAAUUAUCAGUCAUAUACCCUUAAAUGACACCAGUAUCAAACGUGCUACAACAUUUUUCAAGUGUAUCACUCGUAUACCCUAAGUUGAUAAAACACUUCUGCCGUCCACCAAUCCGUUUGUGAGCGCUGACAUCAUAAGGGUAAUCUAGUCUUUUUAAAAAAAUGACAUGUCAUCCCAUUUAUCUAGUAAAAAAUGACAUGUCAUAUGAUAUAUUUUGAUAAAAAUGACAUGUCACCCCAUUUAUCGGAUAAUUGUUAAUAAUUGCUAAAAAAAAGCUACUUUACAACCGAAUUUACUCCUUCAAAAUUCCCCAUUUAUCGGAUAAUUGUAUCCCAUUUAUCUAGUAAAAAAUGACAUGUCAUAUGAUAUAUUUUGAUAAAAAUGACAUGUCACCCCAUUUAUCGGAUAAUUGUUAAUAAUUGCUAAAAAAAAGCUACUUUACAACCGAAUUUACUCCUUCAAAAUUUAACCUAAAUUAUUGAAGAUCUACCCCUCCAAGCUCAAACUUGAAUUUUUUAUGAUAUAAUAUGUAUAAUUGUAAAUAAUAUGUUGUUAAUAAUUUUUUAUGGUAUAAGAUGAAUAUUUUUUAUGGAUAAUUGUUAAUAAUAUGUACCAUUAAUAAUUCAUAUUUUUUUAAUAAAAAAAUGUAUUGUUAAUAACAAAAUAAAAAAAAUUGUGUAUUGAAAAUUUACAUUAAUUUUCAAGGUAAAUUUAUUUUUUUACCUCAUUUUGAGUUUAAAGGAUAAAAUAGUCAUUUUGCUCAAAUUCUGUUAAGUUUUUAACGAUAAUAAACGGAAAGGUGGACGCCAGAACUCUUUUGUCAACUUAGGGUAUACGAGUGAUAUAAGGGAAAAGUGUUGUAGCACAUUUGAUACUGGUGUCAUUUAAGGGUAUAUGGCUGAUAAUUUCCCAAAAUUUAAUGACAGUUUUACUAUCAUUAUUUCUACAAGACAUUGCUUCAACCAUUUUAAGACAUAAUCAAUUAUAACUAACACUACAAGAAAACUGCUAAUAGAUGACAGACAAUUUAUGACAAAUUCUGGGUAUAUCAUAAAAUUAUGAUAGACUUGUGACAUAAUUUUCAAUCGAUCAUAAAUUAAUGAUGGCUUUGUGAUAGAAUUAUUUUUUAUCAUGAAUUAAUGAUAGUUUUAUGGUAGAAUUAUUUUUUAUCACAAAUUAUUAUUUUUUACUUAACCAUGUGUCGAGUUAUAAUUGGUAACUUAAUAUGUGAACAAUUACACUAUAUUUCUAAAGUAUAAAAUGAAAAAGUGAACCCUAAGUCUAACCUAAUUAAACACACUAUUGCUGCCACUCCCCUGCUGCUCUUCGAUUUCACUGCUGCCACUGCUCUGCCAUCAUCAAGCUUCAGCCACCGACUACCAAACGGGCUACCAUUAUGUACGUCGCUGACUUGUUGCCGCCAUUCAUCUUAGUCAUCGUUGUCGCUCCUCUACCAUCACGUCAAGCUUUAGCCCAGACAGCCGUCGUUGCUUUACCACCACUGUUAGUCUCCCGCCAAAAUCAAUAUCGUUCCUCAACGGCCUUCUAGAAUUUUCCUCUCAUGCUUUCCACGGUCGUUAUUCUCCUUCUUCACCAACAUCACUUGCGAAACGAGAUACCGAAGGAGUUGCAGAUAUGUUCUUUUCACACUACAUCUCUCUGAAUAUUGAAAAGUCUGCUCCUUUCAUAUUCUUCCUCACUUUAAAAACACCCAAAAGGAAAUUAUAAUCACAAGUAAUUGAAACGAUUUUUUUUUCUUUGGUUUGGCAUUUUCUUAGCGACUAAGCUGGGUUAAAUUAAGUGUUUCUUUUUUUUUGGGUUUGUUUAGAGUUAAACUGCUUAUCGUAAUUGUGCUUAUUUGUUGUUGAAUUAUACCCUUAUGAUUUUGGAACUUUUAUACGCAAGUUUUUGUUUGAUUUUUUAUUUACCAAAUACGAUUUUUACCUAAUGCGUUUGGCUAUUGGAAUUAGUUAAUUUUCUUGUAAUUUAAUUUCUGCAUAUCAAUAGCUCUGUAAGAUAGGUUUCAAUGCAGUCUAUCGGUGCUUAAUGGAGAUGUUUCCCUAGGUAUCAGUUUGUUCUAUAGAUUGAACUCAUAACUAAGGCAUUACUCUUUUUUUGGUUAUUUAUUUCUUCUUGGCUUGCAAUUGUAUACUUCAAAACAUGUUAAUGAUAUUUAAACGAGAUAUAAUUUUGUUAGUUUAUAUUUUUGAUGCUUCGAAUUGAAAACUUAAUUCUCUGUUGUCAAAUUAUAGCCUUGGGUUCGUGAUCUUAGGCAAACCAUUUAAGGAAAAAUGACAAUUGUUUGGUGAAGGUCUAGAACUCAUUUUUGUGAAGCCCUGCAUAAACUGUUGGUGCGACAUUUUUAACUUUAUUUUUUAUAUAAAGUCCUUUAGCAGUCAUGUAUGUGUAGAAUUUUUGUUAGCUUAUAUGGUUAUUAUAGAUUAUUAAUUAAAGAAUUAAUCAGGUGUUCCAUUUUGGGCUUCUUAGGAAAGUUACAAUAGGGCUCAUGCAAUUCUGAGGUGAUCUAGAGUAUGAAAAUAAAACUUGUCUCCUUCAACAUGAUUUUCUUAUUUUUACUUUCAAAUUGUAUAUUGUACUAGUUUAGUAUGUUUCAGAUGAGAUGCAAUCUUCCAUGUUCUUAUGUCUCUAUUUGGUGAGAAACUUUAAUGCAUAGAAACUAGAUCUAUUCUUGAUGUUGUAGUGAUAUACCCAUUUCUCAGGCUUAUGAGGUUUACCAUUGCACAAGUUUGUUUUGUGCAAAUAACUCCAUACCUGUAUUACUUUUGUAAGGAAUAUGACUGCAAGGCUCUUGACUGCAGGUAUGGUGUUAGUUUCAAAAUUGUUAAUUCCUUUCUAGGUAUUCUUAAUGGUGUUUUGUAGACUAUUUUAAGUCACAAAGAUAGUUGGUAAAUAAAAUCUAUUAAUAUGAUUGGAAUUGUAAAUGGAUCAGUCCUGUUAUGCCCCUUUUCUGCAGAGGAAAAUUAGAGAAUUUGAUAAUAGUUUCUUUUCCAUUAGAGACCUAAAUUUGUUAUCAACCUUAUGGCCUUAUUAUCCAACAAAAUCUAUAAUACAAAUAGCUUUUUAGAUGAUUUUUGUCUUUCUUAUGACAUCCAAGUAUGAGUUUCCUUUACUGUUGUGUAUUGGCUGAUAAAGAAGUAAACUACACUGAGGACAAUUCUUUCUCUCACUGAAAUCUUCACUUUUGUACUUUUUCCUUUUUUUUUAUGCUUGUAAUUCUUCUCCUUUUCUCUAUUCUAUUGUACAUUUGAUAAGUGCAACAUGUAAAUUGCUUUUGGUUCCUGGAUGCUUAAGGUUAUAUAAAUAUUUAUGUGAAUACUAGUGAAAGAUGUUUAUGUUGAUUCUUAGUUUUUAAAUCUAUUCUACUUGCUAUAGGUUCUUUGAUUAGAAAAUAGUAAAAUAUUUUUUUUGCCCCCUUAGAGAAUAGUAAAAUGCUUGUUAAACAUUGUUUUCUACAUGUUGCUAUAAUCCAGGGCUGCAUAUAAAGGGAUAGGUAGAUACUACAAUUAAGGGCAUGCUAAGCGAAUGGAGAGGCAACAACAACAAUCUGAAGGGUAAAUAAAAAUAAUGGUGGUGAUUGAAGGAACUGAGACGAAUUGCUGGCCUCUUACUACUUAGACUCUACAAGUGAUUUACCACUGGAAUUUGGUGGACUUUGAUUUUUUGUACAAGUAUUUUGAUGUUGGUGAAUACUUAUUUUAGGAUAUCUUUUGAAAAUUUGGGAUUGAUGUAGUUUAGAUGCUUUGGUGACAUAGUUUGUAUUUAACUGUAGUUUGAAUAUAUAUAAAAUUCCAUGUAUUUUAUUUAUUGGAUUUUUAAUUACUAGUAUUAUAUUUUGUAUUUAUUUUAUAUUGAUCAAUUUUAUUUAUAAAAACAAAUUUAUAGAAUUUGUUAAAUAAUAAUAAUAAAUAAAUAUACUAUUAAGUCAGUAAAAAUAAUAAUAAAAUUUACAAUAUUAAAAAUAUUUUAAAAUAAUUUAAUAGAAAUAAUACUAAUUUUCCCGCCAAAAAAUUCAAAAAAUUCCUAAAUAUUUAAAUAGUUUUGAUUUCCCACUAAAAUGUAGUGUGACGCGUGUAUGACUUUUAACAGCUAUCAUAAACUCAUGACGGGAAAAAUUCUGUCAUAAAUUAAUGACAGUGACAUAGAUUACAUAUAUUUUGUCUGUCAUGCACCCCUCUUUAUGACGGUUAUUUCUUGUCAUCUAUUGCAUGUUUUCUUGUAGUGUAAUAUAUACACAAAUCCAAAAGAUAGUGGAAAUGGACCCAUGAAAUCAAUUCUCUAAUAGUCAAAUAUUUCAACCUCAAGUAUGGGAUUUAAGGGCAUCAUGUUUCUUUUAGUAAUUGAUCCUAAUUUUUGACAAUUUUCACAAGUUUUGCAAAAUUCAUAUGUGUCUUUGAAUAUGGUAGGCCAAUAAAAUCUACAUUGUAAAAUUUUAACUGUAGUUUUUCUUGAAGAAAAGUGUUCACCACAUGCUUCAGAAUGACAAAAAUUAAUGACACUACUUACCUCAUUAUCAGGAAUGCAUCAUCGAAAAAUCUAAUCAGGGCAAUAUUUGAACAAAUAAUGAUCAUCCAAAUAAAAUUUCUUUACUUCAACCAAAAAUUUCUUCUUCUCUUGACUAUUCUAUUGCGAAGACAUUUUACCUGUAACAAGAAAAUUAACAAUGUUAGCAUACCAUGGUAUUGAAGUAACAUAUAAUAAACAUUCAUCAGGAAAUGAAUUAUUAAUGGGUGUUAUAUCAGUGCAGAUUUCAUAUGUGAGUCUUGAUAAAUGAUCAGCAACAAUAUUUUUGGCACUCUUUUUAUCUUUGAUGGUGAGGUCAAAUUCUUGAAGUAACAAAAUCCAAUGAAUUAGUCUUGGUUUGGCAUCAUGUUUAGUCAUCAAAUAUCUCACAAUAGCGUGAUUAGUAAAAACAACAGUUUUAGAACCAAGUAAAUAUUAACAAAAUUUGUUUAAUACAAACACCACAACAAGUAAUUCUUUUUCAGUUGUCAAAUAAUUCAUUUGAGUACUAUCCAAAGUCUUACUCGCAUAAUAAAUCACAAACAACAAAUUUAUAUUUGGUUUCCCAUCAUCAUUUUGCAAAGUCUGACAAGAAUCAAACAACAAAUUUAUAUUAGAAGUUGUUUAUUUGAUUCAAUCAAAUUAACUAAACAAAUAUCACUAAGUUCAUAAAAACUCCCUUUUUGAAUAUUCUCCUCUAUACAAUAUUCAAGCAAUUCCUUUUGUUCAUUAAUUUCAUCUUCAUUCUCAUUUUCUUCAUUAGGUUGCCUACACAUGUUGAAAACAUUCAAUUCCAGAGUCAUAUUUCCAAAUGAAAAAUUCAUUAAACCAUUCAUACAAUUAAUCAAAGAAUUAGCAGUUGUUAAAAAUGCUCGACUCAAAAUUACAAGAAUUGGUUUAUAAUUAUUUACAACAAGUUCAAUUUCUAAAAUAAUAAAAUCCACACGGUAUAUGAAUUUAUCAACUUGUACUAAAACAUCUUCCAUUAUUCCUUUUGGUACUUUACUGAUCUAUCGGCAAGUAAAAGUAUAGUUGAAGUUGAUUUUAACUCACCAAGAUUAAGUUGAAGAUAAACUGAAUAUGGAAGCAAAUUAACACUAGCACCAAUGUCUAACAAAGCAUGCUCAAUUUUGUGAUCUCCAAUGAUACAGGAAAUAGUAGGACAAUCAAGAUCUUUAUAUUUCAACUUAUUAUUAGUAGACAAAAUGGUACUUACCUGUUCAGUCAUUAAAUGACUUUUUCUUACCUUCAAUUUCCUUUUAAUAGUGCAUAAGUCCUUUAAAAAUUUUACAUAUGAAGGUACCUGCUUGAUUGCAUCUAACAGAGGAAUAUUGACUUUCACUUGCUUAAAGAUUUCAUAAAUUUCAUAAGAGUGAUUUGAUUUCCUUAGUUUAUUCAAUGCAUGCGGAAAUAAUGGUUCAGAUGGAACAAUAGUUAUUUCUUCACUAGGUGUAAGUUUAUUUAGUUCUUCAUUACCCUUUGAAUUUUCAUUGUUGCUAUCUUUACAAGGUUUGGGAAUAGGCCGAUCAAUAACCUUACCACUACGAAGAGUUAUAAUUGACUUGACUUAGUCCAUGGGUGAAUUUUGAAUUUUAGGACAUGGUUGUGGUUGAGCUGAAAAUUUUCCUUUUUCUUGAAUUGUGAGUUCAGAAGCAAUUUUAGCAAGAGUAUCUUUCAAAACAAAAAAGGUUUGUGCAUUUUUAUUAUUAAUAGCAUCUUGCUUUCUAAUCAGUGAAUGCAUUGUAUCUUCCAAAUUGUUCCAUGGUGGUGGAAUAUAUGGUGCAUAAGGCUAAGUAUUUUGAAAAUUUUGUGGAGGUGGUGCUUGUGAAGAUUGUGUAUUAUUAUUAUUCUUCCAAGUAAAAUUUGGAUGAUUUCUCCAACCAAGAUUAUAAAUCUGUGAAUAUGGGUUUAGUUUGUUAAAAGUGUUGAUGGCAUUAGCUUGAUCAUGCAAACAUUCUUUGAGUGCAGGCAGAGUAGGACAAUAAUGACUGAAAUGAUCAUUAUAACUACAAACAUCACAUGCAAUUUCUUGAAUAGAUUUUAUUUGAUCACUUUUUUUAUUUUUCAAAGCUUCAACCUGCCUAACUAGGAAUGCAAAUUUUGCUUGUAAAUCAUGAUUUUCCCUAAAGUUAUAGAUUCUUCCACUAGAUGGAGAUGGUUGUGGUUUAUUAGUCAAUUCAAAUGUUCCAACAAUAUCUUAAUGUUGUGCAUUUUCAACUAAUUGGUCAAGGUAAUCUAGUGCAUCUUCAUAUUUUUCUCUCUAAAUUCACCAUUACACAUCAUUUUUACAACUUGUCUACUUUGUGGUGUUAAGCCCUCGUAGAAAUAAGUGAUCAAUCGCCAAGUUUCGAAACCAUGUUAUGGACAUAUGUUAAGCAAUUCUUUAAAUCUAUCCCAACAUUGGUACAAUGUUUCUUUUUUUUUUUUUAGUUAAAUAAGUGAUUUGCCUUUUAAAAGAAUUGGUUUUGUGAGAUGGGAAGAAUUUUUUCAAAAACUAUUCUUGCAUAUUAUUUCAAGUUCUUAUUGAUCCAGAUCUAAGGUUUUGUAGCCAAGUUUUAGGUUUAUCUUUUAAUGAAAAGGGAAAAAGUUUUAAUCUAAAUAUGUUCAUGCUACAAUUUUGGUAUGUGUAUGUAUUACAAACUUCCUCAAAAUCUCUUAGAUGCAAGUAUGGAUUCUCAGAUUCUUAACCAUGAAAUGUUGGUAAAGUUGGAUAAUACCUGGUUUGAAGUUGAAUCAAAAUGCUUCUAGAGGAAAUACUAUACAUGAUGGUGCUCCGGUUCUCGUUGGAUUCAUGUAAUCUCUCAAAGUUCUUGGUUGAUUCUGAUCACGUUAAGAUUGGUUGUCACCCUGAACAACUAGAGGAUUAAGUUGGCCUAAAAUGUUUUCAUCUUGGAUCUCGUCUAUGAUUGGUGGUGGUGAUUAAGAUCUACAAAUUAACCUGUCACUUGAAGUCCGAGACUAACGUCUCAUGCAAUGAUGAUGUGUGAGUGUAAAAUUAUGUUGUAAAGAUGAUACACAAACAAAUGACUAACAAAACAAAAAAAAAUGAAAAUUACACAAAUUAAAAACAAAAUGAAAAUUAAAUAAACAAGAUAAAUGUACAAAAAAAACACAAGACAAAAAUAAAAAAAAAACUAAAAAUUAAUUAACUAAAAUUAAAAUAACUAAAUAGGCAAUAAACCAAACAUAUAAACAAAGUAAAAACCAAAAAUAAAAUAAAUGCAAAAAUUAAAUUACAGAAAUAAAUAAAAGAAAAAAAGAAAAGAAAUAAUUAAAGUGUAGGCUCUUUUUUUUUCAAAUUUUAAAAAUUACCAACCGAUUAAGUGAUUAAUUCAAAUUAAUGGGUCUUGUAAUUUUUAAAGUCAAAAUUCUUUUUAUUGAGUCCAAAUUAGGUCCAAAGAAAUCCAUUUAUGUUUCAAGAAAGCUCAAGUUAUAUGUCCGAAUUUGAGAUUUAUGGGAAAUUUUGGCAAGGGACCUAUUCAAAAAUUUUUUGUGAUUUUGUUGUCAAACCGAAAUUAUGAGAAGAAUGAGCCAGAAACGAGAUUUUUUUAAAGUACAAAUGAAAUUAUGAAAGAUUUCGGGAUAGAACAGAAUUUAAGAAAAGAAAAAGGGGGUAAAAGAAAAUUUACAAUAAAAGUAAAAGAAAAAAAAGAAAAAAUAAAACAAAAUAAAUACAUCUCCCGGCAAUGGGGCCAAAACUUUGACACAACUUAAAAGUGAUUUCUAAGAGUAUCUUGUUAUAUUAUAACUCGGUGAGUCCGAGAUCGAUCCACAAAAAAAGGAUUUAAUCUGUUUAUUUAAGUUUAUCAAAAAAAUAAAAUUAAAAAUUAAAAAUAUGCAACUUAAUUUUAGAAAAAUUAUGAAAUUGAGUUAGUUAGGAUUAUGGAUCCACUCCUAAUAAUAAAUGCAAUUUAACAAAUUUUUUUUUAUUUUAUUUCCCAAAAGAUUAAUUGUAUAAAUUAAAAUUAUUUUCCCAUUUAUUUUAUUAUGGAUUAAGAACUUAAUGUGCCAAAACUUAAUUUGUCUACAAUAAAUCAAAAUACCAUUUUACCAUACUUUAUACGAAGAUAUUAAGAAUUCAUCGUGCCAAACUUCCAUGUUUGUCUACAAUAAAUCAAAAUUUCAAAAUAUAAAUUAUGGAUAAAAUUAAUAGAAAAAAAUUUAAUUUGUACAAUUAAAAAUAGAAUUUGAUUAAACCGUAUUUUUACUAAGAGUUUCACCUUCCCCUAACUACUAAUAUUGAGCUAAACAUUUUUAAAAUAAAGGAAAUUAUUAAAAUUGAAAAAUGCAUAAUUAAAAAAAUAGAACUUGAAAAUUGAAAUAAAACUAAUUUUAUUGAUUGAAAAUAUAUAACAAAGAGAGAUGAGAAGAAGAAUUUAGGGGGAAAGAAGAGAAGAGAAGAGAAGGUGUGAAAAGGUGUGUCCUCCCCCUCCCCUCUCUAUUUAUACUAAUACAUAGUAAAUCCACACCACAUAAAUAAGUAAAUAUAAUUACAUCUUAGCCUUACAUUUGUCCCACUAAUAAAAUGUAAACCUAAUGUAAUCCACUCAAAACACAUUCAACACAUUCCACCAAUAAUUACUAUACCUAACAUGAUAAAAACUUACAGCUUUACAAUUACCACAUUUACCGUGGUGAAAACUUAAAAGUUUACAACAAAAGUCUUGGUUCCUCCUCAACAAUAACAUAAUUUCUCAGACUUCUAAAAUCUAAAUUUGACAUCUGCACAUUUGUUUGGAGCCUCCAAUUGCAUGAAAUUAUUAUUUUUACCUAAUAAACACACAAAAAUACACAAAAUCAAAUACUUAGAAAAAUAAUUAGAAAUUCACAAUAUGUUACAUAAUUACAAAUAUAAAUUACAAUAAUAGCACAAAAUAACAUUUUUACCCCUUAACAAACAUACAAUUUUUAACACUAAUCACCCAUUAUUAUCACUAAUAAUGAAUAUCACUUAUUCAAGAAAUAAUCUUUAACAAGUCAAGCAUAUUCAUUCAUUGUGUGUAUUUAAAAUUAAAAAUAAAAUCUCCGUACCUACUAGAUGAUUCAUUCAAUCUUCAUAUUGUCCCAUCGACUUGAUUUGGUCUGCUUAAUUAACUAACAAAUUAAAACCCAUAAAAUAAGAUUAAUUUCAUUCGGAUUCUUUCUUAAUCUCAUUUUUGCCAAGAUUUGUAAGAGAUUAUGACAUUUUUCCUUUAAAUGUAUUUAGGGAUAGGAUUUAAUUUAUUUUUAAUUUUUCUUCAUGGACAUCAAAAUAUAUAGAAUUAGUGGCUAACUAAAAUGGAAUAACUAAUAAGCAACUAACAGAUGUUAACUCUAUAAUAUGUCUCUCUUUCCCUUGUCUAUCACUGUUUUUUUUCCUUCUUCACACAAAUAAUCACCCCCAUGCCUUUUUUUAUUUUAAUUUAAACCCAUGAUUUCUUUUUUUAUUAUUUGAUUUGGUACAAUGAUCACAGCUAAAUUAAUUGUGAAACAAAAAUCAGAAAAAAUUACAUAUUCUCCCCUCAAGUAUAAACUAAAAAUAUUUAGAUCCAAACUCAAAUGGACUACAAUACUUAUCAUAUCUAAAUUUAAAAAGUUAAUAAAUUAAGGUACUUUAUAAUAAAAAGUUCAUAUGGCCCCUAAUCAAUUCAACUUAUUUUACAAAUCAUAAAUAUCUAUCAAAAUGAAAUAUUAUGAAUGUGGUAUGACAAUAUCAUCUUUAAUAAGUUGAGUUAAUUACCUAAUUACAAUCCAAGCCUUUCAAACAUUCCAAAAUCAUUCCCCACAUGGGAUUCUUCAUCUCCACCCCAUUAAAUUUAUUGGAGAAUGAGGUGGGGAUUGGGGUAGAUCUUCCCCCACCCCAUUACCAUUCUUACCCUGAAGUAUUAUUCCAUCAACUUAAAUAAUGGGAAAUACAACUGUCUUUCCGAAAUAAUGGGAAAUACAACUGUCUUUCCGUAACACUAGGCACGUACCAACAAUUUAGCUAAAUAAACAACUUGGACUCUAAUUUAUUCAAUAGCUAGCAAGACUUAUUCAAAGCAUAAAAGAAACAAGCAAAAGAAAUUAACCGGAACAAAAUAAAGGACGUGUAACAAAAACAUAAUUCAUUUAUUUAUCAAGGAAAAUGAGCAAAUUUGUGUAAACUCCUUAUCCCCAUUUCUAAUUUCUCAUAAAUUUUAACCAUAUAUCGAUGGAACAAAUCAUCCAUGCUUGCACUUCCAAAAUAAUUGGCUACUUGAAGGAUCCUUCUCUUUUAAUAACUUGCCUUACUUCUCCAACAUAAGGUGUAAAGAAAAGAAAAAAAUGAAUAAUUGAAUUACACCGAUUUUGAUUCUUCAAUCAACCCCUAAAUAAGUCCGAGAGAGGAGUAAGUCGUUUUAAUAUAUGUACAGUUUGGUUAGCGCUUCUUCCAAUUUAAUAGCUGUUCUCAUCCCUUUGACAUUGGAAUUUUGUUGGACCUGUGUGGGCUUGUUGAAUUUAACUAUGCUUGUUCAAUUGAGAGUUGAGCUUUUAACACCCGUUUAAAUAUCUUUUAAAACCUCAUAUUAUUUUAUCUUUACAAUUUUGACCUUACAAAUUAUUUUAUUAAAAUUAAAAAAAUUAUCUUCCUAAACCCUACUUCAUUUUUCAUUGUCAUAAAAAUACAAGGAUUUUGAUUAUGUUUUAAAUACCUGUAGAAAAAAGUGCUGAAAUGAUUUUAGAUUAUGAGAAAUAAUUUAAAUUGAAUUAUAAAUUAUUACAAUUUACAUAAGAAAGUGCAUUGAAUUUUAAAAAAAUUGCUUGAAGGGCAAAUGUUAAAUUUUUUUUUUUUGAGAGAAAAAGUCAAGUUCCUCGAGAUUUUGUUGAGAAAUAUAAAUAAAGGAAAAUGAUCUGAAUCAAAGUUUUUAGUAAUAUGGAAAGUGCUCAAUUAUAAGUUGAUAGAGAGAGAAAGUUCGGAUAAUUUAUCGAGAAAAAAAUCAAGAUUUAGUGUACACUAGGGCUGACAAACACCUAUUAGGAGGGGAGAACGAAGGUCAUUGUUAUCUUAUGUGAUAAGUUAACAGACAUUAGACAAUGGAGAAAGUUUCCCACAACUCCUCUAUUACUAUUUAUUAUAUUUUCAGGGGUCCCUCUAUGGUGCCGUAAUUUUGUUUACGGUAUUAAUAGUGUAACAAAUUUGUACCAUUAGAUGUAAUCAACGGUACACAUUAUUUUUAAUAAUGAAAAUAUUUAAUUAUUUCAAAAAUGUUAUAACCGGUUAACAAACCGGUUGCAAAACCUAAUUUAAAUUUAAAAGGAAAGAAAAUAGAGAUACAAUAAAACUCAACCUCCUUCUUUAUCUCAUAAAAUUCGUCAUCUGUUUAUCUCCUAUGUUGUUGUAUUGAAAUUGGAUUCUUGAAUGCUGUCUCAGUUCACGAAUGAUUAACCGUGUCAAAUCGUAAACUUGUUCUUAUAAUUCAACUUUUUCUCCAUUUAUUGCCACGUCUAUUUGAUAGGUAGGCUUUUAAAUUUAUUGCUCGAUGGUGACAUUAAACAAGGAAUCACAGAUUUGAUGUUCUUUGUUGUACUAAAUUCAUAUCAAAUCUUGCUUUGAUGCUAUAAUAUAUUUAGUUACUACCUUACCUUUUCUUUUUUCACAUUUGAAAACAAAUUCUUUUUAUUCAUAGGAUUACAUAAAGUGCGCAGCCCUAAAGUUUGAACUUCAAAGGAUAAAGUUGCAUUGCAGCAUGUUAAGCAGCAAAGCUUCUUCGCUGCAUCAGAUAGAAGACAAAAUAACCUAAAUCGGUGAAUCAAGUGCAGCCAAGACUUGGCUGAGUCAGCAGUUAACCACCAAUCGUUUAAGAAAGAGGGGCAAAGCAAGUUGAGGCCCACUUAUUAAUCUUAGCCUCUGAUUCCAUUCUCCUUUUCUCCGCCCUGAUUUGAUUAUCUCCAGCAGCGACGCUAAAGGUUAAACUGGCAUGAUCUUGCCCACAUAUGAAUGUAGUUUUUUUUUUUUUUUGAUUACAUGGAAAUGAACUAAUUACUACAGCUGAAGCAUGCAAAACAAGAUUAGAAGCACAAUACUUCUAGGAUCUGAAGGGACAAAUUUUUUUUUCAAGUUUGUUAUAUGUUUUUUUGUGAAGACCUGAAGAUUCUAGAGUCAGAUUAAUAAUUUUGCCUCUCUUAGGCUUUAUGCGGUGGGAAUGAACUUUCUCUCUUUUAAUUCUCUGUCAUUUUCUCAAUGAAGGCAACAAGAGAAAAUUCAAUCUUUCAAACUCUCAACAUUCAGAAUUUGGCUAGUCUAGUUGUCUACCUUGCAAGAGAUCUUUCCGUUGCACUUUACGAAUUUAUAUUAUUUUGAGGAGGGAAUUCAGCUGACUAUUAAUAUCUUACAAUUGAAAUUUAAAUGUCGGUCUUUAAAUUCUAAAGAUUAAAGACAAGCCUAAUAUGAAAAUACAGAUGUUAAAAUCUUCAUUUUUGUUUAUUGAUACUUUAUUUGUUUUUGGUGAGCUGAAGAAGAACAAUUUAGAUACUUAUGCAUUGGUACAAAAAAUGUAUAGUGUAGUUGAAGCACUUGAACAUAAUAUAACUCAUAUGUAAUCACACUCAUGGAAGGAAAAGAUGAACUAUUCUAGUAAAGAUGUUCAAAAUGGUACAAAUGAAUCAAGUGGUCAAAAUUUCGUGGGAAAGGGAGAUGAGUUUGGGGUGAAGAUCGCAGAGAUUAAGGACAAGAUUGAAGACGCAUGUGAUGAAAAUUUAUCAUUGAAAAACUUAUUUGCAUAUAGGAAACUGAAAGAGAACCAAAUCUUCAACAAUGUUGUUAAAAAGGUAUGAUAACAAACUAUUAUUCUACAUUUUUUUUCAAAAAUUUUUUGUACUAGCACAUUCAUUAAAUAAAAAAAAUAAAUAAAAUUCAUGUUCUUAUGCAUGUCGGAUAAAGCCAUGGAUGCAAUUGAUUUUGUGGAUUUGGUAUCAUCGGUUGAAGUAGAUGCAGUUGAGGAUAAAAAGGUGCGUCCUCGAAAGCCCAGUCGUUAUAAAAAAUCUCCUUAUGAAAAUUUCACCAAAAAAAAAGGCCGCCGCAACUUUUUCAUGAACAACUAGAUAAAAGAUAUUUUAUACGUUUGUAUUUUGAUGUUCUUAUUUGUUUUAAUUUCUUAUUAAUGUGAGUGUAUAAUUUAUACAGAGAGAAAAUUGUAAUGACAAAGCGACAUAUUGUUACCCGCUUCUUAAUGUCUUCUUUAGCUCCUAAUGUUUGGAUAUUUGAUGAGGUAUACUCUGUGUGUGUGUAAUAUUCAGAGCGUAAUAAGAUUAUAUGUAUUUAAUUUAUAAUUUAUUUUGCAUUUGGUAGUGAAUGUUUUAAUAAUGAUAUUGUGAUUAUUUUAUACAUAGAUCAUAAGUUGCUAUGCCGAGUACUUAACUAGAAAGGAGAGUUUGAAGCAAGAUAAUAUCGAAAUUUCGGUUCGUAAACAUAACAUUUGUGAAUGUUACAUGGGUGCACUCAAAAGAUGUGAAAAGGUCAGGAAUAUUAUCAUAUGUUCAAAAAGUAAAAAGUUAUUUACUAAAAUAUCAUAUGUUUUAUUAUUAUCAUUUGAAGUGUGUAAUGAUUAGUAUAAAAUUUCUGUAUUGUUCCACAGAUAUAUGUUCCUCUUUAUGAUGGGCUUGCAAAACAUUGGUAUCUUGUGAUAAUGAAUAUAAAAGAUAAGACUGCUGAGAUUUGGGAUUCUUUGCCUAAUUCUGAAAUAGAACCAAAUCAUCGUCAAGAAAUCGUUAAGCAAAAUGUAAGUUCAAAUUUUUUAUUUGUUUAUAUGAAAUUACUAGAUGCAAUAUAUAUUAACUAUCAUUAUUAUUAUUGCAGUUACAUGCAUUGGACCUAGUCUUGUUUCGUGAUAUAGCCUUUAACUUUCAUUCUGAUUGGUAUUUCGCUGACUUUGACAUUUUAUAUCCAAAUAAUGUGCCAAUUCAACCAAAUGGAAAUGAUUGUGGCUUGUAUGUGAUGAAGUUUAUGGAGACUCCAUGUGAGAUAUUAUUCCCAACUUAUAAGGUAACUUAAUCAUACAAUUUAUAUUUCUUAGUUUGCACAAAACUUUAAUCAAUAUUAAAUUGUUAUUAAUUCUAUUAUAUGCAGUAUGAAUCGGAUGAAGAAAGAUUUCGUCUUGCGCUACUCCUUGUAAAUGGUGAUGCAAAUGAAGUAAGAGAUAGUGUUAUACAAAAAGCACUAUCAUUCCGUGGUCCUAAGACGAAUGUUAUUGCAACUAGUAAAGUUAGAACCUGCUGUACGGCCAUGGCUUUAAUUGACCUUUGUAUUCGAUGUAAAGUUUUUAUUUGGAUUACUCAUUAAGUUUUGUUAGCUUUUGAGGUUAUGGUCUCUUCCAAUUAAAAACUUUCAAAAAAUAAUAGUCUGCUUUUUUUUUUUGUGUGUGUUUUAAGUUCAGCCUACAAGUGAAUGAUUGUAUGUCGUUAACUAAAAAUCUGAAAUGUCAAAUAUCCAUUCCAAUAUCUUUUAUGAAAAUUUUGCGGGAAAAAAUUAUCAAAUUUUCUUCUUAAAAUGAGUCUUGACAGAUAAUUCAACAGACCGGCUUUCUGUGUCAAUUGGCGAAGGAGCACACAAUGAUUGGAACUUUGCAAGCAAUCUUGAAUGGACCAUUUUGACUGUGGUUGGGGAUUGAUUUGGAUUGAUUUGCAACUUUAACUUCUGUUGAAGAAAUCUAUUCAUAUAUGCAUUCAUUCCCUCGCACCGUUGUGUAGUACACAUGUCAGCAAAGAAAUGACCCUAUAAGAAUGUUUCUGCUCAUCUAUGUCGUUUUGUAUAAAUUUUGUUCACCCAAUCAUUAUUUUGCAAACCUUCUUCCUCCACCAUAUUCCACCAUAAUUUAUCAAACUCUUCAGGUGUAAGAAAUUCAAAAAUACACUUUGUAAAUACUUUUAUAAAAUUAGGUUUAUUACGUACAUUAGAUUGUGCAUUCCUCUGUAGAUGCCAAACACACAAACGAUGACGAGCUUCAGGAAUCACCUUUUUAAUCGCUUUCCUCAUUGCUCGAUCUCCAUCAGUCACCACAGAAAUAGGCUUUUUAUUAUUCAUGGCAGACAAAAAUGUUUCCAACACCCACAUAUAUGUCUCAACUGUCUCAUCCACAAGUAAUGCACAUCCAAAAAAACAUGUUGCAUAAUGAUUAUUAACUCCCACUAACAUGACUAAUGGCUUACCAUAUUCAUUUGUCUUGUACGUACUAUCAAAAGCUAACACAUCCCCAAAGUGGUGAUAAUCUAAACGAGAAAUAGAAUCAGCCCAAAACAAGUUUGAAAGUCUAUUCUCCUCAUCUACAGUGUAUUUACAGAAGAAAUUUGGAUCCAUAUCAGCUUUUCCUUUUAAGUAUGCCAGAGCAGAUUCUGAAUCUGUUUCAAGCAUCAUAGACCGACGUUCAAUAUCUAAUGAAUUAUACAAAUCCUCCAGUGUGAAGCCCACAUUGUCAUAACCCCCAGCUUGAUUGACUAAAAAAUCCAUAAUUUGACUAGUCUUUAUACCAACAGUUUUCAUCGCAGUAGCUUGAGCCAUGUCACAAUCUUUAACUGAUCGAUGGGAUCGAAGGAACUUAAUCUCAUAAUUCAUUGCCAACUCAUGUGAGUGUUCAGGGAUAAACUGAUUAACAACCCAAGUACCAACCUUCUUAUUCAUCUUCACUCUAAAAGCAGCUGGACAUUUGACUCUCGUAACAGUCCUCGGUUCCCGAAUUCUAUCUUUCCUUUCAACUUACUGUUUAGCACGCUCGCCCUCCCUAUUACAAACCCAAAGUCUCACAUUGGUUUGACCAUCAUUAUCAUACCUUAUAUCAUUCUUACGAAUGCUGAAGCCCAUUACUUUCGAGUAAUUACUGUAAAAAUUCUCCAAACUAUGUAUGUCCAGAAAGCUUUAUUCCUCAGGAGUUCAAAUAAUUUUACGGUUUUUUAUUUGAAGUUUUCUACAUGAAGAUAUGGCUUAAAGAAUGCUGACUGCUCAAAAUCACUGAAGCAACCAAGUCUAUGAUUAUCAGCAAACUUGCAUGAUUAAACUGUACUGAUCUAGAAUAUAUGAGAUUUCUAUUAUAUUUUUUUGGAUAGAUAAAUGUGUCUAGUUACGGAAGAAAUUUACACAAUCAAAUUUCGACUUCGCUUCUUAAAGAUAUUUACGAUUUAGUGCACAAAGGUCACAACCGUCUAGAAACCACACAAGACCCAAUGUUUCUGAAUUAACUGAUAUCAAUUAACAAGAAAUAAAAUUACAAACUAUAUAUCUAUAGAAAUAUUUAUUUUUCAGGAGUUCAAAUAAUUUUACGGUUUUCUAUUUGAAGNNNNNNNNNNNNNNNNNNNNNNNNNNNNNNNNNNNNNNNNNNNNNNNNNNNNNNNNNNNNNNNNNNNNNNNNNNNNNNNNNNNNNNNNNNNNNNNNNNNNNNNNNNNNNNNNNNNNNNNNNNNNNNNNNNNNNNNNNNNNNNNNNNNNNNNNNNNNNNNNNNNNNNNNNNNNNNNNNNNNNNNNNNNNNNNNNNNNNNNNNNNNNNNNNNNNNNNNNNNNNNNNNNNNNNNNNNNNNNNNNNNNNNNNNNNNNNNNNNNNNNNNNNNNNNNNNNNNNNNNNNNNNNNNNNNNNNNNNNNNNNNNNNNNNNNNNNNNNNNNNNNNNNNNNNNNNNNNNNNNNNNNNNNNNNNNNNNNNNNNNNNNNNNNNNNNNNNNNNNNNNNNNNNNNNNNNNNNNNNNNNNNNNNNNNNNNNNNNNNNNNNNNNNNNNNNNNNNNNNNNNNNNNNNNNNNNNNNNNNNNNNNNNNNNNNNNNNNNNNNNNNNNNNNNNNNNNNNNNNNNNNNNNNNNNNNNNNNNNNNNNNNNNNNNNNNNNNNNNNNNNNNNNNNNNNNNNNNNNNNNNNNNNNNNNNNNNNNNNNNNNNNNNNNNNNNNNNNNNNNNNNNNNNNNNNNNNNNNNNNNNNNNNNNNNNNNNNNNNNNNNNNNNNNNNNNNNNNNNNNNNNNNNNNNNNNNNNNNNNNNNNNNNNNNNNNNNNNNNNNNNNNNNNNNNNNNNNNNNNNNNNNNNNNNNNNNNNNNNNNNNNNNNNNNNNNNNNNNNNNNNNNNNNNNNNNNNNNNNNNNNNNNNNNNNNNNNNNNNNNNNNNNNNNNNNNNNNNNNNNNNNNNNNNNNNNNNNNNNNNNNNNNNNNNNNNNNNNNNNNNNNNNNNNNNNNNNNNNNNNNNNNNNNNNNNNNNNNNNNNNNNNNNNNNNNNNNNNNNNNNNNNNNNNNNNNNNNNNNNNNNNNNNNNNNNNNNNNNNNNNNNNNNNNNNNNNNNNNNNNNNNNNNNNNNNNNNNNNNNNNNNNNNNNNNNNNNNNNNNNNNNNNNNNNNNNNNNNNNNNNNNNNNNNNNNNNNNNNNNNNNNNNNNNNNNNNNNNNNNNNNNNNNNNNNNNNNNNNNNNNNNNNNNNNNNNNNNNNNNNNNNNNNNNNNNNNNNNNNNNNNNNNNNNNNNNNNNNNNNNNNNNNNNNNNNNNNNNNNNNNNNNNNNNNNNNNNNNNNNNNNNNNNNNNNNNNNNNNNNNNNNNNNNNNNNNNNNNNNNNNNNNNNNNNNNNNNNNNNNNNNNNNNNNNNNNNNNNNNNNNNNNNNNNNNNNNNNNNNNNNNNNNNNNNNNNNNNNNNNNNNNNNNNNNNNNNNNNNNNNNNNNNNNNNNNNNNNNNNNNNNNNNNNNNNNNNNNNNNNNNNNNNNNNNNNNNNNNNNNNNNNNNNNNNNNNNNNNNNNNNNNNNNNNNNNNNNNNNNNNNNNNNNNNNNNNNNNNNNNNNNNNNNNNNNNNNNNNNNNNNNNNNNNNNNNNNNNNNNNNNNNNNNNNNNNNNNNNNNNNNNNNNNNNNNNNNNNNNNNNNNNNNNNNNNNNNNNNNNNNNNNNNNNNNNNNNNNNNNNNNNNNNNNNNNNNNNNNNNNNNNNNNNNNNNNNNNNNNNNNNNNNNNNNNNNNNNNNNNNNNNNNNNNNNNNNNNNNNNNNNNNNNNNNNNNNNNNNNNNNNNNNNNNNNNNNNNNNNNNNNNNNNNNNNNNNNNNNNNNNNNNNNNNNNNNNNNNNNNNNNNNNNNNNNNNNNNNNNNNNNNNNNNNNNNNNNNNNNNNNNNNNNNNNNNNNNNNNNNNNNNNNNNNNNNNNNNNNNNNNNNNNNNNNNNNNNNNNNNNNNNNNNNNNNNNNNNNNNNNNNNNNNNNNNNNNNNNNNNNNNNNNNNNNNNNNNNNNNNNNNNNNNNNNNNNNNNNNNNNNNNNNNNNNNNNNNNNNNNNNNNNNNNNNNNNNNNNNNNNNNNNNNNNNNNNNNNNNNNNNNNNNNNNNNNNNNNNNNNNNNNNNNNNNNCCAGAAGUUUCUAAAUUAACUGAUAUCAAUUAAAAAUGCCUAAAAUUACAAACUAUAUUUCUAUAGAAAUAUUUAUUUUUCAGGAGUUCAAAUAAUUUUACGGUUUUCUAUUUGAAGUUUUCUACAUGAAGAUAUGGCUUAAAGAAUGCUGACUGCUCAGAAUCACUGAACCAACCAAGCCUCUGAUUAUCAGCCAACUUCCAUGAUUUAACUGUAUUGAUCUAGAAUAUAUGACAUUACAUAAUAUAUAUUGUUGGAUAGAUAAAUGUAUCUAGUUGUGGAAGAAAUUUGCAGAAUCAAAUUCGGACUUCUCAUCUUAGAGAUAUUCAGGAUUUAGUGCACAAAGGUCACAGCUGUCUUCAAACUACACAGGGCCAGAAGUUUCUAAAUUAACUGAUAUCAAUUAAAAAUGCCUAAAAUUACAAACUAUAUUUCUAUAGAAAUAUUUAUUUUUCAGGAGUUCAAAUCUGUAUUAGUUCUUUUUUUCAACCUCUUUCUCCAAGAAGCACGACUGGCAGACAUCAUAUUCUCAGUUCUCUUAUGUUUCUGCGUGCCUUUUUUUUUUUGGUUUGGACAAAUAAUCGAACAAGUGUUUGAUUUUAAAGCAUUGGUCAUUACAUGGUUACAUAGCCAAAAUCUCGUCAUAACCAUUUCUCUACACAACAACAAAAUAAUCAUAAAAAUUCUAAAUAUCAAAUUACAAAGAACAUAUCAGUACUAACCUUGUUCAUCAAUAUCCAUCGCUUUUUGUAAUGACAGCUCCCAGAUUUACCUUGAAUAUAAAUGAAUGCUGACUGCUCAAAAUCACUGAAGCAACCAAGUCUAUGAUUAUCAGAAAACUUGCAUGAUUAAACUGUACUGAUCUAGAAUAUAUGAGAUUGCAUACUAUAUAUUUUUUGAUAGAUAAAUGUGUCUAGUUACAGAAGAAAUUUACAGAAUCAAUUUUCGACUUCGCUUCUUAAAGAUAUUCACGAUUUAGUGCACAAAGGUCACAACCGUCUAGAAACCACACAAGACCCAAUGUUUCUGAAUUAACUGAUAUCAAUUAACAAGAAAUAAAAUUACAAACUAUAUAUCUAUAGAAAUAUUUAUUUUUCAGGAGUUCAAAUAAUUUUACGGUUUUCUAUUUGAAGUUUUCUACAUGAAGAUAUGGCUUAAAGAAUGCUGACUGCUCAGAAUCACUGAAGCAACCAAGCCUCUGAUUAUCAGCCAACUUCCAUGAUUUAACUGUAUUGAUCUAGAAUAUAUGACAUUACAUAAUAUAUAUGUUUGGAUAGAUAAAUGUAUCUAGUUGUGGAAGAAAUUUGCAGAAUCAAAUUCGGACUUCUCAUCUUAGAGAUAUUCAGGAUUUAGUGCACAAAGGUCACAGCUGUCUUCAAACUACACAGGGCCAGAAGUUUCUAAAUUAACUGAUAUCAAUUAAAACGGCAUAAAAUUAGAAAAUAUAUAUCUAUAGAAAGAUUUAUUUUUCAGGAGUUCAAAUAAUUUUACGGUUUUCUAUUUGAAGUUUUCUACAUGAAGAUAUGGCUUAAAGAAUGCUGACUGCUCAGAAUCACUGAAGCAACCAAGCCUCUGAUUAUCAGCCAACUUCCAUGAUUUAACUGUAUUGAUCUAGAAUAUAUGACAUUACAUAAUAUAUAUGUUUGGAUAGAUAAAUGUAUCUAGUUGUGGAAGAUAUUUACAGAAUCAAAUUCGAACUUCUCAUCUUAGAGAUAUUCAGGAUUUAGUGCACAAAGGUCACAGCUGUCUUCUAACUACACAAGACCAGAAGUUUCUGAAUUAAAUGAUAUCAAUUCCUCAGGAAAAAAAUUAGAAGCUAUAUCCCCCUAGAAAGCUCUAUUUGUUAGAAGUUCAAAUAAUUUUACAAUGUUCAAUUUCAAUUUUUCUACAUUAAGAUAUGAUUUAAACAAUACAAACUGCUCAGAAGCAUCAAAACAACCAACUUAAAUGAUGUAUUAGUUCUUUUUUUCAGCCUCUUUCUCCAAGAAGCACGACUGGCAGACAUCAUAUUCUUAGUUCUCUUAUGUUUCUGCGUGCCUUUUUUUUUUUUUUUUUGGUUUGGACAAAUAAUCGAACAAGUGUUUGAUUUUAAAGCAUUGGCCAUUACAUGGUUACAUAGCCAAAAUCUCGUUAUAACCAUUUCUCUACACAACAACAAAAUAAUCAUAAAAAUUCUAAAUAUCAAAUUACAAAGAACAUAUCAGUACUAACCUUGUUCAUCAAUAUCCAUCGCUUUUUGUAAUGACAGCUCCCAGAUUUACCUUGAAUAUAAAUUUGUUUCAAAACCGAACAACUUGAUUAAUUGACUAAGAACUCUACUCGAAUUUAGUCCGACUGAUUGAACAAAAACUCCGCUUAGAUUUGAUCCUUGAUGAGAUACUGUUUAUUCUUUGCAAAGAUGAGUUUGAAUUGUGUUUUGCCGGAACUUAUUCUACCAACAGUCAAAGUGGCUAACAAAUCGUAUUUGUCAAAACAAAACCGUCUAUAUCAUGGGGUUGGCUCAAUUGGGAGAAAUUUCAGUGACCACCCUUAUAAUUUUAAAUAUUCUCACAAUUUCACUUGAACAACAUAUUUUGUUUAAUUCCACAAAAUUCAUACGUACGUUUAAAUACAUUUUAAAAUUUAUUUUACUAUGUAUCCUACGCCAUUCAUUAUUGGUUUUUUGUAAUUUUAUCAAGUUGUAAUUUUAGGCCAAACAUGAAAGGGUUUCAACAUUUAAUUAAUUUGAAAAUUCAAUGUGAAACUCAAAAUUGCUAAAAUAUUACUUAAAUCAUAUCCUUAAUGUUAUAAGAUAACUCGAUUAUUAUCAUGUAAUCAAACUAAUUUCAAAAUCUAUCGAUCGGAUAUAGUAUGUACUGUUAGAUUAUUUUAUUCUAAUGCAUGGCCAUGGAAUAGCCUUUGAUUUCUCAUGGUAUUCCAUACCAUUUUUAUUACAUUUUACCAGUUGUCUUUUAUAAUACUAUUUUGUAAAAGAAAACUAAAAUUGACUACUCGAAAAUGUCUUUAUAUUUUUUUAUUACAUUUUACAUUAAAGUUGUAGUACAUUAUAAAUGCUAAGUUUAAUUUUUAAUAACAUAACACCUUAAUAAAAUCAACAUCUUAAGUGUGAUGUAUGAUGUAAAAUGAUAUAGUACUUCAAAUAGGCUACAAAAUUAAUAGUAAAAAGACCACUCACGCCUCUAAAUUUUAUUUAAAUGGUCAUACAAAACUCCUUAAAUUAAAAAAUAUAAUACAUAACAUAAGAUAAAAUUUUAUAAAAUAUUUUCAAUUUUAAAAAUUUUAUUUUUAACAUUAUUAUUUUUCAUAUUCUUUUAUUAUUAGUUUGUCAUAUUCUUUUUACUAAUAUUAAAAUCUACUUGACAUACUAAUAAAAUUAAUUAAUUAUACCUAACAUUCACAAUAAUUUAUAAAAUUAACAAUAUCUUAUUUAAUUAUGUCUAUAUUAAUAUCAAUCUUAAGAUCAAUUUUUGGAUUAAUAGAUUUUAGUUCAUUCGUCAAGAUAGACUAAUAAUAACUUAAUAUUAACAAAAUUUUUAUUGUACAUGUUAUUUUAUCAAUUAUAUUUAUUGUAACACUUUAUUUGUAUCAUAUGAUUUUUAUUUAUUAUUUUUAUCCUAUUACUAUAUUUAUAUUUAUUUAGAUUGAUUUAGUCAAAAGGUAUAAUAGUCAUUUACGAAAUUAAAAGGGUCUAUGUGACUAUUUAUGAAACUAAAAGAACAUGUAUAAUUAUUUUAGCAAAUCUUAGGGGUGUGGGUGGUUUUUUCCGAAAUUAAUAUUGAUUUAAAAUUAAAAAAUUAAUAUUUACCUGCAACCUAUAAUUUACCUGCUAUAUUUUAAUUAAUUAUCUAAUUAUCCAUUAUAUUAAAUGAAUGAUUCAGAUUAAAACUCUUAUAUCUAAGGGCCCACAUUAGUCCCACUAUCAAUACUGUAAAAAUAAAUACAGCAUCAUAAAAAAAUCUUAUUUUCAGCUAUUUGAUUAAAUCCAAUGGUUGUCAAUUCUCUAAUAUUUGUCAACCCACAUAUAAGGUAAAAAAAAA
rnacentral:lncRNA from 1 species